rnacentral:lncRNA from 1 species
UGCAAAAUACGAAGGCUUUCUCUUAAUAGAAAUGUGAUUCCAAGCUUAAAAGCAAGAGAAAGGACUCUGGUCCACCUUCGAACUCUCAUGUCCUUCGGAGGUGUCGCACGGGAGUCGAAGCAAUUUCAGCCUAUUUUCAACCAUUGUAAGUUUCUUAGAGUUCUAAAAUUAGAGAACCUUAAUGUGGAGAGAAGCUUACCUAAAUCAAUGGGAGACCUAGUCCAUUUACGAUUCUUAAGUUUAGCAAGAAGUAGGUUUAACGGUUUGCCGCAAUCUAUGGGGAACCUUGUAUGUAUGGAAUUCUUGGACCUGCUUACACGUAGACAUACUAUGGUUUCUAUGCCAAAUGUAUUGUGGAAGAUGAGAAGAUUGAGGUAUCUCCGUCUUCCUUACCAGUUUGAUGUCAAGGAGAAAUUUCAUGGGGCUCAGAAGAAGUUGCGGUUGGGCACUUUAAAGAAUCUACGGACAUUGAGAAACUUCAGUCCGAAGAAAUGUGAUGUGAACGAUGUAGGCAAGCUUACCAAUUUGCAAAAAUUGAAUGUCUUUGCUCGGGAUGAUCCUAUCGAGCUAGAGAUAUUUCUGCAACUUGCUAAAUUCAAUUUGAAAUAUCUUCGAUCCUCGUCUUUUUAUUUUCAAAAUUAUCGUUCUUUAUGGACUGAAGGUGAAUUGAGUAAAAUGUCAAAUUAUCCUCAUUCCUGUAAGUUGUGCAUUUUUGGAAGAAUAGAGAAGUUACCAGAACAUAAGAGUCUACCCCAGCAAUUGAGGAAGCUGGUCUUAAUAAAUUCUAAACUCGAAGAAGAUCCGAUGCCAAUAUUGGAGAAAUUACCUCACUUGGUUUUUCUCAUGCUGGGUCGCGCUUUCACGGGAAAGGAAAUGGUUUGCUCUGCAGGAGGCUUUCCUCAACUCAAGCAUUUACUUUUUUUUGGAUUACGUGAUUUGGAGGAGUGGAGGGCCGCUGAAGGAGCCGUGCCUCAUCUUUCUCGAUUACGGAUCUACCAUUGUCCCAAAUUGAGAUUGAGGGCGGUACCUUCACAUGUCUCUACAUAUGACGGUACGGAAGAAAUAUUCAAGGAGUUGAGGAAGUGCGGCCUUUUUUGAGAGAGGGAUAAUGAUGUGAGUUCGAGAAGGGUGGCCCCAGCUGUUCAGAGAGAGAGGAGGGAGGGGCUGCUGAGCUUGUGGGUUGUUAGGGGGGUGGGCCCCCCUAGAAUAAAUAAUCUAAUCUCAUAUAUCAUAUAUAAUUGAGUGAAAAUAGAGAGUAUUGUAUUAUGGCAUUCCUUUACUAAUUAUUUUUCAUGUCUGUCUUUCCAUCAUAAAUCAUCAUUCGUUUCGUUUUCCCUCUCAUCCCUGAGGACUUCCCAAUCAGUGGGGGGUGGAAUCUGCUGUUUCACACUCGCUGUCGAGAGAACUCAGCGACUUUGCUCAUGGAAGACAGCAAAGUUCUCGCGAGCGCCGCGAGGAGGAGGAGGAGGAGGAGCGAAUUCGUUGCGUCUCUAAAAGACGGUGGAUGGGGGGAGGCAUCUGAAGAAAUAAGAGUCGUCGCUUGUCGUGGCGUUGGAAGACAGUCAUCGUUGGAAGCUGCUGCCUUGGAGAGGGGAGGAAAGGAGAGGAGAGGAGAUCCGAUCAUUUCCAUAGUGCUGGUCAGGUGUUUGACGAAAUGCGAAUGCGGAGUAGGAACUGGGGUACAUUUAUCUGAAAUGGGCGUGUUGCUUCCGGCUUGUGCAAUUGAUUUCUUUGUAUAUAGAUGAACGAUGACGAGAAAUACAACGGUGCAUUUUGCAUCUACAUGUAAAGGCUGCAAGGUAUACUAAAAGAUUCUGUCGUGUGUGCUCACAUUAGUCUUUCCCUUUGAACGAUGUUGAUGAAAUUGCUGGAUGUAGCGAUUAGUCUUUCCCUUUGAACGAUGUUGAUGAAAUUGCUGGAUGUAGCGAGAAAGCAUAUGAUUAUUUGUCAAUCGGUGACGCUCAGCAAAUGUUGCUCUUCUCCUGCGACCAAGAACUCACGGUAUAUAUUGAGGAGGUAAAUAUUAGAGAGGAUUCUGGCUUUUUCUACCUGGAAUUCUGUUCUCGCUUGACUAAUUAAGUCAAAAUGAUACUAUCCGCUCCAGUAUCAGUUCAGAUCUUCGAAGGGUCUCAUAAAAUCUGUUCUAUUGAGUUGCUAAUCCAUGUCCUCUUCAACUGUUAUAAUUAUCUUCUUCUGGAAUCACAGCCUGAUGUUAAACUUGCACUUACCACGUCCAUGUGUCAUUUGGCCCUGGCUGUGGCUCUGCUGAGUUUGAACUUGGAAAGGGGUGCUCAGUACAGAAACCUCGUGCUUUAAAAAGGGCUUCAUAGUGUGUGGAAGGAGACAUCCACGUAAAAGCUGUAUUGUGGAGCCUGAACAAUUACAUAUGUUAUCUUUUGGAAUGCAGGAGCAUCCCAAUUGGCAAAUGAAGAGUGGGUCUGUAUAUUUUCAAUUGAAAUGGAUAAUGACAGUCAAUGCACGAGGGUGUGAAUUUGAAUCUGUUUGCUGCAUCUUCAUUGUAACAGGUGAAGAUACUCUAAACAUUAGUAUGAUGGAUUUUCCAGUUGCCUUCUUCAGUUUCCACUUCUCAGGAAGCUUCCAAUUAUGAUGAGCUCUUCAUGAAACAGAGAGCUUGAACAUUCCAAAUAGCUGAAGGUACUUCAUAAUACACCUAUAGUUUUCUUCAGUACAUAGCUACAAAUGUGAGAUAAAUAGGUUUUCACUUCAUUGUCUUGUACCGGCUUGAGCAUUUCUUCCUGUUGCACAUCUGGUAAAUUGCAUCGACAAUAUCGUAGAGUGGUAAACACAUUAAAAGAUUUUGCGACGAAAGCUUUCAUAAUCUAUGUGGAUCACUUGGGCUCCAUGACCUAUAAGGUCCACUGUCUCCUGGAUGACAAGAUUGAGGAAGCAUCUGCGGUUGAGCUCAGAUUUUCUUGUGUUCAAUAGUUGUGCAAUAUAAUUAGGUUUUCCUUGUUUUGUAGUAUUUAGGAUGGGAAGGGCUUGCAUACCCUCUGAUUUACCAUGUGCAGGGUCUAAUAGAUUGCAACUGAUCAAGAAGAAUCUAGUUUUUGAAAAUCUGAAAUUGCUCUAGAUAAACUCCAUAAUGUGCCAGAUUAUAUCAUAUUGUGACAAACUAAUUACUAGAGCAAGAGAGAUUCUAAAUAGCAUAAGAAAUCUUGCUUUGACCAAAGUAUGGAAAAUGGCAAGAACAACCAUCUCUCGUGCUAUCAACUUAUUUAUCACAAAGUAACAAAUAGAACUUUCAGCAAUGUUAUUGUGUUUUAGAGACUAUUGACAUCUAACGUUCAUAGACCAUGGAGGUUUCUCAGCACUCACUAGCGAUAAGAACUCUGGAGGACCUCAUGCAAUAUUAUCUUACCAGGCACACUUCCCUUCACAAGAUAUAUCUGUUGUUUUAUUAAGACCAAAAAGUUGGUGUUGGCUCAUCCUUCAUAACUUUCUCUCAGUUUCAAAAGCUAAAGGCCAGGAUAAUCUGCGAUAAUACAUGACAAUUGGCUUAAAUGGCAAAAUGUCCAAAUGCUAACAUUGUAUGACCCAUUUUCUGGUUUAACUACCAUAAGCAUAUUGCAUGUAACAAGAUUGGUCUAUUAGAUGAAGAAUUUUUUUAUUUUUUUUUUGUAAUUAGAUGAAGAAAGUUCACGAGUUAUAGAACUACUUUUCUUGUUCUUCGGAUGUCUUGAGAACAUGAUCUUUUAUGAUGGAUUCUCUUGUGAAUCGCCAUUAUAUCCCCACAUGAACAUCCAGUACCCAUCGGAACCGGAAGAUCCACUUCAAUAUAUACUCAUGCUGAGAGGAAUAGGAGAACUGAUAUCGAGCUUUAUUCAUGCAAAAACAAACGUCUCUUCAAGGCCUUGCUUAGCAGUUAGCAUGCGGAAGUCAAGAAGGGACAGCAAGUUAUCGAAGUUCCUGGACGAGAGCUAAGAAGAACAGGGGAUGAAAGAAAACGGAUAGGCCCAUUAUCACGGUUUCUUUGCACCGCAAGUAUGACCUAUGCUGUAUUUGUUACGGUAGCUUAAGCUAGCUUUAAGAUUUUGAGAAUAAUUUAAUGCAAUAAGAAACGGAACGAAAAGAAAGUCCUGAUAAAAUAACAUAAUUUCUACAAGGAGUUCCUUCGGAAGAUGGUUGCCGCUCUAUAGUCUACAGUUCACUCUUGCCUGUUAUUCCAAACAGAGAAGGUAAAGAUUGAAGAAUGUUUAGAAAGCUGAGAUACUGUUUCCUCCCGGUAAUUAAGUAAUGAUAGGCUCACAAGCCACAAUUCACAAGACACAGCUAAGACCAGGCAACCUGGAAGGGACCAAUAAACAUAGUGUACCUCAAUAUGUUGAAUGUCGCCGCAAAUACGUUGAUUAUGUUGUAUAACUAAAAUGGUUUCAGAUCAGACACCUGCAAAUGGACUGGGCACUAAAACACUCCCCAUAAAUACAAGAGCUCAACUGUACGAAUUUCAUAUGCGAUAGGCACGAGAUUUUUGUACACACCAUUCAGAUUCUUAUAGUAGUUAAUACGGUCGAUUGAGCAAUGACCAUUGUUCAAAAUCCAAGAUCAAAACUGGGACACUCGGCCUUCACUUUCAGUUGAUCCUAUCUCCUUCAGGGGUCUUCAAUUCAUCAUUAGCAUCGCCACAAGAACUGCAUGAAAGAGAUGCUUUGGAAGCAAGGCUUCUUGCCACAACAAUUGGGGUCAGCUUGCUCGGGAGAAGGCGGGAAGCGAUAAUUGGACCAGAUGUGUAUGCUAGUCAUACAGAGCUCAGUGCAAUUGAGAAUUUCCACUAAGUAAAUGCAGAACUAGACUUUGGUUUCCCACAAGCAGUUGCUCCCUGCAGCUAAUUUGUUUCUGCUUGUAUAGUAGUUUGCACCAAAAAGUUUCAACAAACAUCGAAACUCAUGAAGUUCUAAUGGCGUUUCAAGAUGCUUGUUGUCAUUUGUCACAACCUUGCCACCAAUGGCUCAAAAAUGGAGCUGAAAGUAUUGAUUACCCUAAAUUUAACAGGACAAGUAGCCGUGGAAUAGGUGGGAGUUGCCAAUUUGAAAGCCCUCCCGUAGAGUGAAAUUCAUUGAAAUCAGAGGAUGAUUCUGAUGAAAUUUUACAAUGUAGACAAGGAAACAUAAACUAUGAGAAAACUAACAUUAAAAUUUGAAAGAACGCUGAAUUGAAAGAAAUCACGGCUAAACCUACCUUUUUCGACUUCAUGAGACUAGGUAACUUUUCGUAACCAAUGUUGUCAGCUAGAUUUCCGAUGCCUUAUACUCCACUGAAGGAGCGAGGGCAUCACGUCCUCACUAGCUGCUAGCGACAUUGCCCGGAGUUGGCAGGGGCUCUUGCGGCCUUGCCCAGGACUUCACAGCCGAGGGCAAGGGUUUCGCAGCCAAUGAGGGUCACUGGUGACCCUCGUGGCAAAAAAAAAAAAAAAAAAAUUCAAAUCAAAAUAAAAACACAAUUUUAAAAAAUUAAAAAAAAACAAUAAAUUACAUGUAGAAUGAUUUGCUAUAAUUGACGUUCAAGUAAUUAAUUUUACUUUGAUGUGACUCAAGUGAGCGAAAAAAGUUUUUUUGCACUUCUAGUGUGCUUACCCCCUCCAGAUUGCCAUACAUAGCAUUUAGAUCAUGUUUUCAUGCCCUGUGAUUGUAUCAUGUAUCACAUAGUCAGACAAGCUACUAAUGCAAGCCGCACUUUUUCUAACCAGAAAAACGCACCUCCCCAUUUCUAUUUCAACUCACACGUUCAAGUUCUCUGGCCAAUAAAUCCACAUCUCCAAACCCUUCUAACGCCAAAAAACGAGUAAGCAUCAAUGAAAUUAAGUGCAGCUUAGCUACUAAGCUUUAUUUUUUGUUGGACAUGUCUGGCGGACAUGACCUCUCAUGGCCGAGUCUCUUAAUAUGCCCAUAUGAACAUCCAGUACCCAUCAGAGCCCCGAAGAUCCACUUCAAUGUCUACUCAUGUUGAGAGGAACAGAAGAACUGAUAUCGAGCUAUAUUCCAGCAAAAACAAAAGUCUCUUCAAGGCCUUGCUUAGCAUGCGGAAGUCAAGAAAGGACAGCAAGUUGUACGAGUUCCUGGACGAGAACUAAGAAGAACAGGGGAUAAAGGAAACCGGAUAGACCCAUAUAUGAGUUUCUGUGCAUCGAAAGUGUACCUGAAUAUAUUGAAGAUCACUGGAAAUACAUUGAUUAUGUCGUAUAACUAAAAACGUUUCCGAUCAGACAGCUGCAAAUGAAUUUGGCACCAGAACGCUUCACAUAAAAACAGGAGCUCGACUGUACAGAUUUCAUGUGUGACAGGCACAAAAAUUCUUGCGCACUCCAUCCAGAUGCUUGACAGUAGCAAUAUUGUUGAUUGAGCAAUGGAUAUGGUUCAAAAUCCAAGAUCAAAACUGGGACACUCAGCCUUCACUAUCAAUGGAUCUCUAUCUCCUUCAAGGUCCAUUCUUUUAUCACUAGCAUCGCUGUGAGAACCGUGUGAAAGCGAUGCUUCAGAAACAAGAUUGUCACUGCAGCACUUGGUAUCAGCUUGCCCAUCAGAAGGCUGCAAACGUUAAUUGCAGCAGAUGUACAUGCUAGUUAUACAAAACUCAGUGAAAUUGAGAAUGUCCUCAAGGUAAACGUUAAUUGCAGCAGAUGUACAUGCUAGUUAUACAAAACUAGAUUUUGGACUGGGAUGCAUUAGAGAAUUCAAGCAAGUCCUCAUGCAUCUAGUUUGAACAUUCCCUGCAAGCAGUUGCUACCUGCUGCUAAUUUAAUUCAGUUUGGCCAGUAGUUUGGACGAAAGAGUUACAUCAAACAACAAAACUCAUUAAGUUCUGAUGGAAUUUCCUGAUGCUGAGAGUCACAAUCUUGCCACAGACGGGUCAAAAUAGAGCUGAAAGAAUUGAUUACUGAAAAUAGAGCAGGAUAAGUAGCUGUGAAAUACCUGCGAGUUGGCAAUUGCAAAGUCCCCCAUCAAGUAAGAUUCAUUGAAUUCAGAGGCUAAUUCUGAUGAUAUUUUACAAUGUCAGAUGACGAAACAUAUAUUGCAACAAAGCUAGAAAUAAAAGAAUGCUGAAGUGAGUGAGAUUGCACUAAACCAACCUUUAGACUUCAUUAGACCAGGUAACUUUUCAUUGUUGGUGGUAUCAGUCAGAUUUCUAAUGUCCACAUUCUCCACUGAAGCCAGCUCAGCAGCUGGCGCUCUUUGUCUUUGAAAUCCAUCACAAAACUUCUCUGGAUCCUGAAGCUCCUUCGUUAGGGAAGCAAAACUUGCCUUCCUUUCAUAUGAAUUUUCAGCAAUGGCAACUUGAUCUAAUGGUUUUCGGAGUACAGAUAGUAUUUGACAGGCUGCAACGAUUUGAUUACAAGGGAUCAUUUGCAAGCUGUAGUAACACACAUAGGUUCCUCCAAUAAACAUGAGAAUUAACUUUCAAAGAAAUUCAAAAUGAAGUGAGUGAUGCAUCAAAAUCAAUAAAACCAAUCCCAAGUUUAAUUAAUGACAUUCUCUUUCUAGAGCAGGUCCAUGAAACAAUCUAUCGAUUUUGCGGGCUUUACAAGGCUUACUGUAAAUUAUUUGAUGCACCUGAAUAAGAUAAAAUUAUUUUCAUUGUGCCUAAAUCUAACUACACAUGCGAAAGAUAGUAACAUCAAAAGGCAGAAGAUAAUUCUAAUAUAGAGAAAUUUCUCCAUAGAGUAAUCACCAUCACGUAGAGGCUUGGUCUCGGAAACUCUCCUGAUGCAAUCUGUGCUUUUCAUAACAGAUAUUCCACUGUUUGAAUCUGAAUCUCUCCUUGGAUGAACCUUCCCCGAAGUGUUGUCUCCAUGUUUAUGCCAGGGGACUGUAAUAUCCAAAGGUCAAGCAUUAGGCAUCAAAUAACUGAGGCACAUAGAAUUAAUAUCUAUGAAAGAAAGAAUUAGAUGUUCCAAUUCCGAAUCAUCUUGAGGUGACAAUAUCAGGUGUACAAUCCUCCUCAUAUAAGUGCCCCUAGUAGUUUAGGGAGGUAGCAACUUUCUCUUAACAUGUUCUUUCAACAUAUUCAUUUCCAAUUGUAUCUUAACACCCACAGGUCCACCUAAAUAACCUCCUCAGUACUUCACUAGGACAUAGCUAGUCAAACAGGAUGCAUCAAGGAAAACUAAAUAGCAUUGGAUGAAUCAAGGAAAACUAAAUAGCAUUGGAUGAAUCAAUAAUGCUGCAAACCUCCCAGGAUUGAUUGAUCAACUUUAGCACCAUCCACUUCCCCAUGGCCUGUCCUCAUUUCUCCAGCAGCGUGACAUGGUUCAAGGUCAUUCAAACCCAUUGGCCCCUUUUCUUUUACCACAUGCUCCCCAAUAUCAACCAAGUGAGAAUCGAACACCAGAGAUUUUCCAGUUCCCAACACUUCAUCUCUCCUAAGAAAUUUAUUCACCAAGAUUUUCCUACUAGCAUCAUACAGUGUGACCUGAACAAUCCAAGGGGAAGAAAACAAUUAGCAGAAAAGUGAUUCCAGGACCUAUAAAAGAACUUUGAACUUUUUUGGGUAAUGAAAAGCACUUGAAUUAGUGUGACACUUGGGGCACAGAAUGAACUAUCCAAAAAACAGAAGCAAUUCAUGUUGGAUCAGCAAACAAAGUGGCCAGCCCAGCUCAUGAAAAAAAAAGUGGCUUAAUGAAAACAUCCGUGAAAGUGCCUCGAAAUGACCUGCCUCCCUAGGGAUCCGUGAACUUCAAGCUGCAGAAAACCAUCAUGGUAUUUCUUGGCCUUUUGAUUUACUUGUGCUGUGUACAAAACCUGCCAUUCUACAUGACAGGAAAAUGUCAAUUUCCAAGGACAUGCUCAGAAUAAUACAAAACAGCGGGAGCACAUAGCCCACAAAAGAACAUUCACAUGCUCAUGGGUGUCAAAAAUGGCUGAAGGACAAUAGUGGACCUGUUAUUGAUUUCAUUAUUGUAGUAACCUCAAGAUAAAAGGAGGCAGUAAAUACAAAGUCAUAUCAAGACAAUAACUGGCUACAUAAUGAAAACUUUAUUAGAAAAUCUAUCGGGAAGUAGAACGAGCAACCAGCUCGUUAAUGAAAACUUCAAUAGAAAAUGUAAAAAUCAUAAAGGAAUACACUGAGGAAUCCAUGUAACUUAGCCCAUAUGCCCUCCUCUUUUGCAUGGGGUUCUCUUAAAUGGGACUCAUUUUUCAAUACCUAAAGCAUGGUGCUAGAGCUAGGAAAAUAUCAAGAACAUAACCUGACAAAGUAAAUUGCGGAUUUUCCAAGUGAAAGGACAACCUUAGACCACCUCUGAAGCACAAAGCCAGCACCUUUAUACAUAGUUUUUAAUUUGGUGAAUCUUCUAUCUACUGAACAUUUUUUCCAUUUUAACUCAAGUGCGAUAUCUGUCAUAUGUAAGGAAUUUCAAAAAUCCAUCUCAUUAAGCAGUAUAGAGUUUUGCCUAUGACAAGUGCGAAAGUUUCCUAACGGGCAACUUUGAUUUCACCGAGAAAAAAAAAUGUGAGUUCAUAAUCACAUAAGAACGUGCAACAAAUGUAGAAACAAGGCAACUAGCAAACACUCUUAGCAAACUGAACAUGCAUACAAGCAAAAUCUGACCUGUUACGCCUGAUUUUGCAGCAUCUAAUAUACUCCCCUUUGCCCGAAUCUGAUGCAUCUGGCCAUUUUUUUCUUCUGAAAGAGUACUAAUGAAUACAUGUUUCAGUGCAUCACAAUUGCAGAAUCAGGUAAUUAUCGUAGAUCAUGCAAAACAUGAAGAGAAGGGAAUCUCACUCCUUAACAGAAAAGGAGAAGAUGAUAUAAAUAACAGAGAUGAUUUUCAAUUGUGAUCUGUCUAUAUUUGGUCAAUGAAGAAAGUGUUAGCUACAUAUAAAAACAAUGAACUGACUCUUGCAUCUGCAAGUUCCAGAAUUUGUGGAAAUCGUUCCAUGAUCGUAAACAUCCCAUGAAUUUGUGUCCUUAAAGCUCCGAAUCACAUUGUGUUAAAAUAUCAGUUUGGUGAGUACGAAGCAUCCCCUGGUUACAUAAAUUUGCAGAGCAGCUGAAUGAUAGGAUUGAUGGGAAUAUAAACAAUCAGGGAGAAAAUGUUGACAAUCAAUUGACAGUUCAAGACUUUAGGAGAGGAGGUAAGGCAAAUUACCUCCAAAAAAAGAAUCAACAGGAAAAAAAGAAGCUAUUUAUAGAACACCAGCUAGCAAAUCAAAUUGAACUCUAUUACAGGGUACCUUUUACAGCAGAUUUAAUGGUAGUCGCAUUACGCUGCUGCUUUUGCAUAUUUAAUUUGUGAAGAGAACUGAAACUGUUUCCACUUGCAUUUAGAUUUAGUUCCCUCAAAGAUUCAUGGUUUGCUUCACGAUUGCCAACUUCGACGAAAUGACCAGGAAAUUCCAUCAUCUCCCCAGGGCUUACUUCUUCAGCUUUGUUCAGGAACCUACUAUCUAAAAGUUUCCAGCUCGUAUCAUACAAGAAAACCUGGUAAAGGCCCCAAAAAGGUUUCAAUGAUCUGAGCCUUGUUUAUCCUGAUAAAAAAAUUUCACUAUUCUGUAGAGAAAGGUAUACACCAUGAAGAAGAAAACUAACUAAUUAAGGAAGGAAAACCUGAAAUAUGAUUCAGCAACAAGAUAGCUGGUAUUAUCUAAGGUUAAUGAUCAGUAGAGAUGUAGACUGUAGAGCUUGACCUGCCUAGUGAUAGAUCCACUGCUUGUACAACGCAAGAAGCCAUCAUGAUAUUUCUUCGACUUUUGAGUUAAUUGUGUUGUGUACAAGACAUGCCAAUCUAUAUCAAAAGGAAUAUCACGUCAACUGCAGUGCUAAGACAACAAUAACAAACUUAUGAAUGUAACUACAUAGAGAAUAUAGAGACCAGUUCUCUGAGGGAAAGUCUGGAAAUAUGCUAGGAAGCUCCGAUGUUCUUCAAGAGAAACGAUUUAAAUAUGUGAACAUAAUACCACUGUGACUGAGAAGAUUUGAUAUACAAAGCAUCAAAUUUGAGUAAAUAUACUUUGAAUGGAUGCCGCAUGUAGUGUAACAACAUGCAGAAAUUAUACACCCAGAGAAAAUCAAUACAGAUUCACAAUCUAGGAGAUACAUCAAGGGAAAGACACGGCCUGGCAUGGGCAUAGAUGAGUCGGUAAAAGUCCAAACUCACCUGUUGUACUUGAUGUCCUUGAGUUCGAACUCGCCUGCAAUACGCCAUACUUGUUCAUUUCAUUCUUCUUGAAUUCUGAAAACCAAAAACAAAAAAAAAAAAAAAAACAAAAGAACACUCGUGCUAAGUUUUGUAGCCAGCAUUUACUUGCAAUUAAGAGAGAAUUGGAUUAUGUAGGAAUUCAUCGCCAACCUCUAAUAAUCUUCUGCGAUGGGCUUAGGCUGAUCGUCUGCUGUUUAUGCUUCUCCACUAUGGUCUUUUCAUCUCCUUGAAGAGAAAGCCAAGUCGAUUAUACGAUAAUACAGGUAGAUGAUGAGCACAAAUUUGCAAACGUACAAGCACGAGUCAUCAAUUUUCAAACCAACGGAGACACCAGCAUUAAGAAAGACAAACACGUAAGAACAGACUAUACCAGCACAAUCAGAUACGUUGAUGAACUUGUUUCUGUGAAGCAGAUUCGUUCGCUUAGGAACUUUAUUUUCUCGGCUGCAGGCAUAAGUAUCAUCGAGAGGCUCUUGCCCUUCUUCAGGCUCUCCAACAUCAACCAAAUAAGCAUUGAACGUCAGCGUCUCACCGGAGCAAACAACUUCGUCAUUCUUCAAGAUCCUGCAUUCCAACGGCUGGUCGCUGUCGUCAUACAGCAUUACCUGUCGAAAAAUCCGAUCAUCAAUCACAGCAUGGCCUAAUCCACUCAGAACAAGCUCAAUCGCAGGGAGCACAACGACCAAAACCACAGAACAGAACAAUCCGCGAGGACAGUCAAAACCGAAAUCCUUAGCAGCAUCGAGCCGUUGCUAUCUAGCCUGAUCGAGCGAGCUGAAUUCAGGGAAUCGAUCGCCAGUGCAGUUUCGACAUCGACUACUAGCCUAUCAAAACCGAAUCACGUCCCAGCCCAAUCGAAGGUAACCAAAUUCGCCGAUCGAGUUGAGCUGGACAUCAAUGGCGGAGAUGAGUAGCGAGUGAGAGAGAGGGAACGCACCUUGGCGGAGGAGGAGUGGAGAGAGAGGAAGCCAUCGCGGUAGACCUUGCGCUUCUGCUUGAGGUGCUUCGUGAAGGUGACGUUCCAUUUCGUCGGAGCCUCAUCCAUGGCGGUUUCUGCAUUUGGAGGAUGAUGAUGAAGAAGAAGAAGAUUUUUUAGGGAUUUCGGAGAGCUGCAAGUAAAGUGGUACCGCUUUCGAGAGCUGAAGCUGUGAAGCUGGCUAUCAUUGACUAGUAAUUAAAAAAAAUACAAAAUCCGUUAAUGAAGCUCGAUGGCAUAUUUAGUACAAUGGCUAAUGAGAUAAAAACAUCUAAUUGAUAUCUCGUUAUUUGUCUAGAAGAAAUCAUUACACAAGCCAAGUUCAAGCACCAACAAUUAUACUAUUUUUAAUUUUAAUAAAUGAAUUUAUUCCAUUGAGGUUCCAUUUUACCAUCGCUUAUUUAAAAAAGUAUUUUACCUUAUUAAUCCUUUAUCGUCAUGUGACAAUAUGAGCGGAAUUAUAUGAGAAAAGGCAUUUAUUAAUUGAAUUGUAAAUAACAGAACUAAUGAUCAACUUAGUUGAAAGUUACAGCUUUAAUUGUGGGUCUUAAACUUGGGCAACAAGUUAGACCGCUACUUCAAGCUCGGCUUACCCAAUCAUCAUCUCUAAAAUAUAUUGUAUCACAUUUAUACCCAAAGAUAUGUCUUUUCUUUUCUUCAACAAUGAACUGGAAACUAGACUAUUUCUUUCUCAGCCAUUGGAUGUAAUGGCUUUCAAGCUCAUGGAUACAUUAUCAAAAUCCAUCCAUUUUGCAAUUUGACCAUUUUGUUAUUUCAUUUUCCCUAUCAUCUUGUGGAUUAUUUAUUCGUAAUUAUGAAAAAAAAAAAUCUUUGACUCCUAUUCAAGUGAGGGUUAUUUUGACUCAGUAGAUAGCAAACAUGUAAUUGAUUGAUGAGAUUUAAAAUUGACGAACAUACAGAGAAAAUUGAAAAAGAAGGAGUGCGCAUGAAUGAUAAAAAGAUGGAUGGUUCUAUAAAAGAAUGCAAGGAUUAAAUUUUUUACUUUUAAUUGAAUCUUUCAAUAAAGUGGACUAGUAAUUUCUGUUUAAAAAAAAAAAGAAAAAAAAGAAAAGAAAGAAGAAGUAUUGCUCCAAUCUAGCUCAUGCGCCUUUCUAGCCUUCCUAGCGAAUUGAUGUUUUGUGGCUGAGAGGAUCGAUUCGCUUAAAUCAGAGAGCACAAAUACCAAUUUGGUCAAAAUUCAAUUUCAAGUACCAAAUUUUACUAAAAUUUUAGGGUCCAACUUUUAUUUUCCCUCUCGUCCUUGGGGGCUUCAAAGGCGGAACCUCUCUUACUCCGCUCGCCGGAGAGAGAGAGCUCGUGACUUGCUCGUAGAAGAUGCAAAAUUCUCACGGGUUGCGAAAGGAUAAGUGAAGGGCGUGCGAGUGAAGGCGACGGUGAAUCCGAUGCUUUUCUCGGUGGACGCUGAUGCGAGACGAGUUGUAAUAAGCGUCACUGCUCAUGGGGUUGGAGACGCCGUCGUCAAAGUCGGUGCGGAACCGAAGGAGAGGGGAAGAAGAUCCGAGCAUUUUCAAGCGGUGGUCAGGUGCUUGACAAAAUGCCCACGUGAGGAAUUGAAACGGUGUUGGGGCGCAUGAAAUGGAAGCGAUGGGUUGCUCUCGUUUUUGUGGUGUAGUUCUUGCAUUGUGAUGAACGAUGGCGUAGGAUAAAAAUGCGACGAGAGAAAAAGAAGAAAACCGCGAUUAAGAAAAAGACCAAUAGGCGCAUCCACUGUACAUUAAUCGAAGGGACAAGUAAUAUGGAGAAAAAACGACAAAGAAACGGCGAGGCACCUCCUCAGGUUUCUUCUCAUGAUAUCUUCAGCUCUUGUGCUUUGGUCUUUCUUUACAAUUUUUCGUGCAGUUUGUCCAUCAAAGGGACCCAGAAAGAUAAAAGAAAAAGACAAGAAACCAAAAGGGACAAAGCAAUUGGUGGUCAAAAACGCGAAGCCAUGAAGCAACCUCUCUCGUUUUCCGCAAUUCUUUGUAGUAUUCCUGUAAUACACUCUCCGCUCCUACUGCUCAUUUCUUCUUUAACAAUUGACUACCCUCUCGUGGGCGUUGUUUGCUGCAGAAGUUGUCUGAACCUUGAAGUAAGGAGGUUUUCCUUUUUCAAAAAAUUUAAUCAUUUUGAUGAUGAGUUAUUAAUUUUUCAGAAUGCGACAAUUGCAAUAACGAAUAUUAAAAAAAUAUAUGAUGCUAAAUUAUUGCCAUUAGUACCAGCCCAUGGGAAACGAAUGUUUUGAUGGCACAUACAACAAAAUUGCAUCAUUACCUGAAUGUCAUUGUCUAUAAAUAUUUAGCUGUAGAGACUGAUGAUGAUGAUGAUGAUGAUGGUGAGGAUGAAGAUGAUGAGCUCAUUGACCCCAUCCCAGUAUUAUUAUUGAACAAUAAUCCUCCUGCAUUAUUGUUUCUGGUUGAUCCUAGAAAAAAGUUCUGGCUCAGUCGUAAGAUCGGUAGCGGAUCAUAAGGAGAGGUCUACCUUGGUGGACUGCUUGCUGAUUGGUACUUGAUUUUUGCCCUAUCAGUUGUGAUCUUAGUUUGAUUUUGUUUGGACGAACGAGGAAGUCUCAAUUAAGCUUGCGGUGGCUCUUCUCCCAGUUUUUUUUUUUUUUUUUUGUCAGACUUCUCCCAGUUAAAUUGACCAUUUUCUUUUUCUAAUUUUUGUGCAUUUCUUCUUCUUUUUUUUAGUAUUGUUGUGGUCAAUACAUUGGUGUUUUGUUGAUUUAGACUUCUGAUGUUUUAUUUUUACGUUCUUUCAGGCAACAUGGAUUGUGCUUUGCUCCGUUUCUUUCUUGAGUUGUGCGACUGGCAUAGAUAUUGAUAGGUUCACUUGCUUACUGCAAGUCGGCGGUGCUAAAUUUUAUAUUUCAGAAUUAUUAUUGUUAACAAGUGGAACUUUCCUGGGUUUGUGGCUUUUACAUGCAUGUGAGUAUAUGUUUGAUGCUGUGAUGCAUGAAUUCAUGUCAUGCUUCUGGUAUAAUACGAUUGUAUGCCCAAGUAAAUGCUCCUUUGUCCCUUUGUCCCUUGUUGAGCAUUGACUUUUUGCCUGGAAGAUUACCUAAAAGAAAGAUCGAUAUUUUGCUUGAGACAUGUAUGUUUUGACUGAGCGAGAUCAAUGAGGGGGUUGCUAUGAAACAAUUGAGGCAACUAUAGUAUUCUAGAGAGACCACGCGAUAGACCUUACGGUCAUGCUUCAAGUGCUUUGUGAAGCUGACUUAAAUAAAAAUUGGAGCUUGUGCUUGUUGCUCCAAGAGUUCGCAAGCUUCAAGACCCAAUAAGCUCCAAGCCAUUUGUGGGUUGAUUUUCUUGCGCAUCCAUGGAUAUAGAAUAUGUAAUUAUCAAUGCAAUAUGCAACUUUCUAAGUGCUUAUUCCUCCUCUCUUCUUUGCAACUUGCAGGCCUAUUGGUUCGGAGCUUGUUAACGCAUGGAAAGUGAAUUUCCAAUUUCCAAGCCAUUCUCCAUCAUAAGCUCCACUGAUCAUUGUCAAGUAGUCCAAUGCCAAUGACCGAGUUGUUGGUUUUGUUGAUGGGGCAGACAAUAGGGAAGCUGCUCGUUGACGAGGCCAAAUUCUUAUGGGGCGUGGCGUGCAAGGUCAAGGACCUGCAAAAGGAGCUGAAGCUGACGCAGUGCUUGCUGAGAGAUGCGGACACUAGAUGAGAGCAUGACCAAGCUGUUGGAGAAUGGGUCGCACAGCUCCGUGACAUUGCCUAUGAUGCCAAGGACGUCAUAGAGCGAUACAUCCUCAGAGUUGUGCUGAAGAAGGACACAACAUCAUCAAAGCAUAUGCUUGCUUUGUGGCAAAGUGCACAUGCAUGCAGGUUCAUGUGGCGAGGACAGAAAUUAAUGGCUUAAAAUCCAGCAUGUCCAAUUUGAGAAUUAGUAUGCAGUGUCAUGGAAUACAAUCUGUGAAUGAGGACGAACGCCAUGCCAUUCGAUGUAUUUCCAGUGGUCUUCAACCUAUUGAGGUACACUUUAUGAUGCAAAGAAACUGAGAUAUGGGUCUAUCCAGUUUCCUUUGUCCUCUGUUCUUCUUAGUUCUUGUCCAAGAACUUGUAUAACUUGCUGUCCUUUAUCAACUAACGCAUGCUAAGCAAGGCCUUGAAGAGAUGUUUUGAGGUAAAUUUGUCACAAAUAUACUAAUCUAAGGUCUAUGUUAUCAAAAAAUUAAAUUGAGAUCAUAAGUGUAUCAUUUUGGGAUUUUUUGUUAUCAAAAAAUUAAUUUUAGAUAAAUUUAUCACAGAUGCACCAGUUUGGGGUUUUUCGUAAUAUUAAACUUUUAACAAAUUGGAAUAGUAUUUCUUGGGAAAAAAAGAAAAAGAUUGGCUCCAAUCUAGCUCUUGCACCUUAAAUUAAAGAGAACAGAGACCAAUUUGAUCAAAAUUAAAUUUCAAAGAUAAAAUUGAACAAUGAUUUAGAAUUUAGGGACCAACUUUGAUAUCACCUUCCCGUUUAAAUCUGAAGCCCAUUGGCCGAGUGAACUUUUAGAAUUAGAAGCUACUAAACACAGGCAUGUCUACCCUCCUUUCUCACCAAUAACUCUUAACAAGACAUUGAAGUCUCGUGAAAGUUGCAUUAUCAUAGAACACUGUCAUUCUGGAAUUUACUCAUUUUGUUCGUUUCAUAUUCCCUCUCAUCCUUGUGAGCUUCGAUGGCGGAAUCUCUUAUUCCACUCGCUGUAGAGAAAUCUCACACUCGCUCGUAGAAGAUGCGAAACUCUUGCGGGUUUGGCGAGGGGACAAGCGAAGGGCACGCGAGAGGUGGCACAAAUCCAAUGCUUCUCGAAAGACGCUGAUACGAGACUAGACGAAGUGGGAGUCAUUCCUCGUGGCGUUGCAGAUGUCAUCGUCAAAGUCGUUGCUAAACCAAAGAUGAGGGAAGAUCCGAGCAUAUUUUUCAAAUGCUGGCCAGGUGGUUGACAAAAUGCCCAUGUGAGUUGAAAUCUACACAGCGAAAUGGGACUGUAUGCACUUAUGGAAUUGGGAGCAAAGCAGGUUGCGGCCCUAAAGUCGACGAGCAAUAGCAGAACUAGGCCCUUCAUUUAAAGCUUUAGGGAGACAGAUUCGAACACGUGAAUAAUGGGCUUUUGUUCAUUUGCCAUCCCAUGGCCCAAGAGAAUAUGGGCAGGUAAAAAUGCAUCAGUCCUCUACCCUUUUUCUUCAAAAAAGUUCGAUCAAAUCGAAUCUCCAACAAGCAAAUAAUUCACAAAUUUGAUUCGAUUUUAAAGAAUUGAGAUCCAGCUGAAUUAAUCGAAAGGUUUUAAGAUCUUUUCAACUCGAUUAAUCAACCCCAAUUGAAGCAUAGCCUUCUGGAUCGUUUCUCAAUCAGAGAAGUAGUGCCAAACGAAAGAAUAAAAAGGGACUGGAGAGAGACUAAUAGCGCAAACCAGGGACAGCAGUACAUCACUGUCAUGGACCAAGAAGUAACCUUAUCGCAUUUUCAGAAUAUGCUUGAAGCAUAAGCCUUCAAGUUGUUAAAAGCUCUAUCUCACACAGCCAUAAUUAUUACUUUGCACCGAUAUUUGCAUAUUUCAAAGAUUAGUUGUUUUGGGCUGAUGGCAUCUCAUUUCUUUUGGCCAUUUUGAGAAACAUGAUAUACUUUUUAAUGUCUAUAACUUUAUUUGGUCAUUGUGAUGGAAUUAAUCUCGGCAAUGAAGUUAAUACUCGUAUCCAUGUCAUUUAGUUAAAUAUGAUUUUGUACUUGAUCAGUAGGAUAUUUUCCUUAUAUUAGCUACCUGGAAGAAGCGAAUAUCAAAUUAGUGUUCUCACAUGGAGAUAGACAACUCGAAAAAUGCAUGCGUCGCUUUUAAUCAUUCUGACCCAUGAGUAGACCUAGAUAAAAUCAAGUCUAACAUGUUGUUAUAGUGGAAUCGACUCUAUGCACAGUCGAUGACAUCCACAGUUUUAGUUGGUCAAUUUUGUUGUGAAUAAUUUGUAAGGAAAGUGUUCCUUAUCCAUUUACCUUGCGCCGCAUAUCAGACGCAUACAAAAUAAAUUUUAUGCCUCAUCAUAUAGCAACAUGGAGAUAUAAUGCCUUCGUAAAUGUUAAUGAAUCACGACCCAGUAGUUAUCUGGUUUGAUUUGUGAUAUCCUUCAAGCAGAUCGACAAAGAAGAGCUUAAUUUGCGCAAAUAAUAGUUGAAGAAGAGAGGGAAAAAACUGGGCAAAGUUUCAUGUUCCAAAGUGAGUCAUGGAUUUGUGCAUCGAGGAAGUCGUUGUAAUGAUUAAAAACUGCUUUUUUUAUUAAUGGAAAUCCUUCGUUUUAAAAUAUGCAUUUCUCCAAAGGUUUUUUUUUUUUUUUCUAAAUAUCGAACCAAACGUAUCCUUAAUUUUUCUCGAAACACAAAAUCUCAGGCCUUGGUAGUCACAUUUAGAGAGAAAAUUGCCAUGACUCUUCAAAUGGUUAAAAAGUUGUGCCUCGCCUCUGCCAUUGGAUGUACAAGAGACGCAUCAUGGAUCGGGAGGCAACAAACUAAUCCUUGCCGUUAGAUCUGAGUCUUCUCCUAUCAGAAAUUGAAUUUUGCUCGAUAAUAUUUUCGUGCAAAAUUCCACGGCGCAGUAAGAUGAUUUUGAUAUUUAAAGUUCUAAACACCAAAAUUCGUUAAUUGUUUCUGACUUUUAUCUUAUACAUGAUGGUGUGAAAAAUAAUUACACAAGCCAAGAUCAAGCACGGACACUUAUACUAUUUUUAAUAUUAAUAAAUGACUUCAUUUCAUUGAUUCAUUUUACUAUUGCCUAUUUAAAAAAAUAAUUUACACUAGUGUUGUACCUUAUUUGAUUCAUUAUUUUUAGCAUAUGUAUGUGGCAACAGGAGCGAAAUUAUGCAAGAAAAGAUAUUUAGCAUGGGUGAGGCGCUCAACCAGUCAAGAAAGUUGGACAUGAAUGAAGAGAAGCUCUUGAUUGAAGAAUUGAUGAUCGAACUUUAAGAAAAGAAAACUCCAGAAAAGGAAAUCACCAUGGCUAUGAAGAAUUUGGGCCUACAAGCAGGCCUGUUGUUACUUGAAUUGUCGACAUUGGAAUUGAUUAUCCACUUGGUCGAAAGUCACAUCUUUUAAAUGUGGGUCUCAAACUCGAGGAACAAGUUAGACCGCUACCUCAAGCUCAGCUCACUAAAUGAUCAUCUCUAAAAUUGAUUAUAUCAUAUUUAUGCCCGAAGCCUAUCUUUUCUCUUUUCAACAAUGAAAUGGAAAUUAGAUUGUGUCUUUUCAGCCAUUGGAUGUAAUAGUUUCGAAGCUCACACGCACACGUUAUCAUAAUUUAUCCAUUUUGGAAUUUGCCCAUCUUGUUGGUUUCAUUUUCCCUCUCAUCGUUGGGAGCUUCAAUCGCGGAAUCUGUUAUUUCACUCGCUGCAGAGACAUCUCGUGACUUGCUCGGAGAGCAUGCAAAACUCUUGUGAGUUUCGCGAGGGGACAAGGGAAGGGCACGCGAAAGGAGGGGAUGCGAAUCUCAUGCUUCUCGAAAGACGCUGAUGCGAGACUAGACGAAGUGAGAGUCAUUCCUCGUGGCGUUGCAGAUGUCAUCGUCGAAGUCAAAGCUAAACCCAAGAAGAGGAAAAGAUCCGAGCAUUUUGCAAAUGCUGGCCGGGCGUUUGACAAAAUGCUCAUAUGAGUUGAAACCGUGUUCGAGCGCGUGAAAUAGAAGUGGCGUGUUGCUUUGGGUUUGUAUAGUCCAAUUCUUGCAUUUAGAUGAACAAUGAAAUGUAAAAUAUAUACUCAAUGAGAAAAACGAAAAACCGUGAUUAAGAAAGCACCGAUUGGCUUUUUCAAUCCAUAUUAAUCAAAGGGAUGAGUAACAACAGUUAGGCACCUUCUCAGGUUUCUUCUCAUCUUCAGCUCCGGUGCUUCGUUUUUUCGUUACAAUUUUUCGUGCAGUUGCCCAUCAAAGGCUUGUUUGCCUUGAGAUUUUACAUCGGAUCCCCUCCACUUUUGCUUCUUCUCAAUAUUGUAGGUUUUGGACCCGAUCUUUUUGUACGUUUCCCUUAAUACUAUUAUUACCUUCACAAAAAAAAAAAAAAAAACAGACAAAGCAUUGGAGGUCGAAACGUGAAACGUGAAGCGGGAAGCAUGAAGCAACCUCUCGUUUCUCGCCAUUCUUCGUAGUGUCCCUGCAAUAAAUUCUUAGCUGCGAGCCUAGCUCAUGUCCUUUUUGACAAUUUCUGUUUAUCGACUACCCAUGCGCAUCGGUCUUUCCUUACAUCUUUUCCCUGUAGAAGUUGUCGUGCCUGCCAAGCUUUUUCUCGGUCACUUUCGAUGCAUGUUAUUGAAUGUGUCAGAUGUGAGGUCACAUCAUAAUCUUUAUGGAAAUCCUUCUCUAAACAUGUGAAAGGAAGAAGUGAGGGGGAGGGGGAGCGAGGGAGCCUCCCUCCUUUUCUACUUUCGAGAGACUUCUAUAAAUUUAUAAAGAUCUUAUUGAAGUGUGUUUCAAAGGACAAUAAAAUAACCAUACCUAAUAAAAAAAAAUUUCAUUUUCAUUAUACUAAUUGCGUAAUAGAUGAUAAAUUUUUCCAGCAAAAUUUACACAGAAAUAUAUCAUAUACUCUUGAGAUAUCUCUAUUUUCCAUAUAAAUUCGCACCAAUGUCGACUUAAAGAUGCUGUGAGUGUAUUCCAUGCUUCGUUUGGAGAAAUGUGAGACAAACUACCAAGAUUACAAAAGUAGUCCUUUUGGAACUGCCCUUCCCGAAAAAGCAGGAGAUAAUUCCACUACCUAGUAAACUCACGAACGCCUCGAAUGUGUCCUUUCGUUUCUAUGCUUCUUGGCAAGGGUUAAGCCUAGACGGUUUGCGUAAAAUGUCUAGCAGCCCCUCUGCUUGUAAACUAUACGUAUAUGGCCAAAUCAAGAAGAUGCAGUAACAAAAGUAUUUGUCCCUGCAUCUGAGGGGGCUGGUCUUAGUCGGGCCGUGGAAUUAAGAGGAACGGAGAGUUGGUAAAGGAGCCAUGCCACGUCUUCUCAAGUCGGGAUUGAUGUAUGUCCCAAUUGAUGACCGUACCUAAAGGAAUCCCCGGAUGCAACACUCAGGAAGACACUGUGGAGAUUGGGAAGCCAUAUCGACGGGAGAAAUCGAAACGCUGUGUGAUUUGUACUUAGCUACUUGCUUCACCUGGUUGUCAAAUUGAAAGCAAUAUGUCUCGAAAGCUAAUAAUUUUGCUAGUAAAUUGCUCAUUUGGCAAAUUAAGUGGCAAUGGUAAUAGACAAUAAUAAUACAAGAAGUUUUUUUUGUCCGGUAAAUAAGAAGAUUGAUUGGUUUGAAAUCAUCGUGUCAAAUCAAAUAUGAAAUCAAAAAGCAACAUUUCUUGAUUUCACUAGAUUUUGCUAUACAAAUCUACUCAGAAUAUAUCCAUCCCAUCUUAAUUUGCUCUUUUAUGCCGUUUCUUGGCCUUGCAGUUUUCUUGAAAAUUAUCACAACUAGCCUUGAACUUCAAUUUCUUCGAGGUUUUACAUGAACAAUCUUGUAUUUGGCACUAAAUUUGACUGUUGACCAUUCUUUGAUCGGGGAAAAUUACCGAAAAAAUUUGAAACCUAUUGUAGUCGUGCAAAUUCAGUUAUAAACUAUUUUUUCUUUUUUUUGUUAAAUCAAUUCUAAACAUUUUACAUUUAUGUCAAUUUAAUCUAUCUAGCCAAUUUUAACCCGUUAGCAAUAAUGUGAAUAAUGAGUGUCUGCCUAACACUGAAGCAAAUAAGUUUUAAUUAUUUUUAAUUUUAGUUUUUUUUCUUUUUUCUUUUCAUUUUUUUUUUCCCAUUGUCACUGGCCAUGGGCAAGGUCAUAGCCGCCUUCGCCUGUUGUCGUGCCUCCGGAUCUUUUCAAGUUGUAGGAAGAGACCCGCUUCCGCAUGGCAACGGUUUUUGGGUCCACCGCACCAAGGCAUUUGCAUGUUUGCUAUGCCGUCAUCUCCGCUUCUUAUUUAGGUCGCCAUCUUUGAGUCAACCAUUGCUCUGUAUUUUGGCGCCUACGAAGCGUCGUAAGGGAAGAACAGCGAAGGGGCUCGGGCUUAGGUUGAUGCUUGGUGUCGGAGGAUUGUCUUGGAUGCAACAUCGAUCAGCUCAAGGAGACGGAUCACAGCAUGCCUUACAAGCUUUUCUUUUAUGUGGGGACAUUCACCAAGGACAACUUGUGGGACGCCAAGAUUAGGCAAAAGCCGCGACCCUCUACCAUUGUGGGAAAAUAAAGAAAAGAAGAAGAAAAAGCAAAGGGAAAAAAAAUUAAGAAAAUAAAAAUAUUAUUAAAAACUAUCUACAUCAGUAUUAAUUGACGUUCACAUCAGCGCCAACUGUCCAAAAUUAAUCGGAUGUACUAAAUUGAUACAAAUAUAAAAUGUUUAUGAUUGAAUUAGUAAAAAUAAAAUAUUUAAAAUUGAAUUGACACGAUUAUAAUAGAUUUAAUUUUUUUUCCUCUUUAAUUGGUUAAUCUAAGGAACCAAUUUGUGCUUUGGUGCAGGUAAUCGUUACCCAUAUGACAAAGAAACUCUAAUAUCCCUUCCCUCUUAAUUAGUCGCUUGUCUCGCCUCCCUCAACAAGAGGGAUUGUCAUUUACGAUCAGGUAGUCUGAAGUCAACGUUACCACAACCCCCACGAAUGUUGUUAUAGUCUUAAAAAGACAAUUCCCAUCAUGCUCCAGUCUGAAGGUCGAUGAGAAAAUAAAUGUUGAAUCCUCUCCUUAACUUUCAGGCACAAAACUAAAAUCUCAAUUCUCAUUCUUCCGUGGAUUGACCACCUAAAAAUAGGGUUCCGUAAUAUCACUUUUCCUUUCUAAAUUAAUAAUCUCAAACUAUUUAAAAUGCAAAAUCUCGAUCAUCUGAACAACUCUCUUAUUUCUCGUGUUGGUUGGAUUGUUAGGAGCUUUUCACGUUAGAAACUUGAAAAUUGCCCAUUAAUGUCACCAAUUUCAUGCAAAUUGCUCUAGGUCAAGCUGAUUAUAUAAACUAAAUGGCUGAACUUAACAGGGUUGGAAGGUUUGUAGAGUAUUUCGCGGGCUUUUAGGUAAUUCGUCCUCUACAAUCGUGGCAUGGAUUGUAAAAGAAAAAAGAAAAAAUCAUGCAACAAAUCCUCGUUAAUCUUUUGUUAGACUUCUGCACGAAUAGACAAAUACAAAUUACAAAUGAUAUCAAUAAGUAUAAAGUUGCAUGUAGCAUGUUGCAGUCACAUGUUAAAGUAUUCAACGAUGGUGUUUUUCGUUGGCAUUAUAUACAUGUAGUCCUUUUGCAUAAACUUUUGGAUUAUAAUCUCAUAGACACCCACCAUACUUAUUUUGCGGAGUCGAAACAUUUGAACAUCAAUAUGCUGCAAAAUUACUCUAGCACUUUGCUAAAUCUUUAAAAAAUGUGAGAAGUGCAUAUAUAAAGUUUCCAAAUAAUAUGAGCGAGUUCGCCACUAUUAUCUUUAAUUUCGUGAAGUUGAAUUUAAUUGACAUGGACGAGUCUGGUUGAUUUAUACGUGUUAUUAUUAGAUGGUAUGGGCCAUAAUAUAUCUUAUGGUACAUAUAUCUGCGAUGGUUUGCUUUUCCCACAACGAACAAAAACGUCGCUAUCAAUAAGCCCAUGUGGAACGAAGGACACAUAGAGCAAAAAGUAUGAUGAUGAAUUCAGAGCACAUAAAGUGGUUGGCCCGUGAGAAACAAUCUUCUGACAACGCGUAUAGCGAAGCUGUGACGUUGAAUUAUUGCCAUCAUCCUACGUCAACCAAUCUUCUUUUGACGGUACAUAAGGCAAAAAUCUGAUGCUUAAUCACUGAUCUUACCCUGUGUAAAACCAAUCUUUUGAUGGGCCUACUGCUUAAUAGUUGCCAUUAGCCCAUGUGCCAUUUACUUAUAUGCCAUUAUUACAUCAAGUUAGCUUUAGAGAUUGACAAAUGACGAUAAUGACGACGAUGAAGAUGAUGAGCUCAUUGAUCCAAUCCUAGUAUUAUCAUUGUUUCUCAGUUAACAAGCUCUGGCUCACUCUUAAGCUAUGAAGCACCGACACUUUUCUGAGAGUUUUUGUCUUGUAUCGACAGACUCUAUGAUAUUCUUUGAUACUUUCAGACACUCAAUCUAUACGUAUUGAAAAAUCUGACGUUUGAUUAAUUUUCUUAAUACUCUAGUUGGAAUUCUGAUAUAUGAGUUUUCGAUACGAUUGAUUCUGAUAUGCGAUGUCAAUUUUAAAAAAAUUCAAUGAUCGAAUGGUCAAAAUACAUAUAUAUUAAAUAAAAAAUAAAAAAAAUAAUAAACCUGGAAAUAAAAAAAAUCUAGUUUUUUUUUUUUUUUAUGAUUCUCACUUCUAGUGAUACAUAAUUCUUCCCCUAUUUUUUUUUCUUUUCUCUUCCGACACGUUUGACACGAGGGUCUAAAAUGCGAAUUGCUUGCUUUUUCUUUUUUUUUCUCAAAUUUUUAUGGAUUAUUGGAAUUGAGUUGAAUCUGUUAAAUUAAAACAAUAAAUGAUAUUAAUAAAUUGUGAAUUAAUAUUUUAGUGUGAAAUCAUUCUAAGCUUUUUUUUUAUCAUUUAUUUAUUUGUAACCUUAACUUAAAUUAAUUUGAUUGAAAUAAACAUAAAAAUAAUAAUUUAUUAUGUAUGUGUAAAAAAAAUUAUUUAAUACACAAUGUAUCUCGACGUAUCGGAAUUUUAUGUUUUAUGAUAAACGACGUGUCAAUAUAUCGUGUCGUAUUGUGUUACGUGUUACGUAUCAGUAUCGAUGUGACUUGAAUCUUAAGAUUGGUAGCGAUCAUCGAGAGAGGUCUACUUUGGGGGACUACUCACUAACUUAUGCUCAAUUUUUGCUUCACCUGUUCUACUUUUAGUUUGAUUUUCAUUGAAGUUUUCUGCGAAUUUUCUUCCUGUUCUAAUAUUCAGACGAAGGGAGAAGUCGAAAUUAAGCUUGUGAGUGGCAUUUUCCCAGUUGAAUUGGCCCCUUUUCUUUUUCCGAUUUUCUGUGCUUUUUUUUUUUUUUUUUUGUAUUUUCAUAACCAUUGCAUCGGUAUCUUGUUGAUUUAGUGUUUCGAUGCUUUACUUUGGCAUCCUUUUGACUCUUGGGUUGUCUGAAUGACGUAGAUGUCGGUGGUCGUGCUGACUUUUAGUACGACUAUAAUUGAUGCUGAAUUAUUGCCAUCGGCCCAUGUGACACCAAUCUUCUGAGGACUCAAAAGACAAAAGUACGACAAUGAAUUGAUGGCACAUAGCAUGCUUUUUCGUCCCAUUUGCAAAUGGGUUUUCAAAAUAAUAUAAAUACUAAAAGACAAAAUUAUUUGAAAAAAUAUAAAUUGUGUUUGGAUAAAAAUUCUUUAUAAAUAAAAUUUAAAUUAAAUAUAUAUUUAGCAAAAAAAUUUCAUAAAAAAUUUUAAUUUAUAUAUUUUAAAAAAUCAACCAAACUCUUCGCCUCCGCCUGGUCGAGCAACCCCUUGGGCGACUCAAUCAAAAGUUUUUGGGACGUUGAAUUAGAGGCACCCGUACAACAAUUCGCCAUGAGAAACUCAUCUUCUGACAGGACAUGGGGGAGUGACAGGACAUGAAGCGAAAGGACGAUGCUGAAUCAUUGCUCUUAUACCGUGUGAAACGAAUCUUUCGGUGGGACAUAGGGUGCGUUUGGUUCGGCAUUUAGAAAACCCCUUGAGAAAAUGCAAAGCAGUUAGCCUAAAGGGUUUUGGAGGGAAUGCAAAGACUGUUUGGUAAAUUCUACUUUGAAAAGCAACUUUGAGAUAAAUGCUGUUUGGUAAAAAAACACAUUUAGAAAGCCCAUUUGGUGAUUAAUGUAAAUAUUUUUAUUUUUAUUUGUUUAAAAUAAAGAAAAUAAUGUUUGUAACCUUUUUAAUUUAUAUUCGAUAACAAUUUUAAAGAUGUUGUAUAAACAAUUUUAUUAAAAUUAAAAUUCAUUUUUUUUACUAAAAGACAUCAAAUAGAAAAAAUUUACGUGCGCUCUUUCUCAAUUAAAAUAAAAAUAGUUUAAUUAUAAUAAAAACAUGAUAACAUAUGCUUUGAGGAAAGAGUUCAUUAUCCUUAAAAAUUACAAAUAUCCUUAAUUACUUCAUAAAUGCAUAGCUAUUUGAUCACGUAGACAUCAAAUAGAAAAAAAUUAUGUGCGCUCUUUCUCAAUUAAAAUAAAAAUACUUUAAUUACAAUAAAAACAUGAUAACAUAUGCUUUGAGGAAAGAGUUCAUUAUCCUUAAAAAUUACAAAUAUCCUUAAUUACUUCAUAAAUGCAUAGCUAUUUGAUCACGUGGACAUCAAAUAGAAAAAAUUUACGUGUGCUCUUUCUCAAUUAAAAUAAAAAUACUUUAAUUACAAUACAAACAUGAUAACAUAUGCUUUGAGGAAAGAGUUCAUUAUCCUUAAAAAUUACAAAUAUCCUUAAUUACUUCAUAAAUGCAUAGCUAUUUGAUCACGUAAACAUGCCAUAUCAGAUGCUACAUCAUCAUUUGAAGCAUUACCCUCCCAAUUUACAUUAUCAGGAUCAAUUGUAUAUAAAUUGGGAUCCAAAUCUACUCUAGCAAAAUGUGUAUCAUUCAUGGCAUUUCUUCGUAUAUAAUUGUGUAAAGCCAUCGUUGCUAUCACAAUUUUCACUUGCUUUGUAUAUGGAUAACUUGGCAUGCCCUUUAAAAUUUUCCACUUCUUCUUCAAUACGCCAAAAGCUCGCUCAAUUUCUGAUCGUAGUGAGGAGUGAGCACGAUUGAACACUUCUUUAUAACCUGUCGGUUGAGGACCUUGUUGAAACUCAGGUAAAUGAUAUCUAACUUCUUUAUAUGGUCCCAAAUAACCUGUGGGAUUUGGAUAUCCAGCAUCGACCAAAUAAUAUUUACCUACAAAAAAAAAUUUGUAAAUUUAAUCAACAUAUAACACAUACGUAUAUUAAUGCAUAAAAACUAUUAAUUAACUAACCUUUUGGAGGAUGAGGAAAUUGUAAAUCAUGUCUCCUGAUGGCUUCAUAAAAGAUACGAGUGUCAUGAGCUGUUCCCUCCCAACCGGCCCACACGUAAGUAAAUUCCAUGUUAAAAUUACACACGGCCAUCACAUUUUGCGUCGGUGUUCCUUUUCGACCAAUAAAACGAAGCUGCUCACUCGUAGGUACCACCGCUGGAAUAUGAGUGCCAUCUAUAGCUCCAAUACAAUCCUAAAACAAGAAGAAGAAUAUUAUUUGAUUUAUAUUUAAUUCAUAUUUUCUAUUGUAUAAUCAUAACUUACCUUAAAUUGUGGAAAAAAUCUUGUAUUAUUCUUGAUCUUCUUUGGAACUUCCUUGAAUUGUCGAUCGGAUGGUUGGAUCAAAUUUGCUCCCAUUUCACAUACUUUAUCCAAAACUAAGCUAAAUAGCCUGGAUAUAGUUUCCCCAUAAUGUUGAAAGCGCUCUUGUGCUAACCUAUUACCUAUAUUAUGUCCUAAAAUAUGAAGAAAUAAUCCUAACAUUUAUGCAACAUCAAUAUUUCUAGUUCCUUUCAAACCAUAUUGUGUCACUAAAUCAUUCAUUAAAUUCUUAAACACAAUUCUAUCCAUUCUAAACAUUUGAUAAAACCUUUAUGGAUUAGCAUCUAUAUCCAUCAACUCUCUCAACCAUGCAUUUCCAGUAUAUGAUGAGGUCAUGCACGGUAUUUUUUCACCAUAUAUUGCCUGAUAAACACUAACACCGCAAGUAUGUGCAGCUACACAAAGUUGCCAAUAUUCUUCUUCCUCUCUUUCAUGGUUUUCUCUUUCAGAAGAAUCAUCCAUAACUGAUCAAAGUAACAAAAUAUAAUUAGAAUAAGAUAUAUAAUGAAUUAUUUAAAUCAUUCAUCAACAAAAAACACUUAUCAUAUAUAUGUAUGCAAACUCCAUUCGAUAAAAAAACACCAAUUAAAAACAAGUCUGAUAACGUAGCAUAAAUAUGUCUCACCAACUAAUACAAAUAAGUAGUGCAAACAUAUAUUAAAUUACAAUAACAUUACAUGUGAAAAAUAUAAAUAGCAAAUAUCCUAGUGAGCCCUACGUUGUGCGAACUUAUAUUUGAGCCACGUGACUUUUUCUUGAUCAUCAUCUAAGUUCAUAAAAAUUUGCCUAUUAUCUUUCCUUUCUGAAAGAUAAUCUAGUGCAAAAAAAUAUAACUCUUGAUUUUGCUUUAUCUCAGGUAUAGCUUUCAACAUCUCCAUGAGUUCCUUGUAAGGACCAACCUCUUUGGCAUAACGUCUACUUUCAAUAGCUGAACAAAUCCUCUCCAUUUGCGAUGCUAGCUUAUCAGCCGUACUUUUCUUUUGUUUCUUUCCUUGAGAUUGUCUCACCGAACUCUGCGACGUUCUUUUAUCACUUCGAUGUUGGUCACUGCUCUUUCCACCCAUAUCGCCCUCUAUAUUAUCAUCAGUAAAUCCUGCUCCUGCUGAACCACCAAUGUCAAAUUGUGUGGCGACAACAUCAUCAUCAAUAUGUAAGCCUUGUGCAGGAUUCCAUGUGAUGCUCCCAGUGGCAACAGUAUCUCCAAACAUUCUAUCCAAUAAAACUUGAAGAUCUGGAUGUAUGCCUUUCAUCCUAAAAGGUCUAACCUUAGGAUUUUCCUGUCGUAAUAAACAUUUUCAUGAGUUUUAUAGUAAAAAAAUGAACUUAAAAAAAUUUAAUAAAAGAAUGGAAAAAACCUGAAUUUUCAUCUCCCACCAUUCAUCACUUGCAUCAAUGGUAUUCUUUUUUGGAUCCCAUCCUAAUCCAGUUUCCUUAAGAACCAAUGUCCUCCAUCUUUUUCAAUCUUCCUUCAGAUUAUCCCACUUACUUUUCAUUUGACCUUUAUCAUACUUUUUGCUCCUUAGGUCCUCAAACUUCUUAAUUAUAACCGUCCAUCCAUCCCUUUUGUUGUUUGCAGGACGAUUGCCAUUGUCAAUUUGUUCAACGCAUAACUUACAAAAUGUUUCAACAUCUUCAGGGCUCCAAAAUGCCUUUUCCUUUGAUGAACUUGCCAUGUACUAAUAAAUGCAAUAUAAAAAAAUGUAUGUGAGACAUGUGGUGUGGACUUCAUACUUAGUUCACCAUUUAAGAUAGCUUUCAAUCACCAAACAGCAAGUAAAACCGACACCAAACAUCAAGGAACAUAAAUACACAGCAUAUAUAUGUUUUUUUGAAACCCCAGAAGAAAGAGAUAGAAUUGGGACUAACCUUUUUGGCUCUAGAAGAAGAGAUUGCUGUUUAGAAUCCUGGAUGAGCUUAUCUCCACCUCUUGAGCAGUGUAUCUGUUUUUUUGAAAAGUAAGCAAUUGAGUUCAAAUUACAAGUAUUCGGGCUAGCAAUAACUACAUAAAAGUAAUAAAAAUGAUAAGGAACCAUGGGAAGAAGAAUAUAAAUAUCCAAAAGAAGAAAAACAAUAAAGGUGAUAAGGAAGAUCAGAAGAGCAUGAAACUCAAUUGCGAAAACAGCAUCAUUAACUUCUAGUCAAGGGCCUUAGAAGAAACAUAAAAUUGUGAGAGAGAGAGACAGAGAGAGAAUACUAUAGCAUUAUAACAUACAGCUAGUGAAAUCAAAGUUUUUAGCUUUGUUCUUCAACUCGUCUUGAAGAAGCUUUUUUGCCUUUUGUAGCCAAUCUUCUAGUUUGUCCUGGAGAAGUAACAAACAAGCAAUGAAACAUAUUGAGCUUCAGCUGCAUUGAGAAAGCACAUUAAGUACCAAGAUAUUAUUAUUUGUUCAAUAAGAUAUCCAUAAUGUUUCUAUUUGCCUGUUUUAAGUCAUCGUUUUACAUCUAUAAGGUAAAAUGUGCAGAAAUUAAUUUCAACCAUGCAUUUUUGGUUCCUAAAGAAUGUAGGCUAGAAACACUCCACAUUUAGAAAGACUUUAAGCGGAUCAGGGGCCUGAAUUGCAGAUCAAUAGUUCGACUACUAGAAUGUUACAGAGCGCCUUGCUUUUGUUAAAAAUUUAAAAUAAUAAUAGUAAUAAUAAUAAAUAAAUAAUUUAAUAAAUCUGUUGCUUUCUUGCUUGGCAUACAAACUAAAGACCAGAAGAGUGUUUCAUUCUAACCUCGAUAUUCACAAGUAAAUCCUAAGGGCCCAACUUCUACUCUAAGACAGCAAAGUAAAUUUUUAAAUCCCAUGCUUACCCAACUUCUGCAAAUGAAAAACUUUGGAAAAUACUUUUUUUGCAAUCUACAGAACAUUGAUUAUGUGUUUAAUUGACAGUCUUUAACCGGCACCUUAGAUCAAAAUUGCACGUGAUAUAAGUACUUGAUGACAAGAUACUUAAGUUGCUAAGUAUUUCAGAAAUCCUCAAACUCUAUAGCUAAAGAGUUGCAGAAGAGUUGCAGAAGAGGAGAAAUUAGAUAACAAUGGUGUAAUGAACAAUGAGCACAUUUACAAUAUUUUUUUCUACAUGGGUCAAACCAAUGACUUUAAGCAUCUGAGACAUGAAGGCAACUUAUCCAAAUACAAGUAAAAUUUCAACAGCUAUAGCAACAAAAGGUAACCUUUCCUAGCACAAUUCUACAAAACAGCCUACGUGCCUGGCUUGACCCAACAUUGUCCAUUAUUAAGAGUAGGAUUAUGCUAUAAUCGUGCCUCCAUAAUCGUGCCUCCUUCCUAUGUAGGAUGACUGCAAUAAAUGACAAGGAACAUCCAGAGGCUAACUUAAAUGAAAGAAAAGGAAUUUUACAAUUACGGUGAAUGAUCCACACCUUCACCGUUUUCCAGUUACUCUCUUCAUCCUCUCCAUCCAGCAAAAUCGUAUCGGCACUACACUGGCGUCGUCUCAAUACCAAUUCACCUACCGUAACAAGACACAGCCAGAAGCCAGAAGGGAACGAAGAACCAGGAAUAUCCGUCUCUUCCCCUUUCCUCAAAUUCUCAGCUAAAACAGAACCCAUCCCACUUUAACUAAGACAAGUCACAUUAGCACCUACAGUUCCCCCACUAUUUCUCGGAGCAGCAGCAUCAUCUUGAAAGCACCCCAACAGCAAAAAAAGGCAAACGAAUCGGAAGCAUUCAGCCACCCACAAAGCAAAAAUCAAACACCACCCACCACCGCCAUUUCUCUCAAAUACAAAAGAAAAAGAACAUCAAGGACGCAAGCGCUCCCGCAACGAGCGAACUCAAAACGGCACACGAAGACCUAAUCCCGAACGACAAGGCAUGGCGCGGCACACUCAGGACGCCAUUGCACAGAACGACCAAGUAAUCGAUGAUAUUGACGACGACAACGACCAUACCUUCGAGAGGGAGAGGCGGCGAAGGCCUCGACCAAUGCGGCGGGAAUCGAGUGGAGCGGCGGUGGCGGCAGGUGAGGGAGUCCCACCGAGCAAAGAGCGUAGAAGCGGUCGUGGGAGAGAGUGAUGGAAGGGUGGGAAGAAAAACGAGAACUAGGGUUUUCUUGGUUUUAAAAUGGGCAAAAGUGGUUUUUCCAUAAAGUUUUGAGGAUAAAAUAGGUAACUUACCAUUUUCAUUAAAGAGGCCUUCAGCAUUCCGAAAAAUGCUGAAAGCUCAAGGCUGGUGGAGACCAGCCUUGAGCUUUCAGCAUUUCCAAGGACCCUAUUUUCACUUGAAAGCUCCUUGAGGAGGUUGCCAAACACCUUCUCUUUGGCUGAAGGGGCUUUGGGGGCUGGAUGGGCUUUCUAAAUGCCCAUCCAAACGCACCCUACAAAGCGAACAUGUGACGCUGAAUUAUGGCUACCAGCCCAUCUGCCAUUACCUAUACGUAGGGGUGUGCAAAAUAUUCGGGAAUCGCCCGUAUCCGGAACCGGCGGUUUUUAAGGGAACUGGUCCGGUUCCCGGUUCCAAUUUUUUGAAACCGGUGAGUACCGAUUCAGUUCCCGGUUCCAUGGGCGGAUCCGCCCACCCAAACCGGACCGGUACCUUUUUAAUAUUAAAAAAUAAUUACUAAAAGAAACCCUAGAUUAGAUCUCAUCUCCUCACUCCCUUCGUCUUUGGUUCUCUCGCUCUUUGUCUCUUCCUCGGUUCCUCCUAAUUCUAUCGCCAUUUCGAUUCCUCCCUGAGUGUCGACGCCACCGCCGUUGCUAUUCGCCCCCUUGCGUCGGCCACCACUCGCCACAGCCGUGGAAAAUUGUUUCGCGACCGUUCUAUGUUGAAAACCCGACCAUAGACUUCCUCCCCUCCUUCCCAACUCAUAGACCCGACCGUUUUAUGUUGAAAAUCAAAAUUGUUUCGCGUCAAGAUCAGUUCCAUGGAUCCAUCCGAGAACCGGACCGCCGGUCCGGGCGGUCCGGUUCUCGGAUGGAUCCAUGCAACAAACGGGUGGAUCCCGGUUCCAAAAAAUUGGAACCGGUCCUUAGCGGGCUCAAUGUCCUUCGAGGCUUUAACCCGCCCGACCGAAACUUGUUUCGAUCUAAAAAGAUUUUCUCCUUGAUGGCAAAUUUGUGGGGAAGAAGAAGAUACCUCAACCUACUCAUCUUCCACAACACAUUUGGGAUGGAAACCGUAAUAUAUCUUGUCACAACCCAAUCCAAGAAUUCCGUACAUACAACGUUCCCCUUAAAUAUCGGAAAGCUGUUAAAAUCACUUCCCGGUAAACUGAAGAAUCUUAAAUGGACUAGGUCUCCCAUUGAUUUAGGUAAGCUUCUCUUCACAUUAAGGUUCUUUAGUUUCAGAACUCUUAAAAACUUACAAGAGUUGAAAAUAGGCAGAAAUUGCUUCGACUCCCAUUUGACACUUCCCAAGGACAUGAGAGUUCGAAGGAGGACAGCGUCCUUCUUGAUGCUNNNNNNNNNNNNNNNNNNNNNNNNNNNNNNNNNNNNNNNNNNNNNNNNNNNNNNNNNNNNNNNNNNNNNNNNNNNNNNNNNNNNNNNNNNNNNNNNNNNNNNNNNNNNNNNNNNNNNNNNNNNNNNNNNNNNNNNNNNNNNNNNNNNNNNNNNNNNNNNNNNNNNNNNNNNNNNNNNNNNNNNNNNNNNNNNNNNNNNNNNNNNNNNNNNNNNNNNNNNNNNNNNNNNNNNNNNNNNNNNNNNNNNNNNNNNNNNNNNNNNNNNNNNNNNNNNNNNNNNNNNNNNNNNNNNNNNNNNNNNNNNNNNNNNNNNNNNNNNNNNNNNNNNNNNNNNNNNNNNNNNNNNNNNNNNNNNNNNNNNNNNNNNNNNNNNNNNNNNNNNNNNNNNNNNNNNNNNNNNNNNNNNNNNNNNNNNNNNNNNNNNNNNNNNNNNNNNNNNNNNNNNNNNNNNNNNNNNNNNNNNNNNNNNNNNNNNNNNNNNNNNNNNNNNAUGCCAUCACUCAUAUAGAGUUCGCUAUGGAGAGAGACGACGAUGAUAAUGAUGAUGAGGAUGAAAAUGAUGAGCUCGUCGACCCAAUCCCAGUAUUAUUAUUGAGCGAUAAUCGUUCUGAGUUGUUGCGCGGCCAGGUCAUAAGAUUGGAAGCGAAUUGUUCGGAUAAUUCAUACUCAGUUUUUGUUUUAUCCGUUCUGCUUUUAGAUUGACUUUGAUCGAAGUUUCUCCUUAAUUGUUUUCAGGUACUAACAUUCAGAUGAAUGAGGAAGUGAGUUGCCAACUGACACUAGGGUUUUUCUUUAUAUGCUCUAGUUUUCCUUGUUUUCGGACAUUUUAUUUAUUUUAGUAUUACUGUAGUCAUUGCAUCGUAUUUUGUUUAUUUAAAAUUUUGAUAUUUUAUUUUUACAUUUUUUAAGGCGAAAUGAAUUGUGCUUUCUUGCAUUUUUUUCUUGGAUGGUUUGAACGACGUAGAUAUUGGUUCACAUGCUUCUUGAGAGUCAGCGGUGCUAACUUCUAUACUUUAAAACAAUUAUUACUAACAAAUGGAAGCUUUCCUUGGUUUGUGACUUACCACAUCAUGUGUAUGUGUAUCGUUUGUUUAGAGUUGUGAUGCAUGAAUUCAUGUUGAGAUUCUGGUAUAGUACCACGGUAAGACCAAGCAAUUCAUUUUUAGUGUUCUUUUACUAUUUAUGUCUCAACAUUUUCGUCAAGUCCGUGCUCCUUGUACUUUGUUGAGUAUCAGCUUUUUCCGUUACUUACAAGAUAGAGAAAAAAAUGGAUUUUCACCUGAAACAUGUAUGUUUUGACUGAGUGCUCCUUGUACCUCUCAUCAAUUCUUUUAGGAUUUUACAAGAAUAGAUGAUACAAAUUACACAUAUCAUCCAUUAGUACAAAGGAGUACAUGGCAUGUUGCAAUCACAUGUUAUAGUAUUCAAAAUUGUAUUUAUUUUUUUAUUUUAUAAAGCUGUGAUUAUAUAUGUGUGGUCUUUCUCCAUGUAACUUAUUACUUUCAAAAUUUUAUAUUAUAAAUUUUAAAAUGACACUAUAGAAACCACACUUAUAAUUUUGUAUCGAAACAUCUUACUAUCAACUAACUGCAAAAUGACUUAAGCACUUUGCUAAAUCUUCAAGUAAUGAGGUUUUCCUUUUUCUUAAAAUUUUCAUUAUUUUCCUCAUGAGUCAUUACGAGAAAAGUGAAUAGAUAGAGUUUUCAAAUUAUACAAUCAUCACAACUUACCCUUAAUUUUGAGGAGUUGAUUUAAUUAACAUUGCGAGUCUCACCGGCUUGUGGGUGCGUCCAUGGGAUGGUACGUACCAGAAUAACGCAUCUGUGAUGGUUUGUUCCUUUUGACAGCACAUUAAACGAAAAUUUGAUUCCUUUUGACUUCACACAAAACGAAAAAUAUGAUGAGUGAAUUACCGCGAUUAGCCCAUGGGAAACCAAUCCAGAAAAUACACAUAUAUGAUGCUGAACUCUUGCUAUCAGCCCCGGUCCAAAAAAAAAAAAAAAAACUCUUCCUAUCAGCCCAUGUGAAACCGCGUGAAAUCAAUUUAAAAAAAAUUAUCAUGCUGAACUCUUGCCAUCAGCCCAUGUGAAACCGCGUGAAAUCAUUAUGAUGCUGAACGAUUGCUAUCAGCCUAUGUGAAGCCAAAAAAGUUUUCGUUCCCCACGUCACAGGGCGGAUGAAAUAGCAGGUUCUUUUUGAACGGCCUAUUUUAACUCUAACCCAAGACCGGCGGCAGCUAGCAAUUGAGCACCUGCAAAAUCUCUGCCAUAAUCUCCACUGAUCAUAGUCUGAGCAGUGCAAUACCAAUGGCCGAGUCUGUUGUUUCGUUCGCGGUGGAGAAAAUAGGAAACCUGCUCAUCGACGAGGUCAAAUUCUUGAGGGGAGUGAAGGGCAAGGUCGAUGACCUAUACAGCGCGCUGAGGCGGGUCCAGGCCUUGCUGAGGGAUGUGGAUGCAAGACGAGAGCGCAAAAAAGCUGUGGAAGAAUGUGUCGCACAACUCCGAGACUUUGCCUAUGAUGCUGAGGAUGUCAUCGAGAGAUACUACCUCAAAGCGGCGCUGACGGAGGGACAAAACAUCAUCAAGGCGUAUGCUUGCUUCAUGGCGAAGUGCUCGUGCGUGCAGGUUCAUGAGGUGGGGACAGAGAUCGAGAGCUUAAAAUCCAGAAUUUCUGAAAUUGGUGAUGAGAUGCAGAAAUACGGCAUACAGCCUCUGAAUGAGAGCGAAUGCGAAACCGCGAGAGCUUCGACGCCAGAACGGACUUAUGCCCAUUUCGAGGAGGAAGAUUUUGUCGGGAGGGAAGAUCAUAUCAAGGUGUUGGUGAACGAGCUGUUGAAGGAUGGAGAACAACAGAGAGUUAUUUCCAUUUGUGGAAUGGGUGGUUUGGGUAAAACCACUCUUGCUAAGAAAGUCUUUGCUCAUGAAAAAGUGAAGAAGCAUUUCCAUGGUUUUGCUUGGGCUUGCAUAUCUCAAGAGUACCGGGUGAGGGAUAUCUUGGAGGGAAUUCUAGUUAAGUUGAACCCUGAUCAAAGAGAAGGGGUUAAGGAGAUGAAAGAUGACGAUUUGUUAGAAACUUUAUACAAGACCCAAAAAGAGAAGAGAUGUAUUGUGGUUCUUGACGAUAUUUGGACCGAACGGGCAUGGGUUGGUCUUAGAAACGCAUUCCCGACCAAGGACACGAGAAGCAAGCUAUUGAUAACAACCCGCAAUAGGGAAGUAGCUCAGCAUAUCGAUCCUCAUUGUUUUCUCAAUGAACCUCAGUUCUUAUCACAAGAGGAGAGCUGGAAUCUGCUAAAGAAGAAGGUUUUCCCUCAAACAAAAGGUAAGACUUCUCUAAAGUUAUUAACCUAACAUAGAGUGACUUCAAAGGAUUAUAUUGCCUGUUUGAUUCUAAUUUAUGGUGCUUCGGUUAUCAUUGCAGGAUUAGUUGUUGAAAUUUCUUCUGAUGGACCUAGAGUUGGUCAAGAUAUUGUUGCGGGCCAAGUUGUAGAAGAUAUUGCAAAACAGUCAGAGACAGAGGGACAAAUACCGGGUAUUUCAUUGCUUAGUUUGUCCUUUCGGAAACUUAAGCAAUUUAUAAAUAAAUAGUUACAAUGGAAUUCAAAUGAUCGAAAUAUCGAGUAUUAGGCACCAUAAUUUCAAUAUUUGGGGAAUCAAAUGCCCCUUUUGUUUUUUAAUAGUAAACAAUUAUACCACUAAACCAAGAUCCAAAACUUUGUUCAUCCUUUCCUCUAAUGAGGUUAAAUAUCGAAGAGGCUUUUAUAAGGCCAACAUAAUAAGCAAUUUUGAUAGGAUUUAUGAAAUAAUGUGAAGCCUAGCUAUGUUCUUCCAUAGGCUUCAUCUCAAGUCCACCUUUUUUGCAUUUGUGAAUAGUUGGCUUAACCAUAAAAGUAGGGAGUGAUAAGGAAAAUCGUGAAUCGUUAUGUGGCACAUGAAGAUUUCAUUAGAAUUUGUGCGGGAGAUUAGUAGCACAUUCAAGUUACAAGAGAUCACGCUCAAGUGAUCCCUGCGCUGCUUUCAUAUUUCUUCAUCAAGUAGGUUUAUUGUUGUUUUACAUUUGCUUGAGUCACUUAAUCCAAGCCACGGUUUGGACUUCUUGAUUUUCCAGGCGUAGAUGGAGGCAUAUAUGGGAGCUUUGUUGUGGUCCCCAUUUUUCACCUAACAAAAGCAUAAAUGAAUAACAAAUUAUGAAGAACUAUAGCGUCUUACUUAUACAUCUAAACACAUAUAUUCGUCCUUGAAGUAAUCUUUUUAUUAUAGUUGCAUCUUCCUAUGAUUGCUGAGUUGCAAUUUGUUGCCUAAUAUUGUGUAGUAAUCACUGAAGACAUGAAGAUGUUAGCAUAUAAACUCCUUAAGAAGUGUGCAGGAUUGCCCUUGGCUGUCGUUGUGCUUGGUGGACUUUUGGCACACAAUGAUUGGGAGACAGUUCACAAAACCAUCAAUUUGCAUUUUAAUGAUAAGCGUAAUGUAUCAGAAGUGUUAGCCUUAAGCUAUGACAAUUUACCAUCACAUCUAAAGCCAUGCUUCCUCUAUUUGGGUAGUUUUCCUGAGGAUGCAGAAAUCCAUGCAAAGGAAGUUCUUUACAUGUGGAUUGCUGAAGGUUUUGUGUCGCUAAACGCAAACAACAAAGCGAGAGGAAUUUCAGUGGAAGAUUUAGCAGAGCAAUAUGUAAUGGAGUUUGUUAACAGAGGAAUGGUUCAAGUACGAUUCAAUUUAAUUGGAAAGAUCAAAAGCUUCCACCUCCAUGACUUGAUGCGAGACUUAUGCAUCUCUAAGGCUCUAGAAGAGAGUUUUCUAAGCAUUCUUAACAUUCAACAGGACAAUGAGACGGAGAAUUGUUCUGCUUCAAUGGCAAUAAAAGUUGGGUCAAGUUGCAAAAUACGAAGGCUUUCUCUUAAUAGAAAUGUGAUUCCAAGCUUAAAAGCAUCAAGAAGGACUUUGGUCCACCUUCGAACUCUCAUGUCCUUCGGAGGUGUCAAAUGGGAGUCGAAGCAAUUUCAGCCUAUUUUCAACUAUUGUAAGUUUCUCAGAGUUUUGAAACUAGAGAACCUUAAUGUGAAGAGAAGCUUACCUAAAUCAAUGGGAGACCUAGUCCAUUUACGAUUCUUAAGUUUAGCAGGAAGUGAUUUUAACAGCUUGCCGCAAUCUAUGGGGAACGUUGUAUGUAUGGAAUUCUUGGACUUGGUUGUGACUAGAUAUAUUACGGUUUCCAUCCCAAAUGUGUUGUGGAAGAUGAGAAGGUUGAGGUAUCUCCAUCUUCCCCACAAAUUUGCCAUCAAGGAGAAAAUCCUUUGGGAUCGAAAGAAGUUGCGGUUGGGCACGUUAAAGAAUCUACGGACAUUGAAAAACUUUGAUUUGAAGAAAUGUGAUGUGAACGAUAUAGACAAGUUUACCAAUCUGCAAAAACUGACUGUCCUUGACAAGUAUGGUUGUGUUAAGCUAGAGAUGUUUCCACAGCUUGUUGAAUUCAAUUUGAAACAUCUUCGAUUCUUGUCUUUGUAUCUGCAAUAUAAUUUAUGGACUGAAGGUGAAUUGAGUAAAAUGUCAAAUUAUCCUCAUUCCUGUAAGCUGUCCAUAAAUGGAAGAAUAGAGAAGUUACCAGAACAUAAGAGUCUACCCCAGCAAUUGAGGAAGCUGAUCUUAAUAGAUUCUCAGCUCAAAGAAGAUCCGAUGCCAAUAUUGGAGAAAUUGCCUCACUUGGUUUUUCUCAUGCUGGGAUAUUAUGCUUUCAUGGGAAAGGAAAUGGUUUGCUCUGCGGGAGGCUUUCCUCAACUCAAGCAUUUACUUUUUGAUGCAUUACUUGAUUUGGAGGAGUGGAGGGCCGCUGAAGGAGCCGUGCCUCAUCUUUCUCGAUUAGGGAUCUACCUUUGUCCCAACUUGAGGGUGGUGGUACCUCCACGUAUCUCUACAUAUGACGGUUACGACGAAUCAUUGAAGGAGUUGGGGAAGUGCGGCCUUUUUUGAGAGAGGGAUAAUGAUGUGGGUGGCCAAGGGUGGCCCCAGCUGUUCAGAGAGAGAGAGGAGGGAGGGGCGCGUGGAGCUUGUGGGUUGUUAGGGGGUGGGCCCCCCUAGAAUAAAUAAUCUAAUCUCAUAUAUCAUAUAUAAUUGAGUGAAAAUAGAGAGUAUUUGUAUUAUGGCAUUCCUUUACUAAUUAUUUUUCAUGUCUGUCUUUCCAUCAUAAAUCAUCAUUCGUUUCGUUUUCCCUCUCAUCCCUGAGGACUUCCCAAUCAGUGGGGGGUGGAAUCUGCUGUUUCACACUCGCUGUCGAGAGAACUCAGCGACUUUGCUCAUGGAAGACAGCAAAGUUCUCGCGAGCGCCGCGAGGAGGAGGAGGAGGAGGAGGAGCGAAUUCGUUGCGUCUCUAAAAGACGGUGGAUGGGGGGAGGCAUCUGAAGAAAUAAGAGUCGUCGCUUGUCGUGGCGUUGGAAGACAGUCAUCGUUGGAAGCUGCUGCCUUGGAGAGGGGAGGAAAGGAGAGGAGAUCCGAUCAUUUCCAUACUGCUGGUCAGGUGUUUGACGAAAUGCGAAUGCGGAGUAGGAACUGGGGUACAUUUAUCUGAAAUGGGCGUGUUGCUUCCGGCUUGUGCAAUUGAUUUCUUUGUAUAUAGAUGAACGAUGACGAGAAAUACAACGGUGCAUUUUGCAUCUGCCAAUCUCCUACAUAUAUAUAUUUUUAUCAGUAUCCCAGUCUCCUACAUGUAAAAGAUUCUGUCGUGUGUGCUCACAUUAGUCUUUCCCUUUGAACGAUGUUGAUGAAAUUGCUGGAUGUAGCGAGAAAGCAUAUGAUUAUUUGUCAAUCGGUGACGCUCAGCAAAUGUUGCUCUUCUCCUGCGACCAACAACUCACGGUAUAUAUUGAGGAGGUAAAUAUUAGAGAGGAUUCUGGCUUUUUCUACCUGGAAUUCUGUUCUCGCUUGACUAAUUAAGUCAAAAUGAUACUAUCCGCUCCAGUAUCAGUUCAGAUCUUCGAAGGGUCUCAUAAAAUCUCUUCUAUUGAGUUGCUAAUCCAUGUCCUCUUCAACUGUUAUAAUUAUCUUCUUCUGGAAUCACAGCCUGAUGUUAAACUUGCACUUACCACGUCCAUGUGUCAUUUGGCCCUUGCUGUGGCUCUGCUGAGUUUGAACUUGGAAAGGGGUGCUCAGUACAGAAACCUCGUGCUUUAAAAAGGGCUUCAUAGUGUGUGGAAGGAGACAUCCACGUAAAAGCUGUAUUGUGGAGCCUGAACAAUUACAUAUGUUAUCUUUUGGAAUGCAGGAGCAUCCCAAUUGGCAAAUGAAGAGUGGGUCUGUAUAUUUUCAAUGGAAAUGGAUAAUGACAGUCAAUGCACGAGGGUGUGAAUUUGAAUCUGUUUGCUGCAUCUUCAUUGUAACAGGUGAAGAUACUCUAAACAUUAGUAUGAUGGAUUUUCCAGUUGCCUUCUUCAGUUUCCACUUCUCAGGAAGCUUCCAAUUAUGAUGAGCUCUUCAUGAAACAGAGAGCUUGAACAUUCCAAAUAGCUGAAGGUACUUCAUAAUACACCUAUAGUUUUCUUCAGUACAUAGCUACAAAUGUGAGAUAAAUAGGUUUUCACUUCAUUGUCUUGUACCGGCUUGAGCAUUUCUUCCUGUUGCACAUCUGGUAAAUUGCCUCGACAAAUAUCGUAGAGUGGUAAACACAUUAAAAGAUUUUGCGACGAAAGCUUUCAUAAUCUAUGUGGAUCACUUGGGCUCCAUGACCUAUAAGGUCCACUGUCUCCUGGAUGACAAGAUUGAGGAAGCAUCUGCGGUUGAGCUCAGAUUUUCUUGUGUUCAAUAGUUGUGCAAUAUAAUUAGGUUUUCCUUGUUUUGUAGUAUUUAGGAUGGGAAGGGCUUGCAUACCCUCUGAUUUACCACGUGCAGGGUCUAAUAGAUUGCAACUGAUCAAGAAGAAUCUAGUUUUUGAAAAUCUGAAAUUGCUCUAGAUAAACUCCAUAAUGUGCCAGAUUAUAUCAUAUUGUGACAAACUAAUUACUAGAGCAAGAGAGAUUCUAAAUAGCAGAAGAAAUCUUGCUUUGACCAAAGUAUGGAAAAUGGCAAACAACCAUCUCUCGUGCUAUCAACUUAUUUAUCACAAAGUAACAAAUAGAACUUUCAACAAUGUUAUUGUGUUUCAGAGACUAUUGACGUCUGAGACGUUCAUAGACCAUGGAGGUUUCUCAGCACUCACUAGCGAUAAGAACUCUGGAGGACCUCAUGCGAUAUAUCUUACCAGGCACACUUCCCUUCACAAGAUAUAUCUGUUGUUUUAUUAAGACCAACAUGUCGGUGUUGGCUCAUGCUUCAUAACUUUCUCUCAGUUUCAAAAGCUAAAGACGAGGAAGUCGGCAAAAUUUGCGAUAAUACAUGACAAUUGGCUUAAAUGGCAAAAUGUCCAAAUGCUAACAUUGUAUGACCCAUUUUCUGGUUUAACUACCAUAAGCAUAUUGCAUGUAACAAGAUUGGUCUAUUAGAUGAAGAAUUUUUUUUUUUUUUUUUUUUUUUUUGUAAUUAGAUGAAGAAAGUUCACGAGUUAUAGAACUACUUUUCUUGUUCUUCGGAUGUCUUGAGAACAUGAUCUUUUAUGAUGGAUUGUCUUGUGAAUCGCCAUUAUAUCCCCACAUGAACAUCCAGUACCCAUCGGAACCGGAAGAUCCACUUCAAUAUAUACUCAUGCUGAGAGGAAUAGGAGAACUGAUAUCGAGCUUUAUUCAUGCAAAAACAAACGUCUCUUCAAGGCCUUGCUUAGCAGUUAGCAUGCGGAAGUCAAGAAGGGACAGCAAGUUAUUGAAGUUCCUGGACGAGAGCUAAGAAGAACAGGGGAUGAAAGAAAACGGAUAGGCCCAUUAUCACGGUUUCUUUGCACCGCAAGUAUGACCUAUGCUGUAUUUGUUAUGGUAGCUUAAGCUAGCUUUAAGAUUUUGAGAAUAAUUUAAUGCAAUAAGAAACGGAACGAAAAGAAAGUCCUGAUAAAAUUAAAUAAUUUCUACAAGGAAUUCCUUCGGAAGAUGGUUGCCGCUCUAUAGUCUACAGUUCACUCUUGCCUGUUAUUCCAAACAGAGAAGGUAAAGAUUGAAGAAUGUUUAGAAAGCUGAGAUACUGUUUCCUCCCGGUAAUUAAGUAAUGAUAGGCUCACAAGCCACGAUUCACAAGACACAGCUUAAGACCAGGCAACCUGGAAGGGACCAAUAAAAUUGCUUAAGCAGCUAUUUAUCAAAAUCACAGGCUGCUUUUCCCUCAGUUUGACUAAGGAGCUGCUGUUACAUGAUCUGCAUGCUAAGACACAGCUAAAACUGGGCAACCUUCAAUGGCCAGAUAUGUGUUAUCUAACGAAUAUCUAAAGUGAGCAUCUCUCUCGAUAGGAAUCAAACGAGUGUUGUGUACAAACGAACGGUCUAUGAUGCAACUUUGUCCUGCCAUAUAAAUAUUUGAAGACAUUAGAAGACACACCGAAUUAUUUCUGCUUCCUCAGCUGAACUUCUUCACCAUGCUUUCACUUGUCUUUAAUUUAACUAAUAUCUCAGAUUGACACGGGUGGCCUCUUUCCAUUUCGAUAUGUAAACAUAGUGUACCUCAAUAUGUUGAAUGUCGUUGCAAAUACAUUGAUAAUGUUGUAUAACUAAAAUGGUUUCAGAUCAGACACCUGCAAAUGGACUGGGCACUAAAACACUCCCCAUAAAUACAAGAGCUCGACUGUACGAAUUUCAUAUGCGAUAGGCACGAGAUUUUUGUGCACACCAUUCAGAUUCUUAUAGUAGUCAAUACGGUCGAUUGAGCAAUGAGCAUUGUUCAAAAUCCAAGAUCAAAACUGGGACACUCGGCCUUCACUUUUAAUUGAUCCCUAUCUCCUUCGGGGGUCUUCAAUUCAUCAUUAGCAUCGCCACAAGAACUGCUUGAAAGAGAUGCUUUGGAAGCAAGGCUUGUUACCACAACAUUUGGGGUCAGCUUGCUUGGGAGAAGGCGGGAAGCGAUAAUUGGACCAGAUGUGUAUGCUAGUCAUACAGAGCGCAGUGCAAUUGAGAAUGUCCACUUAGUAAAUGCAGAACUAGACUUUGGUUUCUUACAAGCAGUUGCUACCUGCAGCUAAUUUGUUUCUGCGUGUAUAGUAGUUUGCACCAAAAAGUUUCAACAAACAUCGAAACUCAUGAAGUUCUAAUGGAGUUUCAAGAUGCUUAUUGUCAUUUGUCAUAACCUUGCCACCAAUGGCUCAAAAAUGGAGCCGAAAGUAUUCAUUACCCUAAAUUUAACAGGACAAGUAGCCGUGGAAUAGGUGGGAGUUGCCAUUUUGAAAGCCCUUCCAUAGAGUGAAAUUCAUUGAAAUCAGAGGAUGAUUCUGAUGAAAUUCUACAAUGUAGACAAGAAAACAUAAUCUAUGAGAAAAAUAACAUUAAAAUUUGAAAGAAUGCUGAAUUGAAAGAAAUCACGGCUAAACCUACCUUUUUCGACUUCAUGAGACUAGGUAACUUUUCGUAGCCAAUGUUGUCAGCUAGAUUUCCGAUGCCUUAUACUCUACUGAAGGUAGUCUAGCAGAUGGCACUCUUUAUUUUUUAGCAACAUCAGAAAAAUUAUCUGAAUGCUGAAGCUCCUCUGUCAGUGAAGCAAAACUUACCUUCCUCUCAUAUGACUUUCUCCAGCGGCAACUUGAUAUAAUGGUUUUCGGAGGACAGAUAAUAUUUGAUAGGCCGCAUCGAUUGGAUUACAAGAGCUCAUUUGCAAGCUACAGUAAGUAACACAAUGUAAGUUCCUCCAAUAAGCACGGGAGUUACUCUACUUCUAUUCUAAUUCUCACUUUCACAGACUUUUGCAUUACCUCAUUGCAGGCUGUAAGAAUCGAAACUCACAUUUGAAACUAAACCGUCCUUACUCAAACCCCCAUAAAAAUGUGGGGAUUUGAACUCUCCAUAUCCCAUUUCCAUGUUGGACGGGUGCCCUGUGGUUUAAUAAACACGGGGAGUUAACUUUGAAGGAAAUGCAAAAUAAAGGGCACAGCAAUGCAUCAACAUCGAUACAACCACUCCAAGCUUAAUUGCAUGAAAUUCUUCUUUCAAGACCAGAUUCAUGACACGAUCUAUCUAUUUGGUAACUCCUUCAUGUGAAAAGAGAUUUUUGUUUUACACCAUUAAAUGUAUAAAUUAUAUAAUAUAUUGAUGACAAUAAUAUCAAUUGUAUUCGCUAGUUCAUUUGCCCAAAGUUGUUCCUAGAUUCUUAAAUUAAUAUCAUAUAUAUUAUCUCAUAUCAAGUUAAACCGUACGCACGCGCACUACUCGAAUUUUCUUCAUUUCACGCUUUAGUCUUUCUCUAUUGAGUCAACGCACCCUCGCGUUAUAUGUAAGAACGCUAGACUACUUCUUUCCAGCCAUCUGUGUGUAAUCGUUUCGAAGCUGACAUGACGUAUUCAUUAUCAAAAAUUCCAUCCAUUCUGCAAUUUUGCAACAUUCUGUUCGUUUCAUUUUCCCUAUCAUCCUCGUGGACUUCAAUUCGGGGGGAAUCCAUCGUUUUGCUUGCUGUGGAGAGGAGAGGAACUCGCGAAUUGCUCAUGGAAGAUUGCGAAGUUCUCCCAAAUGUUGCUGUUCUCCUGCGAAGAGAGGAUUUUAGCUUCCUCUACCUGGAAUUCUGUUGUAAAUUGACUAAUUAAGUCAGAAGGGUAUUAUACUCUUCAGCAUCAGUUCAGACCUUUGGAAAGUGUCGCUCAUAAAUUGACUGUCGCGACCUCUUUUUUUCUUUCGGCGCCCGAUCACGGACGGGCGCCUAAGGAGGCUAAUGGCCCGGCUGAAUUUAGUUAUGCCUGGACUCUCCCAAGUCCACCAAUUCACAACUUUAAUAGUCUAAUUUUUUAACCUGUAAGUCAAUUAAAAUGGAGUUACCACUAAUCGAUUUGAGAUUGGUUGAUUAGAAACCCAAGCGAAGUAUCGGGAGAAAUACUCACUCCUACGCAAUCAACUCCUCCGCAACCAGAGAAAUUAGGAUCGAAAACUUGAUUACAUUAGUUAAUCACUAAUAUCCUUUCGGUACCUAAUCUUGUUUAAACAUUAAGGUUUUUUUAUGUUCGAUAGAUUUUUCAUGCAUUUUUUGGAGCAAAACAUUUUUUUUUAGUCUUUUUCUAAUUUUUUUGGACAUAAAAGGAUUUUUUGGUUUUUUUGGAAAAAUACAAGUCUUUUUUUGGCUUUUUCUGAAUUUUUUGGAUUUUUCAUGAAUUUUCGGCUUUUUUUUAUUUUUGGCAUUUUUUGGAAAAUAUGUAAUUUUUUUGAUUUUUUUGAUUUUUCGAAAAAUAAAAUAUUUUUUUAUAUUUUCAAUAUUUAUGGAAAAUAAAUUAUUUUUUAUUUUUCUCGAUUUUUUUUUAAAUAAAACAUUUUAAACAUUUUUUAAAUAAUUUUUUUAAAUAAAACAUUUUUUGAUUUUUUUUUAAAAUAAAAUAUUUAUUAUUUAUUUAUUUAUUAAAAAUAAAAUUUAAAAAGCCGACCCGGGUCGGAUCCGCGGGUUGGGUCCAACCCGGGCCAGCGACCCGAAUGCGGACGGGCCCGCGUUGCGAGCCCGACUCGGAUUUUUUUGUCUUUUUUUCUUCUUUUUUUUUUUAUUUUUAUUGAAACGGCGUCGUGGCUAGGUGUUUAGGGACACCCGGCCCGACCCGACAACCCUGUCCGAUAGCCCGCUCCACGACCCGGCUCCCCGGUGAAAACCCUACCCGGAUCCGACCCGACUCGCGACCCGACCUCCGCCGCCCCCGGGAUUUACAGAAUCCCUACCCGAUUCUCGAUCCGGGUCCGACCCGACAACCCGGGAUCGUGACUUGGAAAAUCGGGAACCCUAGGGUUUCCGAAUCGAGGCACCAAGGAGGCGCAGCGGCGACGACGGCGAUGAUGGCCACGACGGCGGCGAUGACUGGACUGAGGAGAGGGAGGUGACGACGGCGACGGCGACGGUGCGGUACCUGCUCGUGACGACGGCGCGACGAGGGCGGCGAUGAUAGCGAGACCCCCGCAAAUCUCUUCUUCUCUGGCGUCUCUCUUCUCUCUCUCUACUCCUCCCUCCGGCGAGACCCUGAUCCGAAGCCGCGAGACCUCGGCCCCACUGAAGUCUCUCAGUGGGGUGUCCAAGGGUCGCGACUUCGAUCCCCUCUGCCUCUCUCUCCCUUCGUGUGUCUCUGUGUUCGCUUCUCCGGCUAGAUUCAAGAUCUCCAGCGGCUCGUCUUCGGGCCUCCCCUGAAGUCUCUCAGGGGAAGCUAUCGAAGCUUACUAUCAGUGAUAUCCUCUUCGCCGUCUGUGUGUCCUUCGUCGGGGAUGGAGGGCCUAUUUAUAGGCCGAGGGGUGGUCGGUCGACGGAGCUCGACCGUCGGUUGCCACGGCCUUCCCCAGCCGAACCGGCGUCCCAUCCGACGCCAGCUACCCCCCUGCUCCACGUCCCAUCGCCGUCCGGUGCUAGCUACUCCACGUGCGUCGCUGCUCCUCCCCUCCGCUCUGGCGUCGCGCCUCCGGCGCGUGUGGUGCAAAGGCGCGAGGAAGAAGAAGACCUGGCUGGGCCGGGCUGAGGCGGAAAUGGGCCAAGGAGGCCCAGAGGAGGGGCUUUUUCUGUUUUUCUUGUUUUUUCCGUUAUUUGUUUAUUUAUUAUCCAAUAAAGAAAAUAAAAACUUGAUAAAUAAAAUAAAAUAGACCUAAAUAAAAUUAAGGCGUCAACAUUGACCAAUGGACCCUCGCCCCUCGGUGACAGUAAUUGUCUUCAUUGGUCAAAGAGUCGCAAAGCAUUGAAAUAGUCGUUGCACAGCCGCGGGCUCAUGCUUACUCUUGAUUGUUGGUAUUCAGAAACCAUCUUUUAAGAUCGAUUUGGACGAGUCGCGUAGCAGAAUCGUGUCAGAUUUUUCUUUUCCCCUAUAUUUUCUCCUAGACUCCAGAUUGAGCUCUGUGAACAUGAGAUUCUGCUUUCUACAUUUUCUGCAUAAAGCCCCCAGGACAGAGCAGAAUCGAUUAUUCUGGGGUUUGCAAUUCCAUUGAGUCUUGCCUGAUAGAUGAUUUGGCCUUCGCACGGUUAAAUCGUCGCUAAAUGCUGUUGCCCGACUAUGAUAAUUGAUGUUCCUCCUACUGGGAAAGAACAAUGAAAGUCAUUAUUGAUUGACUCAUAGCUGUUGCGUUGCGACAAUCAUCAACAAAUCUCAUCAUAUAGUACGAUGAUGUAUCAUAAAAGUCUGAUAAGGAAUUCCCAACCACCCAAAAUGUUCCAAAUUCAUGACUUUUUAUAUCAUGUCCAUUCCAUUAUUUUCUCAAAUGACUUGCUUUUUUUUGUUUCUCUUCAAGUUGGCGGUUCUACUCCAAAGUGCAUGUUUCCUUUUCAUCUUUACCAUGAAAUCUUGCUCAAUCUUCAAGAUGACGAUGUUAAUAAAAAGUUGACAAAUGCAAAUAUUUUGCUACCUCACUUUUAAUUGCGUUUACAGGAUCUUUUGCAAAACCUCACUUUCAUUGGAUUUGCAUGCACAGCUAGAGUAGGUCUAUGGUUAGAUUAAAUGUCAUUCGGUAGCUUAAUUGAAUGUGUAAGUCCCGCAUCACCCGACUUCCUAAAAAAGUCCGUUGUCUCUUGUACAAAUUGAUUAUAUCCAAAAAAGGAAAAAAAAAAGGAUCACUUUAUUGACAACUAAAUUAAGCACAACUAUCCAUUGAGGAUGCCAUUUUACAUAAUUGGUACCAAAUAAAUUUUUAGAUGAAUGCAAAUUGAGUUGGGAAUUUCACUGAAUCCACAUUUUAAAUGUGAUAGAUCUACCCUGUGCAGGCUAAUGAAUGAGAUCAAACCCAUCCUUGAGUUCAAAUCAAGCUCGACAAAUUUGGGUGAAGAAUUAAACUGAAUUCAUCAGUGAGCAAGUUGGGUGGGACUCCCAACGACUUUAAUGGCAAUGCCAUUAUCAUUUACCAGCUCAUCACAUGAUUUUAAUGUAGGCAAAAAGCAAGUUAGUCUUUUAUUUUAAGUGAACGAAGUCUUUUCUAUUUUUCAACUUUUUCCACAUACUAAUUUAGUGUGGCUCAAAUGAUAAAAAAAAGCUCGAGCUAACAGCACCAGACAGCUGAUGCAUGUUGGCUACGUAGAGGAUCGACUUCUAUGUAGUACCAAAUGCCAAACUGACACGGCAUCAUUCACACAAGAAGAAUGUUAAUGCUUUCGAUGGACGAGAGUGAAUGAAAAUGACAGUAUUUCUCACUCAUAAGCAGAUAUUACACUUGAUCCUGGCAAAAGAAUGACUUGAAAAACCCCUUCUCACGUGUCAUGCCGCGUAUAAAUAUCGGGAGAUGAGAAAAGUAGUAAGCAGAAUGAACGGAAGCGGAGAUUGAAUUGGUGAGAAUCUACCUUUAUGCUAGAUAUGUAAAACCUUAGAUUAUUAGAUGGAAGAAAAUGCUCAUACAUGACAGGCUUAUGGGCAAAAUAGCGAUUAAGAAUUAUUGGGAUAUUAUUGUAUUGGACAUCUCAGUUUUGUGGUGUUCAGUUUGGGUGUGCGUUGCUUUCAGUACUUAAUCCCAAAAAACUCAGCGCCUUGCUUGUCCUUGUUAGGAUGGUGCAGCCUUCAUCAUACCCCAAUUAUUGCUCUCCCCAACAGAGACACUCAAACAACCUUGUGACAGAAGCAAAAGGCACAAAUCACUAUGACACUUGGUGGUGACCCAUUUCUGCAAGAUGAUUUUUCUACUCUCUCUCCCCCUCUCUCAAUAUCUAAGGUGAAGAUCACUAAUUUUGGUUAUGGCCUUUUGGAUAUCUUUCUUUGCUUUUCCUUAUCAGAGAAUGUUAGGGAGCUGAAAGGAGGCUUGGGACUGUGUUGCAGUAGAUAAAAAGGAGGUAACGUCAGCUUCAUAUUCUUCGCAUAUGCUUUUUGCUCUCCUGUUGAGAUUUUUUGUCUGGUUCUUUUUGGAUCUGCGGUUUGGCAAUGCUCUGUGUGAUCCGUGAAUUGACAAAACAAGAAGAAAUGCUUCCAUUGGCAAUAACUGUUGUCGUCGGCACAUGGAGAACUCUGUGAGCAUUGCAAUAUCUCAGGAUUUUAGCCUCGGCUUUGUUGGAAGGAAAUGGUCGAGAUAAGAAUAGGGAAAGAAUGUCAAGAAGAAGAAAAUACGUCGUGGAAAUAAAUAAUGGUAGUCAGUGCCCAAGGGUGUGAAGUUGAAUCUGAUUGCUUCAACUUCACUAUAACAGGUGAAAAUACUCUGAACUUUGGUAUGAUGGAUGCUUGCCAGUCACCUCCUUCAUUUUCCUCCCCUCGAGGAGCUUCGCAUUAUGAUGAGCUCUCCAUGAAAGAGAGUUUGAUCUUUUCAGAUAGCCUGAAGGUACAUAACUACUAGUUACUUUUUCUUGGUUUACCUUAAAAUUCGAUUGAUGUUCCUCUAUUUUUUUCACCUAUUAGAUGAUCAAAUUCCCCAUGAUCUAGUUUACAUCAUGUUCGCGUGAAAAGAGUUUGUAUUUGUCUUGCAUGCUAAUCAUAAGCUUUUCUCUAAACAGGACUUGAAGGAUCUUAGGAAGCAAUUAUACUCAGCAGCUGAAUAUUUUGAAUCAUCUUACAACGGACAAGAUCAUAAACAAAUGUGAGAUGCAUAGGUUUUCAAUUCAUGAUAGUGUACCGGCUUGAGCAUUUAUUUAUGUUGCGCAUCUCUUUGUUGACCUUGUCAAUACUGUAGAGUGGUGAACACGCUCAGAGAUUAUACAACUAAAGCUUUCAUCAACACUGUGGAUCACUUGGGCUCCAUGACUUAUGAGGUCAAUUGUCUCCUGGAUGACAAGAUUGGCGAAGCUUCUGCAAUUGAGCUUAGAUUCUCUUGUGUUCAACAGGUGUGCCAUAUAAUUAGGUUUUCCUUGUAUUAUAGCAUCAUGAAUGAGAAGGGCUUGCAUACCCUAUGAUCUACCAUGUGCAGGGUCUAAUAAAUUGCAACCUACCAAGAAAAAUUAAGUUCUUGAUACCGUGAAAUUACUCCAAAUAAACUACAUGACUUGCCGGAUUAUAUUACAGUGUAACAAACUAAUUGGCAGAGCAAAAUAUAUUCUGAAUAGCAUAGUAUAUCUUGCUUCAACAAUAAUAUGGAAAAUGGCAUAGAGAACAACUAACUCUCAUCCUGUUGACUCAUUUAUCACAGAUAACGAAUAUAAUCUUCAACCCUAUUUUUGUGUUUUAGAGACAACGAAUGUGUGAGAUGUUCAUAGACCACGGAGACCUAUCUCAACAGUCGCUAGCAAUAAGAACUCCGAAGCACCACAUGCGAUAUAUCCUACCAGGCAUGCUUCCCUUCACAAGAUUUGUCAUUGGUUUAUUAAGACCAAAAUAUCGAAGUUGGUUCAUGCUUAAGAACUUUAUUUCAGUUUCAAAAGCUAAAGACGGUGGAGACAACAAAAAUCUGCGGUAUUGCAUGACAAAUGAAGUAAAUGGCGAAAUAUCAGCAGGUGAACAUUGUAUGACUCUUUUUCUGGUUUAGCUACCACUGUGCACAUUUCACGGAACAAGAUUGGCCUAUUAGAUGUAAAAAGUUCAUGAGUCAUAGAAGUAGCUGUUCUCUCGCUCAUCAUUUGCAAGUGUUCAACUUAUUCCAUCAAAAAGCAAAUUAUCAAAUGCUACUACUGACGUACUAAUAACUUUUUUUGCUUUCCAAAGAAGUAUAUCCGAGAAAUAUAGAGACUUCUGCAUCAAUCGUCAGGUAACUUUUGACUGAAUUUGUGCUCAUCAUCCUAGCUCCGGAAAGACCUGAUGCUGACAAUGGAACCCUGAUGCAGGAGACGGCAUUUGGCAACACAAUUUCCACAAUCCUCCCGAACGGGCCCCUUUUCAUUCGCAAGUACCUUGUCCAACAAAAAAGCAGGUCGGUAUCGAAUACUCCAAAUUGGGGGGUAAGAGCAUUAAGAGUGCCCAAACUUUCGUUUGUGCUUAUCUAAGUGCCAAAACUUUAUUUUUGCUCACUUUAGUGUCACAAAUUUGAAAAAUUAAUCAUUUGAGUACUAAUUCCGAAUUAUCUCCCCAAAAAAUUUGACAUAGACGCUGGUUGUUUAACGUGGCUUUGCAAGCACUAACGUGUACAAUUUUUAAAAUACUUUUUUUUUUUUUGGCCUUUUUAUUUAGGGCAGGCAAGAGUCACCAGCCACAAAAUCCUUGCCCAAUCUGGGCAAGGGCUGCCUCGCCCUUGGUCACGAAGGCACUAAACGAGGUUGCGAAGGCCCUAAGUGAGGUCACCAAGGCCUCACUAGCCACUACACUGGCGAAGUUAUGAGGGCCCUCGCCUAGGGCCUUCGUGGCUAGAUUUGUGUGAGGGCCGCCUCUCCCUCGUUGUGAAGGCCCUAUGCGAGGGCAUCACAUCCUCACCGGCCACUGGCAACAUUGCCCAAAGCUGGUGAGGGCUCUCACGGCCUCGCCUAGGACUUCACACCCGAGGGCGAGGGUUUCGCAACCAACGAGGGUCACUGGUGACCCUCGUGGCAAAAAAAGAGAAGAAAAAUAAAUAAAUAAAUAAUUUUAAAAAAAUUCAAAAAAAUAAAUAAAUUCAAAUGUAGAAUGAUUUGCUAGAAUUGACACUCAAAUAAUUGAUUUUAUUCUGAUGUGGCACUCAAGUGAAUAAUUUUUUUUUUUUUUGACACUCCUAAUGUUCUUACCCCCUCCAGAUUGCCAUACAUAGCGUUUACAUCAUGUUUUCAUGCCCUAUGAUUGUAUCAUUUAUCAUGUAGUCAGACAAGCUACUAAUGCAAGCAGCACCUUUUCUAAACAGAAAAACGCACCUCCCCAUUUCUAUUUCAACUCACACGUUCAAGUUCUCUGUCCGAUAAAUCCACAUCUCCAAACCCUUCUAACGCCAAAAAACGAGUAAGCAUCAAUGAAAUUCAGUGCAGCUUAGCUAUUAAGCUUCAUUUUUUGUUGGACAUGUCUUGCGGACAUGACCUCUCAUGGCCGAGUCUGUUAUAUGCCCAUAUGAACAUCCAGUACCCAUCGGAACCCCGAAGAUCCACUUCAAUGUCUACUCAUGUUGAGAGGAACAGAACUGAUAUCGAGCUAUGCUCCAGCAAAAACGAAAGUCUCUUCAAGGCCUUGCUUAGCAUGCGGAAGUCAAGAAAGGACAGCAAGUUGUACAAGUUCCUGGACGAGAACUAAGAAGAACAGGGGAUAAAGGAAACCAGAUAGACCCACAUAUGAGUUUCUUUGCAUCAAAAGUGUACCUAAAUAUGUUGAAGAUCACUGGAAAUACAUUGAUUAUGUCGUAUAACUAAAAAUGUUUCAGAUCAGACAGCUGCAAAUGAAUUUGGCACCAGAACGCUCCACAUAAAAACAGGAGCUCAACUGUACAGAUUUCUUAUGUGACAGGCAGAAGAUUCUUGCGCACUCCAUCCAGAUGCUUGACAGUAGCAAUAUUGUUGAUUGAGCAAUGGAUAUGGUUCAAAAUCCAAGAUCAAAACUGGGACACUCAGCCUUCACUUUCAAUGGAUCUCUAUCUCCUUCUGGGUCCAUAAUAUUGUUGAUUGAGCAAUGGAUAUGGUUCAAAAUCCAAGAUCAAAACUGGGACACUCAGCCUUCACUUUCAAUGGAUCUCUAUCUCCUUCUUGGUCCAUUCUUUUAUCACUAGCAUCGCUGUGAGAACCGUGUGAAAGCAAUGCUUCAGAAACAAGAUUGUCGCUCCAGCACUUGGGGUCAGCUUGCCCAUGAGAAGGCUGCAAACGUUAAUUGCAGCAGAUGUACACGUUAGUCAUACAAAGCUCAGUGAAAUUGAGAAUGUCCUCAAGGUAAACAAAGAACUAGAUUUUGGACAGAAAUGCAUUAGAGAAUUCAAGCAGGGUCAUGCAUCUAGUUUGAACAUUCCCUGCGAGCAGUUGCUACCUGCUGCUAAUUUAAUUCAGCUUGUCCAAUAGUUUGGACGAAAGAGUUACAUCAAACAUCAAAACUGAUUAAGUUCUGAGGGAAUUCCAGAUGCUUAGAGUGACAAUCUUGCCACAGACGGGUCAAAAUAGAGCUGAAAGAAUCUAUUACUGAAAAUAGAGCAGGACAAGUAGCUGUGAAAUACCUGUGAGUUGCCAAUUGCAAAGUCCCCCAUCAAGUAAGAUUCAUUGAAUUCAGAGGCUAAUUCUGAUGAUAUUUUACAAUGUCAGAUGAUGAAACAUAUAUUACAACAAAGCUAACACUAAAACUAAAAGAAUGCUGGAGUGAGUUAGAUUGCACUAAACCAACCUUUAGACUUCAUUAGACCAGAUAACUUUUCAUUGUUGGUGGUAUCAGUCAGAUUUCCAGCGUCCACAUUCUCCACCGAAGCCAGCUCAGGAGCUGGUGCUCUUUGUCUUUGAGCUCCAUCACAAAACUUCUCUGGAUCCUGAAGCUCCUUGGUUAGGGAAGCAAAAGUUGCCUUCCUUUCAUAUGAAUUUUCAGCAAUGGCAACUUGAUCUAAUGGUUUUCGCAGUACAGAUAGUAUUUGACAGGCUGCAUCGAUUUGAUUGCAAGAGAUCAUUUGCAAGCUAUAGUAACACACAUAGGUUCCUCCAAUAAACAUGAGAACUAACUUUCAAAGAAAUGCAAAAUGAAGUGAGCAAUGCAUCAAAAUCAAUAAAACCAAUCCCAAGCUUAAUUGAUGACAUUCUCUUUCUAGAGCAGGUCCAUGAAACAAUCUAUCGAUUUUGCGGGCUUUACAAAGCUUACUGUAAAUUACUUGAUGCACCUGAAUAAGAUAAAAUUAUUUUCAUUGUGCCUAAAUCUAACUACACAUGUGAAAGAUAGUAACAUCAAAAGGCAGAAGAUAAUUCUAAUAUAUAGAAAUUUCUCCAUAGUGUAAUCACCAUCACGUAGAGGCUUGGUCUCGGAAACUCUCCUGAUGCAAUCUGUGCUUUUCAUACCAGAUAUUCCACUGUUUGAAUCCGAAUCUCUCGCUGGGUGGACCUUCCCCAAAGUUUUGUCUCCAUGUUUAUGCCAGGGUACUGUAAUAUCCAAAGGUCAAGCGUUAGGCAUCAAACAAUUGAGGCACAUAGAAUUAAUAUCUAUAAAAGAAAGAAUUAGAUGUUCCAAUUCUGAAUCAUCUUGAGGUGACCAUAUCAGGUGUACAAUCCUCCUCAUAUAAGUGCCCCUACUUGGUUAGGAAGGUAGCAACUUUCUCUUAACAUGUUCUUUCAACAUAUUCAUUUCCAAUUGUAUCUUAACACCCACAGAUCCACAUAAAUAACCUCCUUAGUACUUCACUAGGACAUAGCUAGUCAAACAGGAUGCAUCAAGGAAAACUACAUCUACAAUGAAGUUAUUGAAACAUCUAAAUAGCAUUGGCUGAAUCAAUAAUGCUGCAAACCUCCCAGGAUUGAUUGAUCAACUUUAGCACCAUCCAACUCCCCAUGGCCUGUCUUCAUUUCUCCGGCAGCACGACAUGGUUCACAAUCAUUCAAACCCAUUGGCCCCUUUUCUUUCACCACAUGCUCCCCAAUAUCAACCAAGUGAGAAUCGAACACCAGAGAUUUUCCAGUUCCCAACACUUCAUCUCUCCUAAGAAAUUUAUUCACCAAGAUGUUCCUACUAGCAUCAUACAGUGUGACCUGAAUGAUCCAAGGGGAAGAAAACAAUUAGCGGAAAAGUGAUUCCAGGACCUAUAAAAAGGCCUUUGAACUUUUUUGGGUAAUGAAAUGCAUUUAAUUAGUGUGAUGCUUAGGGCACAUAGUGAACCACUAUCCAAAAAACAGAAGUGAUUCAUGUUGGAUCAGCAAAGAAAGUGCCCAGCCCAGUUUAAUGAAAAAAACAGUGGCUUAAUGAAACAUCCAUGAAAGUGCCUCGAAAUGACCUGCCUCCCUAGGGAUCCGCAAACUUCAAGCUGCAGAAAACCAUCAUGGUAUUUCUUGGCCUUUUGAGUUACUUGUGUUGUGUACAAAACCUGCCAUUCUACAUGACAGGAAAAUGUCAAUCUCCAAGUAGGACAUGCUCAGAAUAAUACAAAAGAGGGGGAGCACAUAGGCCACAAAAGCACAUUCACAUGCUCAUGGGUGUCAAAAACGGCUGAAGGACAAUAGUGGACCUGAUAUUGAUUUCAUUAUUUCAGUAACCUCAAGCUAAAAUGAGGCAGUAAAUAUGAAGCAAUAUGAAGACGAUAACUGGCUACUUAAUGAAAACUUUAUUAGAAACUCUAUCAGGAAGUAGAACAAGCAACUGGCUCGUUAAUGAAAACUUCAAUAGAAAAUGUAAAAACCAUGAAGGAAUACGCUGAAGAAUCCAUGUAACUUAGCCCAUAUGAUCUCCUCUUUUGCAUGGGGUUCUCUUAAAUAGGAUUCAUUCUUCAAUACCGAAAGCAUGGUGCUAGAGCUAUGAAAAUAUCAAGAACAUAACCUGACAAGGUAAAUUGCGGAUUUUCCAAGUGAAAGGACAACCUCAGACCACCUCUGAAGCACAAAGCCGGAACGUUAAUACACAGUUUUCUAUUUGGUAAAUCUUCUAUCUACUAUACAUUCUCUCCACUUUAACUCAAGUGUGCUAUCUGUCAUAUGCAAGGAAUUUCAAAAAUCCAUCUCAUUAAGCAGUAUAGAGUUUUGCCUAUGACAAGUGUGAAAGUUUCCUAAUGGCAACUUCGAUUUCACCAAGUAAAAAAAAGUGAGUUCAUAAUCACAUAAGAACGUGCAACAAAUGUAGAGACAAGGCAACUAGCAAACACUCUUAGCAAACUGAAGAUGCAUACAAGCAAAAUCUAACCUGUUACGCCUGAUUUUCCAGCAUCUAAUAUACUCCCCUUUGCCCCAUUCUGAUGCAUCUGGCCAUUUUUUUCUUCUGAAAGAGUACUAAUGAAUACAUGUUUCAGUGCAUCACAAUUGCAGAAUCAGGUAAUUAUCGUAGAUCAUGAAAAACAUGAAGAGAAGGGAAUCUCGCUCCUUAACAGAAAAGGAGAAGAUGAUAUAAAUAACAGAUAUGGUUUUCAAUUGUGAUCUCUCUAUAUUUGGUCAAUGAAGAAAGUGUUAACUACAUAUAAAAACAAUGAACUGACUCUUGGCAUCUGCAAGUUCCGGAAUUUGUUGAAAUCGUCCCACAAUCAUAAACAUCCCAUGAAUUUGUGUCCGUAAAGCACCAAAUCACAUUGUGUUAAAAUAUCAGUUUGGUGAGUACAGAGCAUCCCCUAUUUACAUAAAUUUGCAGAGCAGCUGAAUGAUAGGAUCGGUGGGAAUAUAAACAAUCAGGGAGAAAAUGUUGACAAUCAAUUGACAGUUCAAGACUUUAGGAGAGGAGGUAAGGCAAAUUACCUCCAAAGAAAGAAUCAACAGGAAAAAACACAGCUAUUUAUAGAACACCUGCUAACAAAUCAAAUUGAACUCUACUCCAGGGUACCUUCUACAGCAGAUUUAACGGUAGUAACAUUACGCUGCUGCUUUUGCAUAUAUAAUUUGUGAAGAGAACUGAAGCUGUUUCCACUUGCAUUUAGAUUUAGUUCCCUCAAAGAUUCAUGGUUUGCUUCACGAUUGCCAACUUCAACCAAAUGACCAGGAAAUUCCAUCAUCUCCCCAGGGCUUACUUCUUCAGCUUUGUUCAGGAACCUACUAUCUAAAAGUUUCCAGCUCGUAUCAUACAAGAAAACCUGGUAAAGGCCCCAAAAAGGUUUCAAUGAUCUGAGCCAUGUUUAUCCUGAUAAAAAAAAUUCGCUAAUCUGUAGAGAAAGGUAUACACCAUGAAGAAGAAAACUAACUAAUUCAGGAAGGAAGACCUGAAAUAUUAUUUAGCAACAAGACAGCUGGUAUUAUCUAAGGUUAAUGAUCAGUAGAGAUGUAGACUGUAGAGCUUGACCUGCCGAGUGAUAGAUCCACUGCUUGUACAACGCAAGAAGCCAUCAUGAUAUUUCUUUGACUUUUGAGUUAAUUGUGUUGUAUACAAGACAUGCCAAUCUAUAUCAAAAGGAAUAUCACGUCAACUGCAGUGCUAAGACAACAAUAACAAACUUAUGAAUGUAACUACAUAGAGAAUAUAGAGACCAGUUUUCUGAGGGAAAGUCUGGAGUUAUGCUAGGAAGCUCCAAUGUUUUUCAAGAGAAGCGAUUUAAAUAUGUGAACAAAAUACCGAUGUGACUGAGAAGAUUUGAUAGACAAAGCAUCAAAUUUGAGUAAAUAUUUUUUGAAUGGAUGCCACACGUAGUGUAAAAACAUGCAGAAAUUAUACACCCAAAGAAAAUCAAGAACAGAUUCACAAUCCAGGAGAUACAUCAAGAGAAAGACACGGCCUGGCAUGGGCAUAGAUGAGUCAGUAUAAGUCCAAACUCACCUGUCGUACUUGAUGUCCUUGAGUUCGGACUCGCCUGCAAUAUGCCGUACUUGUUCAUUUCAUUCUUCUUGAAUUCUGAAAAUAAAAAAAGCAAAGGAACACGCGUGCUAAGUUUUGCACCUAGCAUUUACUUGCAAUUAAGAGAGAAUUAGAUUAUGUAGGAAUUCAUCGCCAACCUCUAAUAAUCUUCUGCGAUGGACUCAGGCUGAUCGUCUGCUGUUUAUGCUUCUCCACUAUGGUCUUCUCAUCUCCUUGAAAAGAAAGCCAAGUCAAUUAUACGAUAAUACAGGUAGAUGAUGGGCACAACAUUGCAAACGUAUGAGCACGAGUCAUCGAUUUUCAAACCAACGGAGACAUCAGCAUUUAGAAAGACAAAUAUGUAAGAACAGACAAUACCGGCACAAUCAGAUACGUUGACGAACUUGUUUCUGUGAAGCAGAUUCGUUUGCUUAGGGACUUUAUUUUCUCGGCUGCGAGCAUAAGUAUCAUCGAGAGGCUUUUGCCCUCCUUCAGGCUCUCCAACAUCAACCAGAUAAGCAUUGAACGUCAGCGUCUCACCGGAGCAAACAACUUCGUCAUUCUUCAAGAUCCUGCAUUCCAACAGCUGGUCGCUGUCGUCAUACAGCAUUACCUGUCGAAAAAUCCGAUCAUCAAUCACGGCAUGGCCUAAUCCACUCGGAACAAGCUCAAUCGCGGGGAGCACAACGACCAAAACCACAGAACAGAACAAUCCGCGAGGACAGUCAAAACCGAAAUCCUUAGCAGCAUCGAGCCGUUGCUAUCUAGCCUGAUCGAGCGAGCUGAAUUCAGCGAAUCGAUCGCCACUGCACUGUCGACAUGGACUACUACUAGCCGAUCGAAACCGAAUCAUGUCCCAGCCCAAUCGAAGGUAACCAAAUUCGCCGAUCGAGUUGAGCUGGACAUCAAUGGCGGAGAUGAGUAGGGAGUGAGAGAGAGGGAACGCACCUUGGCGGAGGAGGAGUGGAGAGAGAGGAAGCCAUCGCGGUAGACCUUGCGCUUCUGCUUGAGGUGCUUCGUGAAGGUGACGUUCCAUUUCGUCGGAGCCUCAUCCAUGGCGGUUUCUGCAUUUGCAGCAUGAAGAAGAAGAAGAAGAAGAAGAAGAAGAAUUUCUAGGGAUUUCGGAGAGCUGCGAGUGAGGUGAUACCGCUUUCGAGAGCAGAAAUGUUAUGGCGGGAAACGAGCUUAAGAGCGCUAAAGACGGUCUCCAAGCAUUUUAAGGUUUUUCGGUUGAGCCAUUGAAUUCAUUGUUACGUGCCAAGUAGGUCAUCAAUUGUUUUUUAUUAUCUUUUUUUUUAUAUAUACAUCUCUAGACAUUCAAUGCGAGAUUUCUUCUUUCCCAUGACUCUCACGUGGCAGGUGCAUACUUUUGACAUCAAAAUAAACACCGUACAAAAGUCAUGGUGCUACUGAUAUACUUAUUCCCAGUUGAAAUGGCUAUUAAAAAAAUCUAGCUUCAAUUGUUGGGAUAUGGCUUCCAAAUUGAAUGUGAAGUGUUUGCAUGUAAUGAAGCGUUUGUUACAAGGAUAUUCAAAUGAAAAAUGUGUUGUUGUCGUAGCAUGGAGCUUUGACUUCCCAAAUUGUGUGGAUGGGUAUAAAUGGGUUGGAUCGGUAAAUUGUACUAUACUAAAAUGGGUCAACACAGAUUAAAAGAGUCGGAUCAUUUUCAAUUUAAUCCAAAUCCAAUCCGACUCACUCAUCUAAUGGACUCCUUCAUGUGAAAAUAUAUUUUCAUUGUUCAUUAUAGAUAUUUUUUAAUCGUAUAAAAUACAUUUUACACUAAAAACUGAAAACUAGUACAUUUGUAAUAAAUUUACCUUAAAUCAAUUUUUAGAUCACAAAAAACCUGAAACUAUUAUACUUAUGAAAAAUUUACCUCACAUUAGUGAUUAUUAAAUUUUAAAAGUUGUUUUUACUAUCCAUUUUUAUUAGUUUAGUCUAAUUUAAUAAAAACUAAUGAAUAGUAAAUUUAUCACAAAUAUACUAAUUUGCGAUUUUUGUGUCAUAAUAAAAAGUUGAUGGUAAAUCUGUCACAUUAAUACAAAUUUACAAUAAAUGUGUUAUAUGGAUAUAAGUUUUAGAUUUUGUCACAAAAAAAAUUAAAAUAAAUAUGUAAUAACGAACAUAAUUUAGAGUUUUUUUUUCUUUUUGGUUUUUCCCCAUUUUGCGUACCAUCAACAUUAAAAAAUCAAGGGCUGUUUCUAGAAAUAUAACAAUACGAAUUGGAAAUUGGACUCUUUCUUUUCGGCCGUUGGGCGUGGCAGUUUGGAAGCUCGCACUCACAUUAUCUAAUUCAUCCAUUCUGCAACUUGCCCCAUUCGUUCUUUUCAUUCUCCAUACCAUCCUCGUGGGCUUCAACCGACGGAAGAAUCUGUCGCUUCACCUGCUGUCAAGAGAGAAUUUGCGACUUGCGGCAUUGGAAGAUUACGAAGUUCUUCGCGAGCGCCCCGUGAGGAGGCAAGCCGAGGGCGAAGGGCGUCUGGGAGGAGGCGGAGCGGAUCCAAUGCUUCUCCGAAGACGCUGAGGCAGUGCUCGUCAGAUGUUUGACGAAAUGCGCGAGUGAGUAGCAACCGGGCCAACGCAAAACUGAAAUCGGCAUGUGCAAUUGAUUUAUUUGCAUGUCGCCAUCACCCGAUAGAGUACAUGAUUCAUAUUGAUCGGCCACAACCUCUAUCUUGCAAAGAUUUGUGCGCGAGAGCACGCGCGCGACUGGAAGCAAAGAUUCAUCUACCGACUUCUAUCUUGCCGACUUGCAUGCACACAAGAACGUGCACGUAUCUUUGCGGGUGUGACUUGAGAGCGCAGAUUGCAGAGUACAUUCUGAAAAAUAUCGAAACAAGCGACACCUACUGUUUCUAAUCGUCCUUGACUCUUUUUCGUGUUUGCAAUGCAUUGCUUAGUUGUCUCAUUUUUGCAAUAUGAUCGAAUACGUCUUUCUCAAAUACAAAGCAGCCAAACAAAUUUGUCAUCAACCAAUCCUCCCCUCAAUUGCAUGCGCAGACAAUUCUUCACAAUGUUCACUGUAGAGAAUGAUCUUUUUUUGUAAAUCAGUUUACCUCUACCGCUCAGAGUUGAGGAAUGACCAGGGAGAACCAUCUUGCCAACUCGUCAUUACAGCAAGCAAAAUCAAUCUACAAGCAACCAGAUCAAAGGAAGGACGGUAUCUUUCUGCCUUCUCGCAGACUUAUUCCUCCUCUAUUGUAUUCUCUUUCUUUGGUGUUUUCGUAAUUGUUACAAACUGAAGAUGAUGUUUGUGUUGGGCUUUAUUCCGCUAGCCUCAUAGCAACAAAUGUUUAAUGGGGCAGAAGCGCGCAUGUUAAUGGGGUCUAACUUUAUGUACAAGAAUAAAUCCGAAAAUUUGUAUCGAUCCCGCACUUGAUUCCUAAACUUGCAUUUCGUGCAUUAGUCAAAAAAAAAACUUCUUGUUAUCCUUCACCUUAGUCCUUUCGCUAGCUCCAUUAGCUUCAAGAGGAUGAAAAAGUUGGAGGCGACAUCUUUCAUCUGUCCAUGUUGGCGCUAAUAAUAAACCUCCAAAGCAUGUAGAAACGCAUCAUUUUUGUGUUAGGGUUUAACACAAAAAUGACACCCUCUUGGGUUAAAAGUAAUCUGAACACUAAAGAAAUUAGCUGAAAUUUGACAGCACUGAUAACAUCCAAAAGAUUCCUUAUACUUGCAGAGAGAAUAUGUACCUGUAAACGUCCCCAUUACUCUAUUCUUUUCUUCUCGGGGUGGUUUUCUUGCAUCGGUGGACAUAGAAUAUGUAUUACCCGAGCAUCACGCAACUUUCGAAGCACCUAUUCCUUUUCCUCUCUCCUUCACAACUCGCAGGCCUAUAUGUUCACAGCUUGUGUAACGCAUCAGAAGUGAAUUCUCAAGUCAUUCUCUAUCAUAAGUUCCACUGUUCAUAGUCAAGUAGUGCGAUACCAAUGGCUGAGUUUGUCGUCUCAUAUGCGGUUCAGACAAUAGGAAAGUUGCUCGUCAACAAGGCCGAUUUCUUGUGGGGCGUGGAGAGGCAGGUCGAGGACCUGCUGAAGGAGCUGAAGCUGAUUCGGUGCUUUUUGAGGGAUGCGGAUGCGAGACGAGAGUACGACGAAGCUGUUGGAGAAUGGGUCAUGCAGAUCCAAGACAUGGCCUAUGAUGCCGAGGACGCCAUUGAGGGAUACAUCCUCAGAGACCCGCCGAAGAAGGGAGAAAACAUCAUCAAGGCGUAUGCUUGCUUCGUGGCGAAGUGCACAUGCUUGCAGGUUCAUGUGGUGGGGAUCGAAAUUGAGGGCUUAAAAUCCAAAAUUUCCGAUCUUGGAAGAAAUAUGCAGGAGUAUGGUAUACAAUCUAUGAAGAAAGGCGAGUACGGACACGCGGGAGCUUCCACCGAGGAGGAUUUUGUUGGGAGGGAAGAUAGUAUUAAGGAAUUGGUGAAAGAGCUGUUGAAUGAUGGAAAACAGCACAGAGCUAUUUUUAUAUUGGGAAUGGGUGGUUUAGGUAAGACUGCACUUGCCAAGAAAGUUGUCGCUCAUGACAAAGUGAAGAACAAUUUUGAUGGUUUCACUUGGGCUUGUGUAUCUCAAGAAGAUAAUGAGAAAGAUAUCUUGGUGGAAAUUCUUGUUAAGUUGAUCCCUGAUCAAAGGGAGAGGAUUAUGAAGAUGAUGGAUAAUGAAUUGUCAAAAACUUUGUACGAGAUCCAACAACAGAAGAGGUGUAUUGUGGUUCUUGAUGAUAUUUGGACCAAAGAGGCAUGGGAUAGUCUUCGAGCCGCAUUCCCGAUCGAGGACACGAGAAGCAAGCUAUUGAUAACAACCCGCAAUAGAAAAGUAGCAGAGUAUAUUGAUCCUCACGGUCUUUUCCAUGAACCUCGGCGCUUAUCGGACCGGGAGAGUUGGAAUUUACUGAAGAAGAGUGCGCUCCUUCAAACAAAAGGUAAGGCUUUUUAAAGGUUAUUAGCAUAGUAGCUUCAAGAGAUUACAUUGCUUGAAGAGGUUAUAAUAGGCAGAGACCGACGCACAAAUAUGAGGUACUUCAUUACUUAAUCUGCCCUUUGGAAGGUUUAAUAAUUUAUAGAUCGAUAGUUACUAUAGAGCUCAAAUGAUCGAUAUACGGAGUAUUACGCAUCGAAAUUUUGAUAUUUGGGGAAUGAGAUUCCCAUUUUGUUCCUUAAUAGCUAGCGAUUUUACCUCUAAACAGACAUAAAAAAAAAAAACCGUGCUCUUCCUUUCCCCUCGUGAGGAUAAACAUCGAAGAAACCUUUUUUAUAGCCAACAUAAUAAGCUAUUCUGAUAAGAAUUUAUGGUAUACUUGUAACACCCUAAGUAUGUUACAAACUACAGGUGUCAUUUCUAAUUAGAUUUUUCUUUUGAUUUAUAACAUGCGAAGGCACUGCAAAAUACUCACAGCAUACCAUAAAAGAAAAGUGCAUGACUUAGAUAUUAUACAUCUAUCUCAUUACAUUAACUUCAUAUUUGCAACCCAAAAUUGUAUCCCAUGCAACACACGAAAUGCAAAAGACUUGGGAAAGGUUAGGGUCACCUAUCACCGACGCCACUCUCACGCCCAAAAGCCUGCUUGUACAAUAAUCAACCCAUUUGCUACGAGUCCACAAUUUCACCCAUUGAUUUAUCGCCUUCACCAUCAAAGCCCUUCAACGAUCCAAUCAAAUCACCCUCAAGGUUUACUGAACAACAAAAUAGUAGAGAACCCAUUCGGUGAACCCCACAUCGACCCAUAUAGUAGAAGUACACUUAGGGUAUAUAGCUUUCGAACCCGGUUAAACCAUACUCUCAUAGACACAUUCGUGAUGCAUAGGAACCCCAAAAAGCAUUGGCAGUGAGCAGUCCAUCCUACAUUUCUGAAAAAUAAAGGAGUGAGCAUGAGUACAUAACAAGCAUGUGUGACGAGUGCAUGAAAACUAUGUUAUUUUUCCUAUUAUGAUAUUGCUAAUGAAAUUCAAGAGUUACAUUGUUUCACUUAUACAAUUGCGCAUGACAUAAGAUACUUUGAUGCAAGAUAACCACCAAAUUAGUUCAUUUCUUGACAUGAUAGCUCAUAUAUGCAUAUACACAUGUAUUAGGUUCGUAUCUUCCCCCAAGCUCUCUUGGGGCAUCCCGACAUACGCAGCGCAUCCAGAUCACACAACAAGGCAUCUCGAUUCCUAAGGCAUCUCGGUAUACCAUUCGAGGCAUCCCAAUUAAUAGGGCAUUUCGACUCCGGAGAUAUCCCAAAACACUACUUGAGGCAUCCCAAUCACAUAGCGAGGCAUCCCAACCAAAUAGCAACACAUAUCAACUUAUGGCAAGGGAUCGUAACCCUUAUUUUGCGGGUAACAGUAAUAUUUAUACAUAUCAUACUUUCCUUCUUUUUUUGUUCACAAUCAUACUUCCCUUGUUUAAUCACAUAGCAAUAAUGCAUCUUAUAAUCAUAUGAUCUUCCUUGCAUCAAGAACGAAAUCAAAACUCAUUUUAACAAUCGUCAUCCAAUAUGUAAUAUUUUUUUCAUACAUAUCAUUGUCUUGCCCUUUAAUAUAAACAUAUGUUGGUGAUGAUAAUCACAUUUUUAACUCCUUUCAUUUCUCAUGCUAGCAAGAUUAACACAUUCAACCAAAUCACCAAAUGCAUACUUGUUAAGUGGGUACACUCGGCGAACACCAAGUGGAUGUGAACAAUAUGUGAUAAUACUUAAUAAGUGAAUUAAAGCAAUAAGUGGUCAUAUUCAGAAGGUUAACAUGAGUAGUUUGUGAUGAUACUCAAGUGAAUAUAUGCAAUACGUGGUCAUAUUCGAAAGGUGGAUAUAAGCAAUAUGUGAUGAUAUUUGGCAAGUGAAUAGAAGCAGUAAACAAUCAUAAUCAAAUUGUGGAUAUGAGCAGUAUGUGAUGAUACUCAAUAAGUGAAUAUGAUCAACAAUCAAUGAGUAAAAGUGAAUACGAUCAACGGCUAGUGAGUUAAAAUUACGAAAACAACAUUGCCAAACCCAAACCUUGCCAUUUUCACAUUUUUAACUUCAAACAUAUUAUCACACCUCACAAAAAUCAAUCAAACACCUUUUUGCAUAAAAGAACUGAACAAAAAUAGGACAUAUCACCACAAUAACUCAACACACGAUUACUAUAAUUUGCUCACACUUACCAUCAAAUUCAACUAAAAUGAAAAUCAACAAUCAUCAACCAAUGAAAACAAAAUUACUAAAUAGAUCAACCUAACUUGGCUCCCGGAGUCUUCACUAACCCUGCAAACACUUGACAGCUUCAAAACUUUAGUCAUCUUCAAACAAAGUAAACAAAAUCAAUAAUCAAUCAUUUUCAUCCUUGAAACGACAAAACCCAUUUAUGGAAUGUAGGGGAAAUUGUAAUAAUUUACCCCACCUGCACCUAAAAGAUUGAGAUGGAAACCUUAAUAAUAUGAGUGUGGGGCCUCCGCUUUUACUCGCAGAAUUUGAAAACAAAAGUUAAGAAGAAAUUCGAAGUUAAUGAAGCGGCGUCUUCUAUACUUGGGACUUGAAAGCUUCUCCAAGAUUCAUUUACACGGCCAAGACAAGAGUGAUAAGGAUGAGAUGAACUAACCGAGGUUAAAGUAAUAAUUGUCCUUGGGUUAAAAUCAUCAGCUCUAAAAGUAGAAGAUAUGUGUGUUUCAAUAGAAAUGUUUGAUGUGGCCAAGUUAGUGUGUACAAUUGGCUUAGUAAGAGUAACCAAGAGGAGAUAUUUUGGUUCGUAUGAAAGAUGGCUCUUUCUUGGCCAAGUAAAUUGGUGAGUUAUAAGGGCAUUAAUUAGCCAUGGUUAAAAUAGAUGAGAUAAUGCAUGACAUCAAGGUUAGACUAGGUUCAACGUUGCUAAGAGCAUGUGGUUUAACAUAAUAAGUUGAGCAAGAAGAGAUGGCGCAAGUUGAGGACUAUUGAAUGGCUCAUCUAAUUAGUUUCCAACAUAAACCAAUACGUAAACAAGAAAUCAGUGUCCAUUCUAAAUAGUAUUAAGCCUGAAAAAUAUUUUGAACCCACUAAAAUUAUGAGUGAACAAUAUCGAAGAUUUGGAAAAUCUCAAUUCUAUAAAUUUAAAACUUGAAAAUUAUCAAAUAAGCAAUUUAGAGUAUUCCAACCCUUUUUCUACAACUAAUAUGGCGGUUAAUUAAAUAGUCAUUCUAACUACAUACAUGUCACCCUCUAAUGCGCUAGACUCUGGACAAUUAAGUCAUGUUAAAUUGUCCUAAAUAUUGUCGAAUAUGAAAAAUUCCGGACGUCACAAUAUUGUGUAGCCUAGCUAUAUUCCUUCUUCCAUUGGCUUCAUAUCAGGUCCACCUUUUUCGUAUUUGUGAAUAGUUAGUCUAAUAAUAAGAGUUGGGAUUGUCAGAAAAUUCAUGAAUUAUAAUGCGACAAAAGAGGGUGGCAACAUAAAGAUUUCGAUAUAAUUCCCGGAGAUCACUAGAACACUCAAAGUCACGGAUGUUUAGUAGCACACUCGAGUUAUCUCUGCUGCUUUCCUUUUCUUCAUUCAGUAGGGUAUUAUCGCAAUACAUUUGCUCAAACCCCUUAAUUCAAGCCACAAAAAACAAAGAGAAAAGAUUUCAUACGUUCAUUUGGGGUUCUUGUUCUUCCAAGUGUAGGUAGAGGCAUUUAUAGGAUCUUUGCUUUGGCCAUUAUAGUCUUUUCGCUUACGGAAGUAUAAAUGACUCACAUAUUAUAAAAAAUUGUAGCAUCUAACUUACAUGUCAAAAAGCAGAUAUUUAUCCUUGGAGUUAUUUUCUCAUGACAGUCGCAUCUUCAUGGCACUGCUAAGUUGAAAUUUAUUGCCUUAUAUUGUGCAGAAAACAUUGAAAUGUACCCGUUAGGAGAUGAACUCCUUAAAAAGUGUGGAGGAUUACCCUCAGCUAUCAUCGCGAUUGGUAAAUCUAUAGCGGUCAAUGGCUGGGAGAAGGUUUACAAAAACAUCAAUUUACAUUUUACCAAUGAAAGCGAUGUAAAAAAAGUGUCGGCAUCAAGCUAUGAAAGUCUACCAUGGCAUCUAAAGCCAUGCUUUCUCUAUUUGGGUAGUUUUUCGAAGGAUGUAGAAAUCCCUGCGACGAAAGUCCUUCACAUGUGGAUUGCUGAAGGCUUUGUGUCGCCCAGUGCAUACAACAACGAAGAGAGUGAAAUUACCAUGGAAGAUGCAGCAGAGCAAUAUUUAAAGGAGUUGGUUAAAAAAGGAAUGGUUCAAGUACUACUCACCUCAAGUGGAAAGAUCAAAACCUGCCGCCUCCCUGAUAGGAUGCGAGAUUUAUGCAUCUCCAAGGCUAGGGAGGAGAGGUUUCUAAGCAUUCCUAAGGCUUGGCAGAUUGAUGAAUUGACAACACGGAGGCUUUCAGUCACUGUUGAAGAAAAAACAUUUUGGAGAGUAGAAAAAAGAGUAAAGACUAUGUUCCACCUUCGAACUCUUAUGUUCUUUUACUAUGGGAGAUUUGUCGAAAAGAUGUGGGACAAAUUUCAACCUAUUUUCCUCAGCUGCAAGUUUCUUAGAGUUUUGAAGCUGGAGGGUAUUCAUAGUAGGACAGGAAGUUUACCUAAAUUAGUGGGAAACCUAGUCCAUCUAAGAUUCUUAAGUUUAGCACGAUGUGUGCUCAAGGGCUUGCCGAAAUCUAUGGGGAACCUAGUACACUUGGAAUUCUUGGACCUGCAAGUAAAAGAUUUAGUUGAGGUAAUCAUGCCAAAUGUGUUGUGGAAGAUGAGAAGCUUGAGGCAUCUCCAUCUUCCCAUCCAUUUUGCCGUCAAUGACCUAAAGAAGUUGCGAUUGGACUCUUUAAAACAUUUACAGACAUUGAGAAACUUUUCUCCAAAGAACUGUAAUGUGAUCGAUGUAGGCAAACUGACCAAUCUACGAAAACUGACUGUCUCCAACCAGUAUGGUGGGGAUGAGUUCAAGAUAAUUCCACAACUUGCUAAAUUCACUUUGAAACAUCUCCAAUCCUCAUCUUUUAGAUUCAUAAGCCAUGGUUCAUUCUGUGAAGGUGAAUUGAGUAAAAUGUCAAGCUAUCCUUAUUCCUGUAAACUGUUCAUGAAAGGAAAAAUAGAGAAGCUACCAGAAGACCUACCCCCACAGCUGAGGAAGCUGAUCUUAAUAAAGUCCCAGCUCGAAGAAGAUCCUAUGCCAAUUUUGGAGAAAUUGCAUCACUUGGUGGUUCUCAUACUACUAGAGGAUGCUUUUGUGGGAAAGGAGAUAGUUUGCUCUGCAAGAGGGUUUCCUCAACUCAAGCAUUUAGCUCUUGAUAAUCUGCAAAAUUUGGAGGAGUGGAGGGUCGCCGAAGGAGCCAUGCCUCAUCUUUCUCAAUUAAGGAUCAGCAGAUGUUUCAAGUUGAAGACUAGACCUGAAGUAGUUUACAAAUUCGAUGGUUCCGUAGACAAUGGUGAUGAGCAAGAGGACAUGAGGCCUUUUCUUUCUGAGGUGAGUUUUGCGGCACUUCUCAUCAGAAGAAUUAAUGUGACGGAUUUAGUGUACUGACAAUUAAUGCAAACUUGAUGUUAAAAGUGAUGUGGUAGCGAUUCUCGUUGGGUGUUGGGAUAGGACUCGCUUAGUUAAACUAUCAUUACAAUAUAUUUACAAGGUUUUGGUAUACAAAUCACAUAUAUUACCUAACGUUACUCCUAAUUAAUGUAUUUAGACAGGUUUUCAAAUGAUUCUUUGCAACAUUACUUGACAAAGAUACAAUGUAUGUUUACGUCAUCAAGCGAACUUGAACUAUUUUCCCAAAUAAAGCCCUCAAAGUAUUACUUCGGAUAAGAGUUACGUGCAUAGGUGAAAGGUCUAGACUUAGCUAGUUCAUGAGAUUCACAAAUGUUUCAUAAGCCUCUAGGUAACCGGUCUCCAUGUCUGCAUCCAUGGUUUAUUAAAAAGAAACUCAUAAAAAAUUUGAUGUCACGUGAAGAACUUUUAAGUGCACCAAUUGAUAACUUACCUCUGCAGUUUACUUAAAGGACUGAUAAUUAUUCUACUUUAGUAAUUUUUUUCAAUAAAGUGUUUGAUUGGCUAGUAAGUAGUAAGUGAUCAUAACAUUUUGGAUCAAAUCUACAUCUAUGCAAAUGGAAAAAUUCUAGAGAUUUUCUACUCAUUUUUGUCGAUUUGCAGAGUUGGCAACGUGUGACCUAUUCUCUUUCCCCCCUUAACACUACCCUUUCAUUACUUGGCUCCCUCCUUGCUUUCGCUGUCCGUUGUUUCUCUUCUUUAUUUGUAACUCCUUUGUGUGAAAUAUAUAUAUAGUUUUACUUCACAAAUUCCAUAACUUGUAUAAAUAUUUCCUUAUUUUAAUGUGCCAAUACCCACACUCCUCACACUCUCCGAUUGGUAAAAUAUCUUUUUCGAACCCUAUACUCGACUCUACUCUAUGUUAUUAUGCAUCGGGGAAAUCUUGCGGUCCAAACAACUCCUUAGAUGAAGCCUUUUAAUGACAUGUUUAGGUCAAACUCUCCCACCAUAACACUACCGAUUUAUUACUCAUUUCCCUCCUUCCUUUCUCGAUCCGUUGUUUCUCCACUUUAUUUGUAACUCCUCUGUAUGAAAAACAUAUUAUUGUUUUUUUUUUUUGUAAGGUAAGAAUUAUAUUGACUUUUAACCACAACAUAUUUUUGUUUUACUUCACGAAUUCUAUUAAUUGUAUAAAUAUUUCAUUGAUUCAAAUUGUUCGCAAAUUCUUUUAAGUUUAUAUCAUAAUUAUUAUCAUCUAAUAAUACAUUAACAUUGAGUUGUCUUUAGGCUUAAAUUCGUCGUCCAUCAUCUUUUAUCAUAAAUUUGUCAACAAUUCAUGGAUUACAUCUAGUUAAUUACAUUACGGGUAUAACCCAUGAAUACUGCUCGAUCAUUCCACACACUAAUUAAUUGAAACCUUUUGACUGCAGGAGAUACAGGAGUUCAAAGAGUAUUAUGAAAGUUUGCCUUGAGGUAAACAACAAAUUAUCGAGUAAUUAGCAUUUUUUGAGAAAUCGAGAUAUAUUAAUGUCUUAGCAUUUCUUUUGUAAGAAAAUUCAUCUUUUAUCUUUUUCUCAUGCAAUGGAUUAAAAGAAGACGAAGAGCAAGGAAAGAGCACAGGCCUUCAUACUAGGGAGAACUCUCCGGUAACGUAGCUUAAUGAGAUGUCUACUUGGAUCGCGGUUUGAAAAUGAAUAACAGGCAAUUUGUUCAGAGUCAACUAGUUAAAAGAUCAAGCUGGAUCAUCUUUAACUUGAGCUAGGUCAUGAUACAGGCAAUUUAGGGCUGGAAGGAUUUGGCACUUUGGGCAAUGACCGUGGUUCAAAAUCCAAGAUCGAAACUAAAACACGUGGCGCUCGCAGAUUUUUGCCGCAGCAUUUGGAGUCAGCUUGCUUGCGAGAAGGCUGCAAACAAUAAUUGCAGCAGAUGUUUCUGCUGGUCAUACAAAAGCUCCGUGCAAUUUGAGAAUCUCCACUAGGUAAAUAAAGAACUAGAUUGUGGACUGGAAUUUAUUAGAGAAAUCAAGCAGGUCCUGACGCACCUAGUUGGAAAAUUCCCUACAAACAGUUGCUAUCUGCUGCUAAUUUGCUUCAGCUGGUAUGGUAUGGUAGUUCGCACCAAACAGUUUCAACAAACAUCAAAACUCACGAAGUUCUAAUGGAAUUUCAAGAUGCUUAGAGUCACAACCUGGCCACCGACGGGACAAAAUGGAGUUGAAAGAAUUAAUUACUACUGUAAAUAGAAUAGGACAAGUAGCGUGAAAUAUCUGGGAUUUGCCAAUUCCAAAGUGAAAUAAGAGACCUAGACUGAUGAGAUAUUACAAUGUCAGAUAAAGAAACAUAAAUUACGAGUAUUGAGGAAAUAAGUGAUUGAGCAAGAAAUAAAUCGGAUAUUAGAUUUACGAUGUUCAAUUGUUGGAACUUUCAUUCUCAAGGAAAAUAGCAAAAGUAUUUUACUAUAAAUCAAGCAACACAAUAAAGAUCACAAUCAUAUUUGAGUUACUCAAAUACUCUCAGUAUUUAUCACCUCUUAAUUACACUCAACGACUCACCCAAUAUUUGGACAACACAAACACUCGCAAAAUAAUCACUCACUUUUGUAAAAGAAUUCAAACAUAAUUAGUUUUUUUAGUCUCAAAUUCAAGACAUAUUUUCUAACAAUAUCCAUCUUGGCUCGAUGUUUACGUCAAAUAAUAAUUGUUUCACUAGAUUUUGAAUUUUGUUGCUACUCUUUCACAACUCCUCAUGGGCUCAACCGCCACAAACAUGUUCCAAAUCCACCGCGCGUGACCGUCAUCAUAACUAUGGACCUCAUCAGAACACUAACUCCGCUUGCACCUUCAUUUACUCCACAAGGGUUCGCCAUUACACCCAUAUUUUUGUUAGAAGAUCGAAAAUGCACUUUGUAAAAUUCAGCAAUUACAACAGAUGUUGGAUCAACAGACUUGACCUCAUUAUAAGUACCAUCUGUGUCGAUUACUACAUAAGUACUCUAUACCUCGUGAAUUUUUAGUUGCAACUCCACCUUGAGAUUGUCUAGAUUUGUCUAACAAUACCACAAUUACCCUUACUCAAAAGUAUUGAAGAUUCAUCAAAUAUAACUUUUCUACUAAUAAUAGGCGAAUUUAAUUCCAGACACUACAAUUGAUAACAUAGUUUACCAUGUGUAUGGUCUAGGAAUAUACAUUUCUAUCCUUCUCAUUAAGCUUACCAUCACUCACUUAAAUAUAUCUAACAAUUGAAUAAUCAACAACGUCUCACUAUGACGUUGUGUGGUGGCAGAUUUGGUCGAAAAUAUGUUAAAGUAGAAGAAUUUUAGUAAACAAAUUAAAAAUACAUGGACUUAAUUUUAAAAAGAGUAGAAAAGUAAGGGUAUGCAUGAUAACCAUUUUAUUUCUAGUCAAGUCUUUUUUUCUAUUCUAAGAACAAAUUUGGAGCAUAAAUCCAUUUAGUAAUACAAUUUUAUUUUUCUAUUUCGUGAACACAUAGUCCAAAAAUAGAUUUAAAACAAAAUAAGAAGUAAAAAUUUUCCUACUCUCUUAUUUCAAGAAUAUAAAUGAGAAAUAAAGACUCUUUACAUUGCUCGCCCUUGCCACUAGCCAGCCGCCUGCCCUUCACUAGCCACUGCCGCCCCCCUGUUGUCCUCUGUUGUCAGCCAUCCUUCGCCAACUACCUCCCGUCGCAACUCGCCGACUGCCAAGAAGGAGAAUUUUCGUGUCCAUGCAUAAUUUUUCUCUAAAACUCGUCCUAGAAAAAAAAUAGAAAAAUCUAUUUUUGGCGAGAAAUUGUGUUAAAAAAUAGAAUGAUUAUCAUUCGUGUCCAAAUCGAAAAUUCAAAACUUUUUCCCCUUUUUUUCCCUUUGACUAUCAAGAAAAAAAUGAUGAUGCUUGAAAAAUAGUGGAUAAAAGUAAAGCUUGUUUGCGGUUCCCAAAUCUAUGCGCUUCAAGACGGAAAACUCAUAAAUUAUGGACUAUGUGCGACUUGUGGAGUAAAUGAAUGAAUAUGAAAAUAUGAUAACAGGGCAGUGGUGAAUCGGGUGAACCCUAGACAAGGUAUGCACGAUUCAUCAUGCCUUAAUCAUGUCGCUGCCAAUUCUCUCUUCUUUGUAAAAGUUCUCUCUUCCUUGAAGAGCUCACCCUAUCCAUGGAGAUAGCUAAAUUCUAAAAACUCAAACCUCUUCUUCCCUUUCUUGCCAUGGCGUGCAAAACAACACUACACCAUCUUCCCACUCACCUAUUCACAGAACCAUGUCCCCCAAACUGAACCCCCUCUACUAUGUUUUGCCCUACUGUACUUUUCCUUUCUUAUCGUAUCCCAAGCGAAAUAGCCAAACUCAUAGUACAGAUCUUGUCCCUCAGUAUCCCCUGUAGCAGACCAGAUCAUGUUUUUUUCUCUCAUAAAACUUUAUCCCAAUUUCACAUCCAUUCCCAAAUCAUAGCUCCCUUGCCUUUACCAAAAUUUAGCCUUCAUUACUUAGAACUCCCUUCAUCCAUAAACUCCCAUCCUUCUUCGAAGACUCUUGGAGUGGUUUUCCUCAUUGAGCCUCAUCUUCCUUCUCGAGCCUGUUUGUAAGAGGUUAGCAUGGAGGGUGAGAGAGAUGGAGAGCAAAGAAUGGCAGCAUUGUGCAGAAGAUUGGGGGAUCUGUGGUCGGGAAUGUUGUAACCAACAUGUUCGAAAAAAUUUGAAGAGAAAAUGAAGGAAUGCAACCUUACCUUAUCGGAUAACUCUUUUCUAAACCAAUUAUAAACUUCCAGGCCUCCUUAUAAACAAUGAAUAAAGUAUGGAAAACAGAGAACGUGGUUUGUGACCAAAUGGAACAACAUUUUUUCUCUAUCACUUUCAACUCGGAUGCAGAAAAGAAAAAGGUCCUUGAAGUUAGUUCAUGGUCUUUCUUGGGUAAUCUUUUAAUCCUUCAAUAACUCUAUCCUAAAGUUCCUAUUUAUUGCCAUGACUUUACCCAUUGUGCCUUUUGGGUACAAGUUCAUGGCGUCCCGUUGGUUAGGAUUACUGAGAAUGUGAUGUUAGAAGUGACUUCUAAGUUCGGGACAGUGCUGAAAUUGUCAUUAAGAGGAAAAGGGGGAAGCCCGUGUAAGGUAGGAAGAGGUAGAGUCCUUAUUGAUCUUGUAAACUUGAGGAUGACCAAUUGCGGGUUAAUUUCAAGUAUGAAUGACUCUCGCUUUUUUGCUACUCAUGCGGGAAAAUUGGUCACUGCACAAUUAGUUGCAAGGAAGUUCUGUACAAAAAAUCAGGCUUGGAGGAAAAAAUUGCUGGAAAUUUUGGCUAUGGGCUAAAAGCUUAAGCGCACAAGACAAGCCCAUUCUGGAAGCUAUUCUAUGGGACUGAUUUCCCAAAGAUAGAGAAGGAUGAGAUUAUACCAGAAACUCCACUGCAAACAGAUAUUCCAAAGAGUACACAACCAGCUGAGGUUGAAAUGGUACAAGAACCAAACCCAUGUACAUUCAGUAAGUUGAAAAAUUGAAUUAAACUGGGAAAGAAAAAGCUGAUGUGAUCAAGGCUACUAGGGGUAAAAGAAAUCAAGAAACGCAGCUACUGCUUAUUGAUUCCCCAUGAACCGAGAUGAUGAAUGAGGAGCUAAUCAAAUCCUCCAAGAAAAGCCGAAAGGAUAAAAAAAAAAACUCCAGCAUCGAAGAAAAUGAGAAAAUACAAGCUUUAUGACUCCCAAGGGGUUGAACCAUUUGUUCUCGGUGAAUCCAAGUUACUUGAGACUCCUAUUAUGAUUGAGGGUGGAAUGAAGGAAUGGGUUUUACUGGCUAGCCCUAAUAAGCCACCGGGAGAUGUAUGAAUAUCGUGAGCUAGGAUUAUCUAGGGUUUGGGCACACCUCCAACAUUCCAAGCAAUUCGGGUCCUUAUGGCUCGGGAAAGACCAAUGUGAUGUUUCUAAUGGAAACGAAGAAUAAGGAGGAAGUAGUGAUUCAUAUAAGACAUCAUCUCAAUUUUUCACAUUUAAUAGGAGUUAAUCCAGUAGGUAUUGCUGGAGGGUUAGCAAUUUUAUGGAAUGGGGAGUCACUAAUAAAGGUAGUGUCCGUGAGUCGGGAUUUCAUUGAUCUUGUUUGCACUUGCCAAAGUAGUGGCACAAUUAUGAGGCUCGCCUUUAUACAUGCUUCAACGAAUUUUCGAGAGAGGAGGAUGCCACGGGAGAAUGAGAAACAUUCAUUCAUCAAAUUCCCUCCCUUAGGUUUGUAUGGGGGAUUUUAACGAGAUAUUAUACCAUUGGGACAAAGUCAGGAAAAGAGGGGCAUACCACUAAAGGUUAACUGCUUUUCGAGAAAUCUUAAAUGAAUGCUCCUUGAUGGAUAUUGAAAGUAAAGGACGUGCGUUUACUUGGACUAAAAAUAGGGAAGGAGGCUCUAAUGAAGAAAUGGCUUGAUAGAGCACUUUGCACUAUAGAAUGGAGAGUCUUGUUUCCAAAUGCCGAAGCCUUUGCAUUGCAAGCCAUAGGCUCCAACCACAGCCCAAUUCUUCUGUCCUUGGAACCCAUAAUUAGGAAAAGAAGCAAUGCCUUCAAAUUUGAAGCUUUUUGGUUAGAAAACAAGGGGUACAUGGAGUUGGUUGGAAAGGUGUGGCAUGAUCUAUUGUGGAAGAAUGAGGGCUUGGCGCACAAACUUAAAGUAAUAACUGGGAAACUACAAGCUUGGAGCAAAAGGAGUUUUUCCAACGCUUCUCGCCAAAUUGAAGCUUUGAAAAGAGAUAUGAUUGAAUAGGUAAACAGGGGCUUAGAAAACUCAAGUGGCGAAGCAACGCAACUUAUAUCUAAAUCCCAUCAAUUAUAUCUAAGGAGAAAACAAAAACUUUAAAAUCCCAUCAAUUAUAUCUAAGGUCACAUAAAUAAGAACUGUGAUGCAGUGACUACUUGGCCCAACACUGACAUUUAUUACACUGUAGCUCAUUUCUUGAUUAAGCCUAGUUUGCAUAUGGUAUUACCCAUCUCUAUAUUGUGUCUUUAUAGGCAAUAGUAUGAGCAUUGUGGUAUCACAAUAUGUGACAUCGACAUGGCAAAUUAAAACUUUGAAUCAUUUUGCAGUUGUCUGCUUGAUCAGUUAACAGCUCCCGGAGCUCAUUUAACGACCUUAUGGAUGUACGCAAAUUGUACACUUAGCUAAAUCCAAACCCACAAGAACCCGAAGACAACUCUCAAAAUCGCUUACCAGUACCAACACCAAUCACAACAAAAAUGCACAUGAAGCUACAUGGAACGAAAAUGAACAUUCCAGAAGAACAUGCACCUAAGGCUUUAGGCUAUCGGGAUUUGAAUGAUCAAUCAUCUCGACUAUACCACUGAUCCGUAACUGCUCCCUAGAGUCGAUAAAGUACCGACAUAUCUAAAGAGAGGAAAUCAAGUUCUAACAUAACCCCUACACACAUUGUGGCAGAACAAGAAAACGAUACCAUCCUCGCCAGCCACACCCAUCAAUUUGCCAUUGCAACCACGAAAAAUAAAUGAACAUAAAAAAUCCAACUUAUAUCUAAAUUCCAUCAAUUAUAUCUAAACAAGUUAGCAGUAGUUUUGUAGCAUAGAUUAAAAAAAAAAAAAAACUCCCGAAAAUAUUAUGACAUAGCAUACAUCCCUCAAAUAACGAUUACCUCAGCUAGCGGGUUGUGUUUGAGCUCUUCGACCGACAGAAUGCAAGCCGAAUUAAAGCAAUCAGUCCUCAUAAUUCAAAAAGUAUUUUCUGCAAAAAGCAUUUUCCGUUUCGGGUGCUGCAAAUAUGACAUACACGGUCUUAAAGCAUAAAUGGAGGAAAUGGAGAUCGUCCUCUGCUUUCACUGUAUGAACGGAUGGCCGUCCAAUGCCUGAAGAGGAUAUCAACAAUAAACGAAUAGAAUCAUUCGAUAUUUCUCUAAUCUUACACUAGCUCGGAAAAAAAAUUAUAAAUCCGUACCCUCUAAAGGAAGGCUCACGGGCACACUUAAACGACUUUGAGCCGAGCUGAGCAUGGAGGGUAGAGCAGUCGCUUCUCGAUUCUGCAAGAACAAGCGAGCUUCCAAGUGCUUUCUCCACCAAAACAAAGAUGCAAACGUAAAAACCCGGUAAAUAAAAUCGAACCUAAAAAGAGGGACUUGCGGUUGCAGAUUUAGGGUCUUCUCGAGGGACGGCUUUGAGCAGAGUGGAAAGCAAGCCGUCAACGGAAGAUUAGACAAGAGGACGGGGCGAUUGCUUCUCGGUCGCGAGUGGAGAGGGACGAAGAGAGCCCAGUGAAAUCGGCCGUCGGGAAGAGAGAGGCCGCAGGGGUGCUUCAAGAGAAUGCAGUCCAGAGGAGAGCAUCGGAGGACGAGGAAGAGAGAGCUGGUAAAGACCAGAGAGAAGAUAAAAGAGAAGAGAGACCGCUCUGCCCUUUGCCCGCGCGUUGAGUUUAAAUUGGGAUGACGUGGACCAUGUCCAGACAGCUGUCAAGUGCAGAAUGGUUCAAAGCAAAAAUGACGUGGCACUAUUAAAGGUGCCUAAUUUUUUCUUGGGGAAGCUUCUGCCGGGUGGAUUGUCACAGGGUGGGCCCCCAAAAUAAUUUACAGAUGUGGAAAAUGAAAAAUUGAUGAAUAAGCGCAAUGUCUUAUAUAAUUUGAUAAGAGAGCAGAUAUCUAAUCUCAUAUAUUAUAAGUGAAAUUAGAGUAUUAUGGUAUAUGCCUUGACAAAUUAGUUUCCAUGUCAGCCUUUCCUUCAUAAAUCGUCAUUCGUUUCGUUUUCCCUCUCAUCCCUGAGGACUUCCAAAUCAGUGGGGGGGGGGGGGUGGAAUCCAUUGUUUCGCUCCCUGUCGAGAGAACUCAGCAACUUUGCUCAUGGAAGACUGCGAAGUUCUCGCGAGCGCCAUGAGGUGGAGGUGGAGGAGCGAAUUCGAUGCUUCUCUAAAAGACGGCUGAUGGGAGGCAUCUGAAGAAAUACAAGUCAUCGCUUGUCAUGUUGGAAGACGCCAUCACGAAGCUACUGCAUUGGAGUGGAGAGGAGAUCCGAUCAUUUCCGUAGUGCUGGUCAGAUAUUUGAUGAAACGCGGAAGUGGAGUAGAAACCGGGGUGCAUUAAUCUGAAAUGGGCGUGCUGCUUUUGGCUUUGAUUUAUUUGGGUAUAGAUAAAGAAAACAACGAGAAAUACAACAUUGCAUUUUGCACGUCCCAGUCUCCUACAUUUUUGUUUCUACUAGUAUCCCUGUCUCCUACAUGUAAAGGCUGCAAGAUAUAAUUUAAAGAUUCUUUCAUGUGUGCUCACAUCAGUCUUUGUCUUUGAACAAUAGCGAUGAAAUUGCUGGAUGUAGCAAGAAAGCAUAUGACCAUAUGCCAAUUAGUGACGCACGGCAAAUGUUGCUCUACUCCUAUGACCAAGAACUCGCGGUAUAUAUCAGGGAGGUGAAUAUUAUGAGAGGAUUUUGGCUUUCUCUACCUGGAAUUCUGUUCUCGUUUGACUAAUUAAUUCAAAAAGACAAUAUUCACUCCAGUAUCAGUUCAGAUCUUUGAAGGAUCUCAUAAAAUUUCUUCUAUCGAGUUGCCAAUCUAUGUCCUCUUCAACUAUUGUGAUUGUUUUUUUUUCUCUAGAAUCACAGACUGAUGUUAAACUUACACUCACCACAUCUAUGUGUCAUCUGGCCCUUGCUGUAACUAUGCUGAGUUCACACUUUGCAAGGUGUGCUCAGUAUAGAAACCUCGUGCUUGAAAAAGUGCUUCAAAGUGUGAAGAAUUAAUCCACAUAAAAGUUGUAUUGUGGAGCCUGAACAAUUACAUAUGUUAUAUGUGACAUCCCGAUUUUCCAAUUCUAUUUUUCAAUAAAUUGAGACGGGCAUUUCAUUGGCACGCAUAUAAUUAUUUUCCUUGAGUCGGCCACUCAUGUGAAAACUAAUCUAUCGGGUGAAGCCGUUAAGAGUUUCUAAUGCAUCAGACUCGAGAAUUUGACCAGAAUGCGACAUUUCGACCGAGCUAAUCUGCAAGGGUCAUUACGGCACAAUUAAAAAUCGAUUAGAGAUCGAAGAUAGGUCGACUCGACUGAGGCAUGUGAUCAGGUGUGGGUGAUUCCACCAGAUUGCACAAUUCUUGUCGAUCGGCACUGGACCGACUUUUCUAUCGAUUUGGUACCCUGUGUUCGUAUUUGAAACCUUGAGAUUACCCCGACAACCGAAAGUCGCCAAUAUUUCAAAGAUGUACAUUGUGGCUUGAGAUGAUCAACCACAGGUUAAAUGCAUGAAAAUUUCUAAAGGCUAUCUGGUAGGUUGGGCCGUGCUAAUAUCGUAUCAAAGUGAAAUUAACCGUGAAAUUGAUACCAAAUUGAGAAAUUGGAAGUUAGAGUGUGUCACAAAUCAUUUCAGGAUCAUUGACUUAUCUUUGGAAAAAUUUUCAUGUAAUCAGAAUUUUUCAGAAAUUAAAUCAGAGAAUGGUUAUUUUGGCUCGAGAAAUUAGUAGGCCCGCCUUUGGUCUUGCUUUUGGGACUUAAGUUGGUUUUACGGACAAGUGAAGAUGUGAAUUGAAGUGUAGUGACAUUAGAUUAAUUUUAUGGACUUUAAUUGGAUUCAAUUAGAAGAGAAUUGAAUGAAAAUUUAAAGAAAUUGGAUGUACGAGAAUUGGACCCCGGCGAAAAAUGAAAGUGCAACCAUUGGAAAAAGGUUGUGGGAGUUUUGAGUGAGUGGAGUAUGACAUCAUCCAUGAGGUCAUGGUGGGCCAUUUUUGUGGGAUUAAAGAAAAAGAAAAAGAAAAUGAGGUGGUCCCUCUCCUUUUCUCUCCUUCCUCUCUCCCUUCCGUUGGUUUCUCCUCCAUCUUCAUUGUGCGAAGACUAGAAAAUUUGCAAAGGAGAAGCCGGAGCAGCCCUUCGCCGCCCGCUCAGCCGCUCGUCGCCGGCCGUCCGCACUCACCCGUCGCCGAAGCUUGCCGCUGCCGCCGUCAUCCGCGCGAAGCUCGCGAACAGCUCCGCCCGCUUCGCCCAGCCCGCGCUAGCCCACACCGCCGUCGCCCUCCGUCAGCUAAGCCACCAGCCACCGCCGUGGGCCACCGCCGAAGCUACCGCCUCAUCCGCUCGAGCUGCCUCCGCCCAUUCCGACGCCGGAUCCACCCUUCUCAGCCCCAAAGCAGUUAGGGGUGUGCAUGGUCUGGGCGAGCGGUUCCCGACCUAGAACCGGGAACCGCCUGUUAAGGACCGAUUCCGAAAAAUUGGAACCAAGAUCCACCCGUUUGUUGCAUGGAUUCACCUGAGAACCGGACCGUCGGUCCGGUCCAAUUCCCGGGUGGAUCCAUGGAACCGAUCUUGACGCGAAACAAUUUUGGUUUUCAACAUAAAACGAUUACGUGACAUCAAAGAAAGCCAAAGAAAGAAAAACCAAAUUUAAGUAUGUGGAGAUGUGGACGACGGGAGAAGUAAACGCAAUGAAAUGGUGAUAGGAUUAAGAGCCGAAGACGAAGAGAGUGAGAUGAGAUCUAGGAUUUCUUUUAGUAAUUUUUUUUUUUAAUAUUAAAAAUGUUCCGGCCCGGUCCGGGUGGGCGGGCGGGCGGGCGGAUCCGCCCAUGGAACCGGGAACCGGACCGGUGGGUACCGGUUCUCAUAAAUUGGAACCGGGAAUUGGACCGGUUCCCUCAAGAACCGCCGGUUCCGGACGGUUCUGGUCCGGUUUCGGGCGGUCCAGGCGGUUCCCGGGUAUUUUGCACACCCCUAAAAGCAGUGGCUGGAAAAAUAGGUAUGGCAGCGGACGUUUGGCCCAUUUUGGCCGCCUUCCCAAGCUCGAAUGCUCGGCCCGCCUUGAGGAAGUCGUCCUCGUCGUUUUGGUCCCUUCGGCUCGCUAAUCUAGUGAGUUUGGCUCGCUAAUCUAGUGAGUUUAGCUCACUAAACCUCGCUUAGAGGGUUAAUUAUGCUUAGGGUGUUCUUAGUUUAAGCUAAGUAAGCUUAGGUGAUUAGUUUAAUUUAUUUAAUUGCGAAUUAGAUUAAGAUGUUGGUUUAAUUUAAAGUAUGUUUAGUUAAGGUUAAAUGGAGGUUUAUAUUAGUAUAAUGGUGAUUUGACUCAAAUGAAUUACUUUUGGAUUAAAUAAAUAUUUCGAAAUUGUUUAAUAAUUUAAUAAUAUUUUAUUAUUCGAAAUUAUUAAAAUAUUAUUAUUUAAUUAAUUUCGGAAUAAAAUUAACUAUUUAAUAAAUUCCGAAAUUAUUUCGGGACCUUAUUUUCUCAGAAUUUUGCGCUGAUCGCUGCUGUGUAUUCGGAUUUUGAAAUUGAUGGUUGGAUAUUAUAAAUUGAGUGUGGAUCGUGAAAGAUAUGGAUAUUAUUAUUUAAUUAAUUUUCGGAAUAAAUUUAAUUAUUUAAUAAAUUCUGAAAAUUAUUUUGGAACCUUAUUCUCUUAGAAUUUCGUGUUGAUCGCCACUCUGCAUUUAGAAGUUGAGUUUGGUGAAUGGAUGUGGCAAAUUGAGUGUUGAUUGUGAUAAAUAGGGAUUUUAUUCAUAAAAACCCAAGUGUCGAGUUUUGAUGCAAAAAUUGGAUUUUAAUGAUUAUAUUAAAUAGUGGGGUUUGAAAAAUUGAGAUAUUGGCUUUCUGGUUCGAAAUUAGCGUGCCCCCGCACACGUGAAUAAUUUCUUGAAUAUUUUUAAUAUGAAGAAAAAUGGCCGGGAUCACUAUUUUAAGUGGAAGUAUAGAGUGAAAUGCAAAGUGUCCUAGGGCCGAGUAUGCUUUGGCAGUGUGAUAACUAAGAGGAAUCGUCAUGGGCUGUUGAGCCGAACUUGCCCCUAUAUGGGAUGCCCACGCGGUGGAUGCGGGUCGCAGUUGAUUCUGGGCCCAUGGUCCUUCGGGAACGCCGUCGAUGUACUGACGAAGCCGCGCUCCAAGGUGGGGAGGCGAUGCCUGGCUAUGUGUCAGUAGAUAGCCGAACCGCGAGUAGGCUAUGCCCUUGUGUGGCAGUGAAUAAUAAUUGGAAUGCGUGGUGAGUGCGAUUGUGAUUUAUAUGAAAGUGAUGGUGUUCCAAUUGUUUGAAUUAUUAUUACUACCUGAGAUUGUGUGAUUCAAAUUGUGCUAAUCUGCAUGAAUGAAUUAAGACGAGGUAAGUCUUCUGUGUGACGCGGUUAGGCCACCCGGGGCGUAUUUUCUUUCUAAUAGGGUUUAGGGGGUUGAACUUACUGAGACAUUGUCUCUUCCCGGUUUGGGGAUUACAAGUUCAGAUCCCUAGUGGACAAAGCGGCUAGAUAGCUUUGGUUGGCCUUGAGGAGUUGCAGAGCUGAAGUCAUAAUGAUUGGAGAACGUGUCCGACUUGUAGGUCGUAGGACAGUUCAUUUUUAAGAGCCGGUCUUUUGUAGACUUUUGGCCGUAGACCUAUGUUUGUAAUUCUGUUGAAUUAUGAAAGUGUUAUGUUGUAAUUUUGCUUCCUGCUUUUCUAUCCCGUAUUUUAUUGUCAGGGGUUUUAUAAUACGUUCCGCUUGCGCAAUAAUAAAUAAAUAGGGUCGGCGACACUACCUAGGAAUGUCGCAUUUGCAUGACCAUGAUGGGAUGUUGGCGUGCUCGAGGUUCGGGGCGUGACAUUAUAUGGUCAAAUGCAGGAGCAUCUCAAUUGGCAAAUCAAGAGCGGCUUCGUAUAUUUUCAAAAGUGAAGAAAUCUGUAUCUUUGAAGGAAAUUCCUUCGUGGCAGCUUAUCAAUCAGACAUUGAGUUACACAAGAGAGUUGGAGCGGAUAUUGUAGGACCUGCCACAGUGCAUGGUGAUUUGCACUGGUAUUUACACACUUUGAAGAUUACUUAUUUUGCGCUAAUGGCAUCUCAUCCCUUUUGCCCAUUUCGAGGAAUUUGAUAUUUAUUUUUUAAGUCUAUAACUUUAUUUGAUCAUUGUGUUGGAUUUUAUCUCAGCAAUCAUGUUAGUACUCAUAUCCAUCAUAUUGUUGAGCGCAAUUAUGUAUUUGGUCGGAAGGAUAUUUUCCUUGUCUAACCAGCUCGAAGCAGAAACUUGAAUCAAUGUUGUGACAUGGAGAAUGUGUAGUUUCUCGUAAUCAAUCUAAUACCGUGAAUAGACAUAGAUACAAUUAGGUUUUAAUAUGUUGUUAUAGUAGAAUCGAAUCUGUGCACACUUGGUGACAUCAAUUGUCAUCGUUGGUCAAAGAGUUGCAAAUCAUUGACGUGGGAAGGCCAACUAGGGCUGCUCGUGUCCAGUUCAGUUUUUAGUUCAGUAAGUUGAAACAGCCACCAGCUGAGGGCUUGUGCUCUUGAUUGAUGAUAUUUCAAUGAGACGGCGUAGCAAAAUCGUAUCAGAAAUUUCUUUUCCCCUUAUAUUUUCCUAACUUCCAGAUUGGCCUCUGUGAGCAUGUGAUCUCGCUUUCUACAUUUGCUGCAUAAGCUCUCAAGACUGAGCAGAAAAUGAAUCUGGGGUUUGCAAUUUGGUAGUCUUCCGUGAUCCAUGAUGUAGCCUUUGCAUGAAAGUCGUCGUCAAUUUGCUUAAUUGAUACUUCUGGCGGAUCCGGAAAGAACGAGAGGAAGAAUUUAAUGGGUGGGUGUCCAACAGUGGUCCCCCUCUUCUAAAUCAUGGUUUUAUGAUGAAUUGACUCCUUGUCGUUGGGAUGUGACCAUGAUUGAGGACCUCAUCAUACCGUAUGAUGAUGUAAUAACGAACGUCUGAUAAGGAAUUCCCAACCACCCAAUGUUUCCAAUUUCUGUGACUUAUUUUCUUGUUUAUUUCAUUCCAUUUUAUUUCAAAUUAUCGUAGGCUUUUCUUGUUUCUUUUCAAGUAGGCCCUUCUACUCCACAGUGCACGUCUUGUUUCCAUCUUUCCAUACAGUCCUACUCGAUCUUCAAGGAGACGAUAUUAAUGAAAAGUUGGCAAGUGCAAAGAUUUUUCCACCUCAUUUUGAACUUUGGGAAACUGCAUUUUCAUUGGAUUUGCAUGCACAAUGGACCACUAGCGAAUGCUUGAGACCUAUAUAGAGGAUGUACGACAUAAGUUAAGAGUUGGUUUAUGGGGAGAAAGAUUAAAUGUCAUUCAGUUGCUGAAUUGAAUGUGUAAGCCCCACAUCACCUGACUUCCUAAAAAAGUCGAUUGUAUCUUAAUGCAGUGGGCCUCAAUAGAUGAAAAUACUCGAGCUAACAGAAACAGACAGCUGAUAUAUGUCGGCUCUGUAGAGGAUCGACUCCUGUGUAGCACCAAAUGCCAAACCGACAGGGCAUCUUUCACACUAGAAGGAGAUCAGUUUUUUUGGUGGACGACAGUGAGUGAAAAUGAUUGCAUUACCCAUCAUCAAGAAUAGAUUUUACACUUGAUCUUCACAUAAGAAAAACUCAUAAAACCUCCUCUUGCAUCAUACUUCGCAUAGAUAUGGAGGAAUGGGAUAACUCUGAGCCAAAUGAAUGGGAGCAGCAAUUGGAUCAGCAGGAAUCUACCUUUUAUGAUGGAUAUGUAAAACCUUAAGACGAAGAAUCAUUGGGAUUUUACCAUUAUUAGACGUCUCACUUUGGCAGUUUUCUGUUUAGGUGUGCGUUGCUUUCAACACUUAUUCUCAAAGAACUUAGCGUCUUUAUUUUCCUUGUUAGUACAGAGUAGUCUUCAUCAUACCCCAAUUAUUACUCUCCCCAACAGAGACGCUCAAACAAUCUUGUGGCAGAAGCAAAAGGCACAAAUUGCACAAAAAUUAUCUAUAGCCAUCUUCAGCAAGAGUCAUCACUGUCGCACUAUGACACUUGCUGGCGACACAUCUCUGCAAGAUGAUUUUUCUGAUCUCUCUCUCCCCCUCUUCAAUAUCUAAGGUGAAGAUCACUAAUUCUGGUUAUGGCCUUUUGGAUAUCUUUUCUUUUCAUUGCCGUGGAAUGUUAGUGAGCUGAAAGUAGGGUUGGGACUGUGCGGUUGUAGAUAAAAAGGAGGUAAUGUCAGCUUCGUAUUCAUCGCAUGUGCUUUUUGUUCUCCUGCUGAGAUUUUUUCUCUAGUUCUUUUUGGACUUGCGGCUUGGCAAUGCUCUAUGUGAUCUGUGAUUGACAAAACAAGAAGAAAAGUUUGCUUGCAUUGGUAAUAACUGUUGUCAUUAGCAGAUGAAAAACUCUCUGAGCUUUGCAAUAUCUCAGGAUUUUAGCCUCGACUUUGUUGGAAGGAAAUGGUUGAGAUUAGAAUAGAGGAGGAACAUCAAGGAGAAGAAAAUAGGUCUCAUAAUUUGUCAGGACGGUGAAAGAGAAGGUAGCAAGAAAAUGUCCUCUCGGUUAGAAGGAAAAAUAGAACUAGGACGAGAUGGUGUCUUGGAAAUGGAUAAUGACAAUUAGUGCCCGAGGUGUGAAGUUGAAUCUAAUUGCUUCAUCUUCACUGUAACGGAUGAAGAUACUCUGAACUUGAGUAUGAUGGAUGCUUCCCAGUUGCCUUUUUUAGUUUACGCUCCUCAGGAAGCUUUGCAUUAUGAUGAGCAGUAGACUCCAGAAAGAGAGAUUGAACAAUAAGAGCUGUACCCAGAAGAGUACGUGGAGGAGGAACCUGAGGAGGAGGGAUCUGAGGAUGAGCAUGAGGAGAAUUUUGAGGAAGAAGAGCUCGAGGAUGAACCCGAAGCAAAAGAAGAAGAAUCCGAAGAAGAGGAUAAUCCAGAGUAUGACCCGGAUGAAAACUGAGAUCCCAUUCUGUUUGUAAACCUAGGCUGAGAAUUGAUGUGUGAUAGUUCAGCCUUUAAUGAAUAGUAUUGUUAUAUAUAUUAUGCGGUUUGCCCUGUAUAAAAGUGUGGUUAUGCCCUACUUUUCUAUUCAAUUAUUUUAUUAUUUGGGGAUUAUUUUAUGUUUCCAUAUGCGUAUAUAAAUAAAAGGGUCGGCGAUGCGUUCUAGGAUGCUAUUAAUCGAUUAGGUAAGAGAUGGAUACGUGCUUAAGGAUUGGGGCGUGAUACACGUAGUGUAACAACAUGCAGAAAUUAUACACCCAAAGAAAAUCAAGAACAGAUUCACAAUUCAGGAGAUACAUCAAGAGAAAGACACGGCCUGGCAUGGGCAUAGAUGAGUCAGUAAAAGUCCAAACUCACCUGCGUACUUGAUGUCCUUGAGUUCGGACUCGCCUGCAAUGUGCCGUACUUGUUCAUUUCAUUCUUCUUGAAUUCUGAAAAUCAAAAAAGCAAAGGAACACGCGUGCUAAGUUUUGUACCGAGCAUUUACUUGCAAUUAACAGAGAAUUAGAUUAUGUAGGAAUUCAUUGCCAACCUCUAAUAAUCUUCUGCGAUGGACUUAGGCUGAUCGUCUGCUGUUUAUGCUUCUCCCCUAUGGUCUUCUCAUCUCCUUUAAAGAAAGCCAAGUCGAUUAUACGAUAAUACAGGUAGAUGAUGGGCACAACAUUGCAAACGUAUGAGCACGAGUCAUCGAUUUUCAAACCAACGGAGACAUCAGCAUUUAGAAAGACAAAUAUGUAAGAACAGACAAUACCGGAACAAUCAGAUAUGUUGACGAACUUGUUUCUGUGAAGCAGAUUCGUUCGCUUAGGAACUUUAUUUUCACGGCUGCAAGCAUAAGUAUCAUCGAGAGGCUUUUGCCCUCCUUCAGGCUCUCCAACAUCGACCAAAUAAACAUUGAACGUCAGCGUCUCACCAGAGCAAACAACUUCGUCAUUCUUCAAGAUCCUGCAUUCCAACUGCUGGUCACUGUUGUCAUACAGCAUUACCUGUCGAAAAAUCCGAUCAUCAAUCACGGCAUGGCCUAAUCCACUCAGAACAAGCUCAAUCGCGGGGAGCACAACGACCAAAACCACAGAACAGAACAAUCCGCGAGGACAGUCAAAAUCGAAAUCCUUAGCAGCAUCAAGCCGUUGCUAUCUAGCCUGAUCGAGCGAGCUGAAUUCAGGGAAUUAAUUGCCACUGCAGUUUCGACAUGGACUACUAGCCGAUCAAAACCGAAUCAUGUCCCAGCCCAAUCGAAGGUAACCAAAUUCGCCAAUCGAGUUGAGCUGGACAUCAAUGGCGGAGAUGAGUAGCGAGUGAGAGAGAGGGAAGGCACCUUGGCGGAGGAGGAGUGGAGAGAGAGGAAGCCGUCGCGGUAGACCUUGCGCUUCUGCUUGAGGUGCUUCGUGAAGGUGACGUUCCAUUUCGUCGGAGCCUCAUCCAUGGCGGUUUCUGCAUUUGGAGGAUGAUGAUGAAGAAGAAGAAGAAGAAGAAGAAGAAGGUUUUCUAGGGAUUUCGGAGAGCUGCAAGUGAAGCGAUACUGCUUUCGAGAGCUGAAAUGUUAUGGCGGGAAACGAGCUCCAGAGCGCUAAGACGGCCUCCAAGCAUUUUAAGGUUUUUUGGUUGAGCCAUUGAAUUCAUUAUUAUGUGCCAAGUAGGAAUCGUCAAUUGUUUUUUAUUUUCAUUUUUUUUUAUAUCCCUAGACAUUCAAUGCGAGAUUUUCCCACGACUCUCACUCACACAUUUGGUAAGUUUUGGCAUCAAAAUAUGCUCUAUACAAAAGUCGUGACGCUGCUAAUGUACUUAUUCCCGAUUGAAAUGCCUAUUAAAAAAUCUAGCUUCGAUUGCCAAUAUGGCAUCCAGGUUGAAUGUGAAGUGCUUGCAUGAAAUGAAGUGUUUGUUGCAAGGAUAUUCAAAUGAAUGACGUGUUGCUAUCGCGGCAUGGAGCUUUGACUUCCCAAUCAUGUGGACGGGCAUAAAUAGGUCGAGUCAGUAAAUUUGCACUAUACUAAAAUUGGUCAAAACAUAUCAAAAGAAUUGGAUCAUUUUCGACUUUACCCAAAUCCUAUCCGCCUGUCUAACGGACCUACUUUAAUUGUGACUCCUUUAAGUGAAAAUAUAUUUUUGUUAUUCAUUACAGAUAUUUAUGAAUCGUAUAAAAUAGAGUUCAUCACCAAAAACGCCAAAUUUGUGCACUUGUGACCGGUUUAUCUUAGAUUAAUUAUUAGACCAAAAAAAAAAACUUCAAACUAGUAUACCUAUGAAAAAUUUACCCACCAUUAGUUUAUAUUAAAUUUUACAGUCAAAUUACUAAGUUGGGUAUGUCACAAAUAUACUAGUUUGCAGUUUUUCGUAAUAUCAAUAUAAUUUAACAAAAACUAACGGAAUGUACCAAUUUUAGAUUUUUUGUGUUAUAAUAAAAAGUUGAGGUAAAUGUGUCACACCAAUACAAAUUUAGGGUAAAUGUGUUACAUGGGUAUGUGUGUGUAUAUGGGAUUUUAUCACCAAAAAAAAUUAAAGUAAAUAUGCAACAGUAAACAUAAUUUAGAAUUUUUUUUUAUGAUUUUAGAAAGUUGUUGUGACAGUUCGAAUGGCAAAUAAAUCGUGCCCUAUCUCUACCUUGGACGUGCAAGAAGUGCAUCAUCGAUCAGGAGACAACAAACUAAUCCUUGCCAUUAAAUCAAAUUCUUCUCAAAUCGACAAUCGGAUUUUGCCCAAUAACUUUGUCGUGCAAAAUUUCGCAGCGCGGAAAUAAGUUCUUGCAUUAUACUUAGUGAGAUAGUAAGUACAAAGCCAAGACUACAGUCCCUCUCCCUUCCCUUAGGCUUCUCACUGUGAAGCUGGCUAUCAUUGACUAGUAAUUAAAAACAAAAUCCGUUAAUGAAGCUCGAUGGCAUAUUUAGUACAAUGGCUAAUGAGAUAAAACAUCUAAUUGAUAUCUCGUUAUUUGUCUAGAAGAAAUCAUUACACAAGCCAAGUUCAAGCACCGACAAUUACACUAUUUUUAAUUUUAAUAAAUGAAUUUAUUCCAUUGAGGUUCCAUUUUACCAUCGCUUGUUUAAAAAAGUAUUUUACCUUAUUUAAUCCUUUAUCGUCAUGUGACAAUAUGAGCGGAAUUAUAUGAGAAAAGGCAUUUAUUAAUUGAAUUGUAAAUAACAGAACUAAUGAUCAACUUAGUUGAAAGUUACAGCUUUAAUUGUGGGUCUUAAACUUGGGCAACAAGUUAGACCGCUACUUCAAGCUCGGCUUACCCAAUCAUCAUCUCUAAAAUAUAUUGUAUCACAUUUAUACCCAAAGAUAUGUCUUUUCUUUUUUUCAACAAUGAACUGGAAACUAGACUAUUUCUUUCUCAGCCAUUGGGUGUAAUGGCUUUGAAGCUCAUGGAUACGUUAUCAAAAUCCAUCCAUUUUGCAAUUUGACCAUUUUGUUUUUUUCAUUUUCCCUAUCAUCUUGUGGAUUAUUUAUUCGUAAUUCUGAAAAAAAAAAAAUCUUUGACUCCUAUUCAAGUGAGGGUUAUUUUGACUCAGUAGAUAGCAACACAUGUAAUUGAUUGAUGAGAUUUAAAAUUGACGAACAUACAGAGAAAAUUGAAAAAGAAGGAGUGCGCAUAAAUGAUAAAAAGAUGGAUGGUUCUAUAAAAGAAUGCAAGGAUUAAAUUUUUUACUUUUAAUUGAAUCUUUCAAUAAAGUGGACUAGUAAUUUCUGUUUAAAAAAGAAAAAAAAAAAGUAUUGCUCCAAUCUAGCUCAUGCACCUUUCUAGCCUUCCUAGCGAAUUGAUGUUUUGUGGCUUCAAAUUGGUUUGUCGUAGUCAUUUGGAUUAUGUGUCUGCUGAAAGGAUCGAUUCGCUUAAAUCAGAGAGCACAAAUACCAAUUUGGUGAAAAUUUAAUUUCACGUACCAAAUUUAACUAAAAUUUUAGGGUCCAACUAUUAUUUUCCCUCUCGUCCUUGUGGGCUUCAAAGGCGGAACCUCUCUUAUUCCGCUCGCCGGACAGAGAGCUCGUGACUUGCUCGUAGAAGAUACAAAAUUCUCACGGGUUGCGAAGGGACAAGUGAAGGGCAUGCGAGAGGAGGCGACGGUGAAUCCGAUGCUUUUCUCGGUGGACGCUGAUGCGAGACGAGUUGCAAUGAGCGUCACUGCACAUUGGGUUGGAGACACCGUCGUCAAAGUUGGUGCGGAACCGAAGAAGAGGGGAAGAUCCGAGCAUUUUCAAGUGGUGGCCGGGUGCUUGACAAAAUGCCCACGUGGGGAGUUGAAACGGUGUUCGGGCGCAUGAAAUGGAAGCGAUGGGUUGCUCUCGUUUUUGUGGUGUAGUUCUUGCAUUGUGAUGAACGAUGGCGUAGGAUAAAAAUGCCGCGAUUAAGAAAAAGACCAAUAGGCGCAUCCACUGUACAUUAAUUGAAGGGACAAGUACUAUGGAGAAAAAACGACAAAGAAACGGCGAGGCACCUCCUCAGGUUUCUUCUCAUAAUAUCUUCAGCUCUUGUGCUUUGGUCUUUCUUUACAAUUUUUCGUGCAGUUGUCCAUCAAAGGGACCUAGAAAGAUAAAAGAUAAAGACAAGAAACCAAAAGGGACAAAGCAAUUGGUGGUCAGAAACGCGAAGCCAUGAAGCAACCUCUCUCGUUUUCCGACAUUCUCUGUAGUAUUCCUGUAAUACACUCUCCGCUCCAACUGCUCAUUUCUUCUUUAACAAUUGACUACCCUCUCGUGGGCGUUGUUUGCUGCAGAAGUUGUCUGAAUCUUGAAGUAAGGAGGUUUUCCUUUUUCAAAAAAUUUAAUCACUUUUCAAAAUAUUUAAUCAUUUUGAUGAUGAGUUAUAAUUUUUCAGGAUGCGAGAACUGCAAUAACGAAUAUUAAAAAAAUAUAUGAUGCUAUAUUAUUGCUAUUAGUACCAGCCCAUGGGAAACGAAUGUUUUGAUGGCACAUUAAACAAAAUUGCAUCAUUACCUAUAUGUCAUUGUCUAUAAAUAUUUAGUUGUAGAGACUGAUGAUGAUGAUAAUGGCGAGGAUGAAGAUGAUGAGCUCAUUGACCCCAUCCCAGUAUUAUUAUUGAGCAAUAAUCCUCCUGCAUUAUUAUUUCUGGUUGAUCCUAGAAAAAAGUUCCGGCUCAAUCGUAAGAUCGGUAGCGGAUCAUAAGGAGAGGUCUACCUUGGUGGACUGCUUGUUGAUUGGUACUUGAUUUUUGCCCUAUCCAUUGUGAUCUUAGUUUGAUUUUGUUUGGACGAACGAGGAAGUCUCAAUUAAGCUUGUGAUGGCUCUUCUCCCAUUUUUUUUUUUUGGGGGGGGGUCAGACUUCUCCUAGUUAAAUUGACCAUUUUCUUUUUCUAAUUUUUGUACAUUUCUUUUUUUUUAUUAUUGUUGUGGUCAAUGCAUCGGUGUUUUGAUGAUAUAGAAUUCUGAUUUUUUAUUUUUACGUUCUUUCGGGCAACAUGGAUUGUGCUUUGCUCCGUUUCUUUCUUGAGUUGUGCAACUGGCAUAGAUAUUGAUAGGUUCACUUGCUUAUUGCAAGUCGAUGGCGCUAACUUUUAUAUUUCAGAAUUAUUAUUGUUAACAAGUGGAACUUUUUUGGUUUUGUGGCUUUUACAUGCAUGUGAGUAUAUGUUUGAUGCUGUGAUGCAUGAAUUCAUGUCAUGCUUCUGGUAUAAUACGAUUGUAUGCCCAAGUAAAUGCUCCUUUGUCCCUUUGUCCCUUGUUGAGCAUUGACUCUUUGCCUGAAAGAUUACCUAAAAGAAAGAUUGAUAUUUUGCUCGAGACAUGUAUGAAACAACUGAGGCAACUAUAGUAUUCUAGAGAGACCACGCGAUAGACGUUGCGGUCAUGCUUCAAGUGCUUUGUGAAGCUGACUUAAAUAAAAAUUGGAGCUUAUGCUUGUUGCUCCAAGAGUUCGCAAGCUUCAAGACCCAAUAAGCUCCAAGCCAUUUGUGGGGUGCUUUUCUUGCGCAUCCAUGGAUAUAGAAUAUGUAAUUAUCAAUGCAAUAUGCAACUUUCUAAGUGCUUAUUCCUCCUCUCUUCUUUGCAACUUGCGGGCCUAUUGGUUCGGAGCUUGUUAACGCAUGGAAAGUGAAUUUCCAAUUUCCAAGUCAUUCUCCAUCAUAAGCUCCACUGAUCAUAGUCAAGUAGUCCAAUGCCAAUGACCAAGUUGUUGUUUUUGUCGAUGAGGCAGACAAUAGGGAAGCUGCUCAUCGACGAGGCCAAAUUCUUAUGGGGCGUGGCAGGCAAGGUCAAGGACCUGCAAAAGGAGCUAAAGCUGACCCAGUGCUUGCUGAGAGAUGCGGACACUAGAUGAGAGCAUGACCAAGCUGUUGGAGAAUAGGCCGCACAGCUCCGUGACAUUGCCUAUUGUUGGGAUUGUCGGAUUCCCAAAAACCGGAUUCGACACUAAAUCGAACCCCUAAAACGAAUGCGGAAGACAAGCCCGGGAAUUCACAUGUAUCACCGAUCCUAAAGCACACCACGGAAUCGAGCGUACCUUGUUAGCCAAAGAUUGAAUACCAACGCCGAUAAGAGGAAGAGAAACCGAUCCCGUUCCAUCCGAUGACGUCGAUUGGCCUUGAACGGAAGACGGCAUCGCCUUUUGCGCACUUUUUUCUUUUGGAGGGAGAGAGGGAGAGGAACGUACAUUCAUUAUGCCAACAGUUGUCUUCCUCCCUCUCUCUUUCUCCUUUUAUACGUCCCUCCAACAGAAAGGAACGUACCCCUUCAUCCAUGGGCCCUAAUCUUGUGGGCCGGGCUUUUAGGCCCAACAUGGGCGGACGGGCCAACUUAAGGCCCAUCACCUAAAACCAUCAUCUCACACUCGCACAUGGUGGACUAAACAGGAUUCUCUUUACCUCUCUUCAACAUUCAUACCGGUGAAUAAUCCGUGCAACCAGCAUACUUUGAAAGCUUGUUGCCAUACAUCUGUUAGGAAUAUAUAGCAGCUCAUAAUGGGCAUCACACUUUGAGUAGAUUUAGUAUGCACUACCCUAGAUCGAUUGAUCACAUUUAUAUCUCUCUUAAUCUCUUUUAAACAAUGAUAUAUAUAUAUAUAUAUAUAUAUAUAUAUAUAUAUAUAUAUAUAUAUUGUAUUCACAAUUAUGAUUAUCCCAAAGACAGUCAUAAUUGGUUAACCAGUGAAUACAAAACUACAAUGUGAUUCUCCAAAUUCGAUCUUCCUCUUCCCUUCAAACUCUCAAUUUCAGUUUAGCUUGCUUUUCUAGAAAUGUCCCAUUAGAUUGAAUCAACUCAUGACCAUUGGCAACAUCCUAAGAUAGCAAACACUAAAUAAAAAUCUUGAGAAUAAGUAAGAGUCAUGAUGGGACUAAAAAAUUGAUGAACUCUUUUCCUCAAGAGUCACACACGACAUAAAAGUUGAGAUCAAACUUUUGCCACUCUUAUUGAUCGUCUCAUGCAUACAUAGUAUGAAAUACGUAUUACGGUAUUAACUCAUUUCCCAUGGAGCAUAUGUCUACAUUUUCAAUACCGUACAGAUGAUAGUUCAGACAUACCCAAUGUCUAACUUGAGUUCACGUAUCUACUCAUUCAUAAAAUUCAUCAAAACUCACAUCUGGCAUUAUAGACAGAUAAAGUAAAAUAUGUGGGGUAUUUUACUUUCAAACAUAGUACAUAUCAUGUCCUCAUCUUAACACUUAGUUAAGGCGACAUAUAUUUUAAGCUUGAGUUCUCGAUUAUCACCUAGAUAAUAAGUUUAAAAACAGUCUCAUUUUUAUUUAUCACACAGUAAAUAGAGGCAAUUACCCGUGUGAGUGGGCUAAUCUUAUAUCUGUCCGACAUACUUUCUCAACUUAAAGUAAUGCACUGAGCAUUAAGAUGCAUAAAGAUCAAAUAAAGAAUCAUAAGCAUUAAUUAUGAAAACACAAAUUCAUCAAAUGUGAACAUUUAGGGAAUUUACAAUAUUCAGUACAUCAGCCUCUACACAAUUCUAGAGAUUUCAUAUGGCCACAAAACACAUCUCUAGGUAUUGGCUUUGUCAUAGGAUCUGCUACCAUUCUAUGCGUAAUAUGUAUUGUAAGUUCACAUCUUUUCGUGCAAUCAUAUUUUUGAUAAAAUUAUACUUGGUAUCUAUAUGUUUGGUCUUGCCAUGAUAUUUUGGAUCUUUGGUGUACGCUUUUGCUGCUUAGCUAUCACAGUUAACCAACAAUGAAUGUGCAGCACUUCUAAUAACACCUAAAUGAUCCAAUAAUCUCUUAAGCCAAACAUCUUCUUAUAUUGCUGUUAAUAAUGCCACGAACUCAGUUUCCAUCGUGGACAAGGCUAUACACUUUUGUUUCUUACUGCUCCAACAUAUGGUGCCAUUAUUCGGUAAGAAAACAAAUCUAGAGAUAGAUUUUCUUUCAUCUAAAUCUCCUCCAUAAUCAACAUCAAAAUAGCCUUAGAGUCGCAGAUCCUUUCCUUAAUAACUCAGCAUAUAAUCAGCAGUCCCCUUUAGAUACCUUAGUAUUCUCUUAACGGCCUUCCAAUGUGCUGGACCUGGGUUGGAUUGGUAUCUACUCACAAUUCCAACUGCAAAACAUAUGUUAGAUCUUGUACACAUCAUAGCGUAUAUCAAGCUCCCAACAGCACUAGCAUAAGGAACAUAUUUCGUUUGUUCCUUCUCUUGUAGAGUCCUUGGACACAAUCUAUGGCUCAAUCCUUCACCUUUUGCAAUAGGAGUGUCUAUAGGUUUACGAUCCCAUAUCCUUCAAUUUAAAGUUGGAAGAGAACCAACUCUUAACAGUAUUGACAAGCUCCAUAUUGCUUCCAGCAAUUUGUAUAUCAUAAACAUAUAAUGAUAUGAUCACAAAUUGAUCAUUGGAUCUUUUGAUAUAUAUACAAUGAUCCUCAUCUAUCAUUGUAAAAUCAUAUGCCAUUAUGGCAUUAUGAAAACGUAUAUACCAUUGUCUUUGACGACUGCUUAAGGCCAUAUAUCGAUCUCAAAAGUCGACAUACAUUUUCUUCUUGGUCUUUCAUUAUGAAACCAGCAGGUUGUUCCAUAUAUAUUUAUUCCUCUAAUUCUUCGUUGAGGAAAGCAGUCUUUACAUCCAUUUGAUGUAACUCAAGAUUCAUACUAGCCACUAUUGCCAGAAUAAUGCGAAUCGAGGUAAAUCUCACUACAGGAGAAAAUGUUUCUUCAUAAUCAAUUCAUUCAUGUUGAUUAUACCUCUUCGCCACAAUGCGAGCCUUAUGCCUUUCUAUCGAGCCAUUAGUCUUUCGCUUUAUUUUAAGAACCCACUUGUUCCCAAUAGCUUUGCGUCCUUUUGGAAGAUCAACCAGUUCCCAGAUUUGGUUUGAUUUCAUUGAUUCUAUUUCCUCUUCCAUUGCAUGAAUCCAUUUCUCCUUACUAGGGCAAUUCAGAGCCUCAUUAAUAUUUCUUGGCUCAUCCUCAUCUAAUGGAGCAAUCAUAAAAGUUUCCCCUCCAAUGUCAAAACGUCGACGAGGAAUACUUUGGCGACUUGUUCGCCGCAUGGGAGAUUGUACACUUUGCACAUCAUUCCCCAUCAAGCUCCCACUCGGAUUACAUUAUGAUGAUGUCAUCUCAUUAUGUGGUUGUAAUUGAGAAUGAGUUGAAUUGAAUUCAUCAUUUCUCAUAUUACUCCCACUUGGACGAACUACACUAAUAUCAUUAUCUUGAUCCAAGGUUUCAAAUAGGGAGUAAUCUUCCCUUAUUUCGCCCUUCUUAGGAAAUUCACCAUCUAAGAAUGUGACAUCCCGUGAUUCAAAUUCAGUUAUACUCCCACUUUCCUGCUCACCUAUGAACACAUAUCCUUUCGAGUGUUCGGAGUAUUUCAUUAAAAUACUCUUCUUUCCAUCGGGACCCAAUUUCCCAAACUUGUGAGAGGACUCAUGAGUAUAGGCAACACAACCCCAUGGCUUAAGAAAACUUAAGUCCGAUUUUCUACCUGUCCAUAACUCAUAUGGAGUGGAACUAACUGAUUUGGAAGGCACCCGGUUAAGUAUAUAGGCAGCAGUUAACAACGCAUCACUCCAAAAAGUGAUAUGUAAGUUAGCAUGCGCCAUCAUGGACCUAACCAUUUCCAGUAGGGUUCUGUUUCUUCUCUCUGCAACACCAUUUUGUUGAGGAGUAUAUGGAAUAGACAACUAUCUUUCUAUUCCUUUUUCACCACAUAAUUUUAUGAACUCAUCAGAUAAAUAUUCUCGACCUCAAUCGGAUCUCAAUGCUUUUAUUUUCUUGUCUAAUUGAUUUUCUUCCGCGUUCAUAAACCUUUUGAAACAACUUAAUGCUUCAGAUUUAUGAGAAAUCAAAUAGACAUAUCCGAAUCGAGUAUAAUCAUCUAUAAAAGUGAUGAAAUAAACAGCCCAAUGGCUUCCUCUCACAUUCAUUGCACCACAAACGUCAUAAUGGAUUAUAUGCAGAGGAAAUUUAGCUCUUUUACCUUUUCCAAAUGGUUUCCUUGUCAUUUUCCCUACUAGGCAAUGCUUACAUAUGGGCUAAUCGACUUUUUCAAUGUUGCCCAACAAGCCCUCUUUGGCCAGUCUAUUCAUAUGUUGGCCAAUAUGACCAAGUCUAGCAUGCUACACAUUCACAUCAUUAUCAAAUGAAUUAAGAAAUGUGAGAAGGGAAUAACAAACAUUUGCAUUAACAUAGUCAAUAUCUAAUACAAUGAAACCAUCUAGAAAAUAACCACAAGCAUAGUAGUUUGUAUCCAAAUACAAAUCUACACCUCUAUUAUGGAAGUUCAUAUAAAAAACAAGCUUAACCAACACCAAAACAGACACUAAAUUUCGACGAAUCUCCGGAGCAUAUAGAAUAUCAUGUAGGAACAAGGUGCGUCCACCACGCAUGUUCAAUUGGCAGGUGCCAAUCCCUUUAACUUCAUCUCUGGAGUUAUAUCCUACAUAGAUCCACUUAGUUCCAGUUGGUACUCGUCGGAAUUCCACGAAGGAUUCUCUAUCCUUCGCUACAUGGUCUGUCGAUCUUGAAUCUUUUUCGGCUCACAACAGUUGCGAGCAUAGUGACCUUUCUUGUCACAAUUAUAACACCUCACCCUUGACAUUUUCUUCACUUGAGGACAUUUUCCUCUCUUGUGUUGAUUAACUCUUGAUUUCUUGCAAUAAGGACUUGAUCCUUUGCAUUCCCACAUAUUGAACGAAUCAAUACACUUGCGCUUAGAGCUCAAAGCCCUUUCCGAGCUAGAACUUGCAUUGCAAAUACCUAUUUUCGGCUCAAAUGCCAUUAUGCGGUCCUCUACUAGCUCAAGGUAGCGCACGGCAUCCUCAAGAUCUUCCAUAACAUGGUCAAGAGCUUCUAGUGAUUCUUGCUUUUCCAGCAUAUAUUGAAUCUUCAUAUUCAAUAUUUCACAAUUGUUGCCGUUCAUAUCAGCAAUUACGUUCUUAGUUGUUGAAACCAUCGAUCUGAACACAUCAGACAUAUAUGCAUGAACAAUUAAUGCCUAUCAUUUAUGCAUCCACUUUGCACAAACCCAUCAUAUCAAUGAACAAUUUCAAGUAAGGUUUCAGAAUCAAAAGGUCACUAUGUUUCCAAUCAUCCUCCAAAAAUCCUAACUUAAAACUAUUAUUAAUAUAAUUGUCUUAUGCAAAAUAAAUUCUAUGAAGUUACAAAAACUUCUAUGAACUACCUACAGUAGUCAACAAUAACAGAAAGCAAAUAAUAUUUGACAUCCAAUAGAAUAAUAAUGCUUUCACAUAAUACAAUUAUCCAUUACACUAAGUAAUAUACACAGAGGAAAAUAUCAACAUAGAAAGAGAUAUUUACACCCAAAAACAUCUCAAAUUAAUCUAAGAAAUAAAUAGGGAAUGUCCAUGCUAAUCUAUCAGUCAAAAUAUCUGAGAAAUUUGAAGGCAUAUUUGCCAAUCAUGGAAAAACUUUUGGAGAGCUUUCAUGUCGCCUCUAAGGCGCAUUGACUUUGCGCCAUGUGACGCUCAAUCUAAGGGUUGAAGUUUUGGUUAACUCAAUCCUAUAGUACUCUCUUACAAAAGCUACCACUAGCCUCCUAUAACCCGGGACCACGUUGACCUCCCAUAGCCGAUCUAACACUGCUUGCCAUUCAAGUGGAAGAGUGUUCAUCAAAGCCGGCACAUUCUCAAAAUCCGGCAUAAGAUAACCAUUCCAGAUGAUUUCUUGUAUCAUAUGAUUGACACUGACCACAUGUGAUACUAAAUCACCGUCAUGCCACCAAUAAUCAGCUAACUCUGUCAUCAGCCUUUUAAGUCUUGCUCUUCCUUCGUCCGUUCUCGGGAUUGUAGGUAUCUAUGCAUAACGCAUCAUAGUUCCUACAACAAAUGCAGAACUAAAAAUGGAUCACUUAUAAUCCAUAAUAAAUAUAAUGGAAAAUACAUAAUUUUCCAUGAUUCUAAAAAAAAAAAUGGAUUACCUCUAACCCACACAGACAUAAUUGAAAAAAAAAACAAAUUCCUUUUUUUUUUGUCAACGGUCAACGGUCGUCGGUCAUCGGUCAACAGGUCAAUGGGUCGGGUCAAUGGACGGCGGGACGGACCGGUCGGGCCGGUCAGACUGGUCGGCCCGGUCGGCCCGGUCAGACUGGUCGGCCCGAUCGGGCCGGGUCGGAUGAACCGACCAGCACGUGUUGCAUGCGUGCAUGGGCUGACGUCACGCAGACGUCAGUCGGCGCGUGCGCGGCACGUGCUAGGCUUCCAUGCAUGUCGAGUCGCCGGCCGGCCAGCAACUGUCGCUGGCAAUGACGUCAUUGAUGACGUCAUCCCAGCGGUUACUGACCGUUGGAUGACGUCAUCACGCGUCGGUUCGCCGACUAGCGCGUGCCGGUUCGCCGGCCGGAGGCGUCACGCACGUGCCGGUUCACCGACCGAUGCGUGUGGCGCACACGCUGGCCGAGCCAGCGCUUCCGACUCGUGGCGCCCACGCGCAGCGGCUUCUAGCCACGCGUAUGGGCGCGUGCGGCGUCGCCCGGCGGCGGUCGACCCGUCGACGGACUCGUCUCGAUGAGCUCUUUCACCCUAUGCCAUCAGAAAUUGAUUUCGACUUAUGGAAACUCGAAAAAAAAAAUGGAUGAACAGUGCUCGGGUGUCGGGAUUUUUUGCCCCGAUCGAUUUCGGCCGAAUAAUUCCGCGAAAAAUCAAUCAAAAAUCAUUCAUAAACAUGAAAAGGGUCGGGAAAAACAUAAACUCGGGCUCUAAUACUAAUGUUGGGAUUGUCGGAUUCCCAAAAAUCGGAUUCGACACUAAAUCGAACCCCUAAAACGAAUGCGGAAGACAAGCCCGGGAAUUCACAUGUAUCACCGAUCCUAAAGCACACCACGGAAUCGAGCGUACCUUGUUAGCCACAGAUUGAACACCAACGCCGAUAAGAGGAAGAGAAACCGAUCCCGUUCCAUCCGAUGACGUCAAUUGGCCUUGAAGGGAAGACGGCGUCGCCUUUUGCACACUUUUUUCUUUUGAAGGGAGAGAGGGAGAGGAACGUACGUUCAUUAUGCCAACAGUUGUCUUCCUCCCUCUCUCUUUCUCCUUUUAUACGUCCCUCCAACAGAAAGGAACGUACCCCUUCAUCCAUGGGCCUUAAUCUUGUGGGCCAGGCUUUUAGGCCCAACAUGGGCGGACGGGCCAACUUAAGGCCCAUCACCUAAAACCAUCACCUAUGAUGCCUAGGAUGUCAUAGAGUGAUACAUCCUCAAAGUCAUGCUGAAGAAGGACACAACAUAAUCAAAGCAUAUGCUUGCUUCGUGGCAAAGUGCACGAGCAUGCAGGUUCAUGUGGCGAGGACAGAAAUUGAGGGCUUAAAAUCCAACAUGUCCAAUUUGAGAAUUAGUAUGCAGUGUCAUGGAAUACAAUCUGUGAAUGAGGACGAACGCCAUGCCAUUCGAUGUAUUUCCAGUGAUCUUCAACCUAUUGAGGUACACUUUAUGAUGCAAAGAAACUGAGAUAUGGGUCUAUCCAAUUUCCUUUGUCCCCUGUUCUUCUUAGUUCUUGUCCAAGAACUUGUAUAACUUGAUGUCCUUUAUCAACUAACGUAUGCUAAGCAAGGCCUUGAAGAGAUGUUUUAGGUAAUUUGUCACGAGUGUACUAAUUUAGGGUUUAUGUGAUUAAAAAAUUAGAUCGAGAUCACAAGUGUACCAUUUUAAAUUUUUUUGUUAUCAAAAAAUUAAUUUUGGAUAAAUUCAUCACAAAUGUACCGGUUUGGUUUUUUUUUUUUUGUGUUGGAAGAACCGCUUUGACCGAUAGCCGCCACGUAAACCCCUAGGUGUCGCUAGCAGGGAAACCACCAUCCUGGCGCCACGCAUCAAUCACCUAAUAGCUCGUCAGUCUCUUUGCAACUUGCGUCGCAAAGGCUUCGAACUCUUAACCUUCCCUCAAAGGACUGAAGCCUACUUAGCGAAGCCACCACGGCCGACGGUCCAGUUUGGGGUUUUUUGUAAUAUUAAAUUGUCAACAAAUUGGAAUAGUAUUUCUUGAGAAAAAAAAAAAGAGAGAAGAAGAUUGGCUCCAAUCUAGCUCUUGCACCUUAAAUUAAAGAGAACAAAGACCAAUUCGAUCGAAAUUAAAUUUCAAAGAUCAAAUUGAACAAUGAUUUUAGAAUUUAGGGACCAACUUUGAUAUCACCUUCCCGUUUAAAUCUGAAGCCCAUUGGCCAAGUGAACUUUUAGAAUUAGAUGCUACUAAACACAUGCAUGUCCACCUUCCUUUCGCGCAUAUAACUCUUAACAAGACAUUGAAGUCUCGUGAAAGCUGCAUUAUCAUAGAACACUGUCAUUCCGGAAUUUACUCAUUUUGUUCGUUUCAUUUCCCCUUUCAUCCUUGUGAGCUUCGAUGUCAGAAUCUCUUAUUCCACUCGCUGUAGAGAAAUCUCACACUCGCUCGUAGAAGAUGCGAAACUCUUGCGGGUUUGGCGAGGGGACAAGCGAAGGGCACGCGAGAGGUGGCACAAAUCCAAUGCUUCUCGAAAGACGCUGAUACAAGACUAGACGAAGUGGGAGUCAUUCCUCGUGGCGUUGCAGAUGUCAUCGUCAAAGUCGUUGCUAAACCAAAGAUGAGGGAAGAUCCGAGCAUAUUUUUCAAAUGCUGGCCAGGUGGUUGACAAAAUGCCCAUGUGAGUUGAAAUCUACACAGCGAAAUGGGACUGUAUGCACUUAUGGAAUUGGGAGCAAAGCAGGUUGCAGCCCUAAAGUCGACGAGCAAUAGCAGAACUAGGCCCUUCAUUUAAAGCUUUAGGGAGACAGAUUCGAACACGUGAAUAAUGGGCUUUUGUUCAUUUGCCAUCCCAUGGCCCAAGAGAAUAUGGGCAGGUAAAAAUGCAUCAGUCCUCUACCCUUUUUCUUCAAAAAAGUUCGAUCAAAUCGAAUCUCCAACAAGCAAAUAAUUCACAAAUUUGAUUCGAUUUUAAAGAAUUGAGAUCCAGCUGAAUUAAUCGAAAGGCUUUAAGAUCUUUUCAACUCGAUUAAUCAACCCCAAUUGAAGCAUAUCCUUCUGGAUUGUUUCUCAAUCAGAGAAGUAGUGCCAAACGAAAGAACAAAAAGGGACCGGAGAGAGACUAAUAGCGCAAACCAGGGACAGCAGUACAUCACUGUCGUGGACCAAGAAGUAACCUUAUCGCAUUUUCAGAAUAUGCUCGAAGCAUAUACCUUCGAAUUGUUAAAAGCUCUAUCUCACACAGCCAUAAUUAUUACUUUGCACCGGUAUUUGCAUAUUUCAAAGAUUAGUUGUUUGGGCUGAUGGCAUCUCAUUUCUUUUGGCCAUUUUGAGAAACAUGAUAUACUUUUUAAUGUCUAUAACUUUAUUUGGUCAUUGUGAUGGAAUUAAUCUCGGCGAUGAAGUUAAUACUCGUAUCCAUGUCAUUUAGUUAAAUAUGAUUUUGUACUUGAUCAGUAGGAUAUUUUCCUUAUAUUAGCUACUGGAAGAAGCGAAUAUCAAAUUAGUGUUCUCACAUGGAGAUAGACAACUCGAAAAAUGCAUGCGUCGCUUUUAAUCAUUCUGACCCAUGAGUAGACCUAGAUAAAAUCAAGUCUAACAUGUUGUUAUAGUGGAAUUGACUCUAUGCACAGUCGGUGACAUCCACAAUUUUCAUUGGUCAAUUUUGUUGUGAAUAAUUUGUAAGGAAAGUGUUCCUUAUCCAUUUACCUUGCGCCGCAUACCAGACGCAUACAAAAUAAAUUUUAUGCCUCAUCAUAUAGCAACAUGGAGAUAUAAUGCCUUCAUAAAUGUUAAUGAAUCACGACCCAGUAGUUAUCUGGUUUGAUUUGUGAUAUCCUUCAAGCAGAUCGACAAAGGAGAGCUUAAUUUGCGCAAAUAAUAGUUGAAGAAGAGAGGGAAAAAACUGGGCAAAGUUUCAUGUUCCAAAGUGAGUUAUGGAUUCGUGCAUCGAGGAAGUCGUCGUAAUGAUUAAAAACUGCUUUUUUUUAUUAAUUGAAAUCCUUCGUUUUAAAGUAUGCAUUUCUCCAAAGGUUUUUUUUUUUUUCCAAAUAUCGAACCAAACAUAUCCUUAAUUUUUCUCGAAACACAAAAUCUCAUGCCUCGGUAGCCACAUUAAGAGAGAAAAUUGCCAUGACUCUUCAAAUGGUUAAAAAGUUGUGCCUCGCCUCUGCCAUUGGAUGUGCAAGAGACGCAUCAUGGAUCGGGAGGCAACAAACUAAUCCUUGCCAUUAGAUCUGAGUCUUCUCCUAUCAGAAAUUGAAUUUUGCUCGAUAAUAUUUUCAUGCAAAAUUCCACGGCGCAGUAAGAUGAUUUUGAUAUUUAAAGUUCUAAACACCAAAAUUCGUUAAUUGUUUCUGACUUUUAUCUUAUACAUGAUGGUGUGAAAAAUAAUUACACAAGGCAAGAUCAAGCACGGAUACGUAUACUAUUUUUUAAUAUUAAUAAAUGACUUCAUUUCACUGACUUUUCAUUUUACUAUUGCCUAUUUAAAAAAUAAUUUACACCCGUGUUGUACCUUAUUUGAUUCAUUAAUUUUAGCAUAUGUAUGUGGCAACAGGAGCGAAAUUAUGCAAGAAAAGAUAUUUAGCAUGGGUGAGGCGCUCAACCGGUCAAGAAAGUUGGAUAUGAAUGAAGAGAAGCUCUUGAUUGAAGAAUUGAUGAUCGAACUUUAAGAACAGAAAACUCCAGAAAAGGAAAUCACCAUGGCUUUGAAGGAUUUGGGCCUACAAGCAGGCCUGUUGUUGCUUGAAUUGUCAACAUUGGAAUUGAUGAUCCACUUGGUCGAAAGUCACAUCUUUUAAAUGUGGGUCUCAAACUCGAGGAACAAGUUAGACCGCUACCUCAAGCUCAGCUCACUCAAUGAUCAUCUCUAAAAUUGAUUAUAUCAUAUUUAUGCCCGAAGCCUAUCUUUUCUCUUUUCAACAAUGAAAUGGAAAUUAGAUUGUGUCUUUUCAGCCAUUGGAUGUAAUAGUUUCGAAGCUCACACGCACACGUUAUCAUAAUUUAUCCAUUUUGGAAUUUGCCCAUCUUGUUGGUUUCAUUUUCCCUCUCAUCGUUGGGAGCUUCAAUCGCAGAAUCUGUUAUUUCACUCGCAGUAGAGACAUCUCGUGACUUGCUCGGAGAGCAUGCAAAACUCUUGUGAGUUUCACGAGGGGACAAGGGAAGGGCACGCGAAAGGAGGGGAUGCGAAUCUCAUGCUUCUCGAAAGACGCUGAUGCGAGACUAGACGAAGUGAGAGUCAUUCCUCGUGGCGUUGCAGAUGUCAUCGUCGAAGUCAAAGCUAAACCCAAGAAGAGGGAAAGAUCCGAGCAUUUUGCAAAUGCUGGCCGGGCGUUUGACAAAAUGCUCAUAUGAGUUGAAACCGUGUUCGAGUGCGUGAAAUAAAAGUGGCGUGUUGCUUUGGGUUUGUAUAGUCCAAUUCUUGCAUUUAGAUGAACAAUGAAAUGUAAAAUAUAUACUCAAUGAGAAAAACGAAAAACCGUGAUUAAGAAAACACCGAUUGGCUUUUUCAAUCCAUAUUAAUCAAAGGGAUGAGUAACAACAGUUAGGCACCUUCUCAGGUUUCUUCUCAUCUUCAGCUCCGGUGCUUCGUUUUUUCGUUACAAUUUUUCGUGCAGUUGCCCAUCAAAGGGGGACCCAACAAAGACAAAAAGAGACAAAGCAUUGGAGGUCGAAACGUGAAACGUGAAGCGGGAAGCAUGAAGCAACCUCUCGUUUCUCGCCAUUCUUCAUAGUGUCCCUGCAAUAAAUUCUUAGCUGCGAGCCUAGCUCAUGUCCUUUUUGACAAUUUCUGUUUAUCGACUACCCAUGCGCAUCGGUCUUUCCUACAUCUUUUCCCUGUAGAAGUUGUCAUGCCUGCCAAGCUUUUUCUCGGUCACUUUCGAUGCAAGUUAUUGAAUGUGUCAGAUGUGAGGUCACAUCAUAAUCUUAUGGAAAUCCUUCUCUAAACAUGUGAAAGGAAGUAGUGAGGGGGAGGGGGAGCGAGGGAGCCUCCCUCGUGGGGCGACUUUCGAGAGCCUUUUAUAAAUUUAUAAAGAUCUUAUUGAAGAGUGUUUCAAAGGACAAUAAAAUAAUCAUACCUAAUAAAAAAAGAUUUUCAUUUUCGUUAUACUAAUUGCGUAAUAGAUGAGAAAUUUUUCCACCAAAAUUUACACGGAAAUAUAUCAUAUACUCUUUGAGAUAUCUCUAUUUUCCAUAUAAAUUCGCACCAAUGUCGACUUAGAGAUGCUGUGAGUGUAUUCCAUGCUUCGUUUGGAGAAAUGUGAGACAAACUACCAAGAUUACAAAAGUAGUCCUUUUGGAAUCUGCCCUUCCCGAAAAAGCAGGAGAUAAUUCCACUACUUAGGCUCUGUUUGUUUGCAUUUCUUUUUUUUGUUUUUAAAUACUUUUUCUGUUUUUUUUUCCUGGGAACAAAAAAGGAAUAGAAACGCGUUUGGUGCGUUUCUGUUCCUUUUUUGUUCUUUUGUUCCCAGGAACAAAAAAGAAACACAAAUAAGAAACACAAAUUUUGUGUUUCUUAUUUCUGAAACAAAACUUAGAAACACUUUUUUUUUUAUUCUUCUUAUUUUCUUUCUUUUUUCUUUCGCCGGUCGCCGGCCAUGGCCGAGGCCGGCGACCAGCCAAAAGAAGAAAAAAGAAAAUAAGAAAAAAAUAGAAUAAAAAUAUUAAAAAAUAAAAAAAAAUUAUACAAAUUUACCAAACGUGUUUCUGUUUAUUUUUUAUUUCCGGAACAAGUUUACCAAACACGUUUUUUUGUUCAAAAAUUGUUCCCUGGAACAGAAACACUUUUUUUCUAUUUCUGUUUCCUAGAACAAUUUUUAAACAGAAACGCAAACAAACGCACCCUUAGUAAACUCACGAACGCCUCGAAUGUGUGUCCUUUCGUUUCUAUGCUUCUUGGCAAGGGUUAAGCCUAAACGGUUUGCGUAAAAUGUCUAGCAGCCCCUCUGCUUGUAAACUAUACUUAUAUGGCCAAAUCAAGAAGAUGCAGUAACACAAGUAUUUGUCCCUGCAUCUCAGGGGGCUAGUCUUAGUCGGUCCGUGGAAUUUAGAAAAACGGAGAGUUGGUAAAGGAGCCAUGCCACGUCUUUCUCAAGUCGGGAUUGAUGUCUGUCCCAAUUGAUGACCAUACCUAAAGGAAUCCCCGGAUGCAACACUCAGGAAGACACUGUGGAGAUUGGGAAGCCAUACUGACGGGAGAAAUCGAAACACCGUGUGAUUUGUACUUAGGGUGCAUGUUUUUAUUUCUAUUCAUUUUCUGUUUCUGGAAACAGAAAUAAAAAAAAGUGUUUCUGUUCCGGAGAACGAUUUUUGAACAAAAGAACGUGUUUGGUAACGUUUGUUCCAUGAAUAAAAAAUGAAUAGAAACACGUUUGGUAAAUUUUAUUCUUUUUAUGUUUCUUUUAAUUUUUUAAUAUUUUUAUUUUAUUUUCCAUUUUUCCUUUCUUUUUUAUUUUUUUCUUCUUUCGGCCGGUCCCCGGCCUCCGACGACCGGCCGACGGGGCCGGCAGCCUCUCCCAACCACGGCGAGGCUCGCCAGUCCCCGGCGAGGCCAAGCCUCGCCAUGGUUGGGCGUGGCUCGGCCUCGCCGGAUCUGGGUGAGCCCGAGCUCGCCUAGCCAAGGCGAGGCGAGGCGUUGCCGGCGUGGGCGAGGCCGAGCCUCGCUGCCCUGCCGUUGGAGCCGAGCACUUGUGCCUGCGAUGCCAACCAAGAUCUCGCCUGCCACUACUUCUCGCGACGCCACCACUCGCCGCCACUCCGCUUGCAGACUCGUGCCCCUCGCAGCAGCCUCCUCCAUAGACGCUACCGUCGCGCCGACUAUCGCGCCGCCCCGAAGCCCGCCGCUCGAUGCCGUCCCGAUCUCACCACGCCAUUUGCGACGCCGUCCGCCAGUCUUUGCCCGCGUCGCCCCGUGUCGAUCUUGAAGCCUCUAGUGCCGCACCGCCGCCGCACCAUCCUCCGGAGCCCCUCGCUGGAACCCUAGCCGAAGAUCUUCCCUCGAGCGAGGCCGAGCCUUGCCGGCGCGGGCGAGGCUCGGCCUCGCCGGGGGCCGGCGACGCUCCGGCGAGGUCGCCAACCCUCAACGGCGUCGCCGGCCAUGGCCGAGGUCGGCGACCGGCCAAAGAAAAAAGAAGAAGAAAGGAAGAAGAAAAGAGAAGAGAGAGAAGAAGAGAAGCGUUUCUUUUAGGCGUUGAAGAAGUGUUUUUGAAGUCCAUAAGUAAAAAAAAUUUGUUUCUUUUUUUUGUUCCUAUUUUGUUCCGGGAACAAAAAAACAAAAAAAGAACAGAAACGCAACCAAACGCGUUUCUGUUCUUUUUUUGUACCCGGGAACGAAAAAAGUACAAAAAUGUUCCAGAAACAUUUUUUUGGAACGUUUCCAUGCACACCCUUAGCUACUUGCUUCACCUAGUUGUCAAAUUGAAAGCGAUAUGUCUCGAAAGCUAAUAAUUUUGCUAGUAAAUUGCUCAUUUUGCAAAUUAAGUGGCAAUGGUAAUAGACAAUAAUAAUACACAAAGUUUUUUUUUUUUUUUUGUCUGGUACAUAAGAAGAUUAAUUGGUUUGAAAUCAUCGUGUCAAAUCAAAUAUGAAAUCAAAAUGCAACAUUUCUUGAUUUCACUAGAUUUUGCUAUACAAAUCUACUCAGAAUAACCACCCACCAUUGUAGCGUAGAAGGUAGAGCUUGUGUUCUCCACCGAGGAGAACCAGGUUCGAAGCCCCUGCGAAGCAGGGAGGCUGAAGCGCUGUGUGGUGGGUGUGGGUAGUGGUUUCCUGCGUGCCUCCCUAUAGUUUACUUUCCGGCCGCUGGUCGUGCGGGGGUUCCCUGGGUCACAAAAAAAAAAAAAUCUACUAAGAAUAUAUCCAUCCCAUCUUAAUUCGCUCUUUUAUGCCGUUUCUUGGCCUUGCAUUUUUCUUGAAAAUUAUCACAAUUAGCCUUGAACUUCAAUUUCUUCAAGGGUUAACAUGAACAGUCUUGUAUUUGGCACUAAAUUUGAUCGCUGACCAGUCUUUGAUCGGGAAAAAUUACCGAAAAAAUCUGAAACCUAUUGCAGUUGUGCAAAUUCAAUUAUAGACUAUUUUUUCUUUUUUUGCUAAAUCAAUUCUAAACAUUUUGCAUGUGUCAAUUUAAUCUAUCUAACCAAUUUUAACCCGUUAACAAUAAUGUGAAUAAUGAGUGUCUACCUAACACUGAAGCGAAUAAGUUUUAAUUAUUUUUAAUUUUAGUUUUUUUUUUCUUUUUUUUUUUCGUUUUUUUUCCCAUUGUCACUGGCCAUGGGCAAGGUCAUAGCCGCCUUCACCUGUUGUUGCGCCUCCAGAUCUUUUCAAGUUGUAGGAAGAGACCCGCUUCCGCAUGGCAACGGUUUUGGGUUCACCGCACCAAGGCAUUUGCAUGUUUGCUAUGCCGUCAUCACCGCUUCUUAUUUAGGUCGCCAUCUUUGAGUCAACCAUUGCUCUGUAUUUUGGCGCCUACGAAGCGUCGUAAGGGAAGAGCAGCGAAGGGGCUCGGGCUUAGGUUGAUGCUUGGUGUCGGGAGGAUUGUCUUGGAUGCAAGAUCAAUCAGCUCAAGGAGACGGAUCACAGCAUGCCUUACAAGCUUUUCUUUUAAGUGGGGACAUUCACCAGGGACAAGUUGAUGCACUUGUGGGAUGCCAAGAUUGGGCAAGGGCCGUGACCCUCUCGCUGACCAUUGUGGAAAAAUAAAGAAAAGAAGAAGAAAAAGCAAAGGGAAAAAAAUAAGAAAAUAAAAAUACUAUUAAAAACUAUAUACAUCAGUAUUGAUCGACGUUCACAUCAACGCCAAUUGUCCGGAAUUAAUCGUAUGUACUAAAUUGAUACAAAUAUAGAAUGUUUAUGAUUGAAUUAAUAAAAAUAAAAUAUUUAAAAUUGAAUUGACAUGAUUAUAAUAAAUUUAAGUUUUUUUUUCCUCUUUAAUUGGUUAAUCUAAGGAACCAAUUUGUGCUUUGGUGCAGGUAAUCGUCACCCAUAUGACAAAGAAACCCUGAUAUCCCUUCCCUCUUAAUCAGUCGCUUGUCUCGCCUCCCUCAACAAGAGGGAUUGUCAUUUACGAUCAGGUAGUCUGAAGUCAACGUUACCACAACCCCCACGAAUGUUGUUAUAGUCUUAAAAAUAUUGACAAUUCCCAUCAUGCUCCGGUCUGAAGGUCGAUGAGAAAAUAAAUGUUGAAUCCUCUCCUUAACUUUCAGGCACAAAACUAAAAUCUCAAUCCUCAUUCUUUCGUGGAUUGACCACCUAAAAAUAGGGUUCCGUAAUAUCACUUUUCCUUUCUAAUUUAAUAAUCUCAAACUAUUUAAAAUGCAAAAUCUCGAUCAUCUGAACAACUCUCUUAUUUCUUGUGUUGGUUGGAUUGUUAGGAGUUUUUCACGUUAAAAACUUGGAAAUUGCCCAUUAAUGUCACCAAUUUCAUGCAAAUUGCUCUAGGUCAAGCUGAUUAUAUAAACUAAAUGUCUGAACUUAACAGGGUUGGGAGGUUUGUAGAGUAUUUCGCGGGCUUUUAGGUAAUCCUUCCUCUACAAUCGUGGCAUGAAUUGUAAAAGAAAAAAGAAAAAAAAUGAUGCAACAAACUCUCAUUAAUCUUUUGUAAGACUAUGCACGAAUAGACAUAUACAAAUUACAAAUGAUAUCAAUAAGUAUAAAGUUGCAUGUAGCAUGUUGUAGUCACAUGUUAAAGUAUUCAAUUAUCUCAUAGACACCCACCAUACUUAUUUUUUAGAGUCAAAACAUUUGACCAUCAACCUGGUGCAAAAUUACUCUAGCACUUUGUUAAAUCUUUAAAAAGUGUGAGAAGUGCAUAUAUAGAGUUUCCUAAUAAUAUGAGCGAGUUCGAUCACCACUAUUAUCUUUAAUUUCGUGAAGUUGAAUUUAAUUGACAUGGACGAGUCUGGUUGAUUUAUACGUGUUAUUAUUAGAUGGUAUGGGCCAUAAUAUAUCUUACGGUACAUAUAUCUGCGAUGGUUUGCUUUUCCCACAACGAACAAAAAUGUCGCUAUCAAUAAGCCCAUGUGGAACGAAGGACACAUAGAGCAAAAAGUAUGAUGAUGAAUUCAGAGCACAUAAAGUGGUUGGCCCGUGAGAAAGCAAUCUUCUGACAACGCGUAUAGCGAAGCUGUGACGUUGAAUUAUUGCCAUCAUCCUACGUCGAACCAAUCUUCUUUUGACGGUACAUAAGGCAAAAAUCUGAUGCUUAAUCACUGAUCUUACCCUGUGUAAAACCAAUCUUUUGAUGGGCCUACUGCUUAAUAGUUGCCAUUAGCCCAUGUGCCAUUUACUUAUAUGCCAUUAUUACAUCGAGUUAGCUUUAGAGAGUGACAAAUGACGAUAACGACGACGAUGAAGAUGAUGAGCUCAUUGAUCCAAUCCUAGUAUUAUCAUUGUUUCUCAGUUGACAAGCCUUGGCUUAGUCUUAAGCUAUGAAACACCAAUACUUUUCGAGAGUUUUCAUAUUGUAUCGACCAACUCUAUGAUAUUCUUAGAUACUUUCAGACACUUGAUUAAUUUUGCUAAUACUCUAAUUGGAAUUCUGACAAUGUGAGUUUUCGACAUGAUUGAUUCCGAUAUGCUAUGUCAGUUUUAAAAAAAAUUCAAUGAUUGAAUGGUCGAAAUACAUAUAUAUAUUAAAUAAAAAUAAUAAAUGGGGAAAUAAAAAAAUAUAGUUUUCUCUUUUUUUUUUAUGAUUCUCACUUCUUGUGAUACAUAAUUAUUCUCAUAUUUUUUUUCUAUCUUCCAACACAUUUAACACGAGGGUCUAAGAUGCAAAUUGCUUGCUUUUUCUUUUUUUCUCAAAUUUUUAUGGAUUAUUAGAAUGGAGUUGAAUUUGUUAAAUUGAAACAAUAAAUGAUAUAAAUAAGUCGUGGAUUAAUAUUUUUAGUGUGAAAUCAUUCUAAGCUUUUUUAUUUAUUUAAGAAUUUAAAUUAAAUUAAUUUGAUUGAAAUAAACAUAAAAAUAAUAAUUUAUUAUGUAUAUGUAAAAAUAUUUAUUUAAUACACAAUGUGUCUCAAUGUAUCUGAUUUUUUUUUAUGAUAAACGACGUGUCAGUAUAUCGUAUCGUAUUAUGUUGUGUGUUGCGUAUCGGUAUCGGUGCUACUUGAAUCUUAAGAUUGGUAGCGGUCGUCCAAAGAAAUCUACCUUGGGGGACUACUCACUAACUGAUGCUCAAUUUUUGCUUCACCUAUUCUGCUUUUAGUUUGAUUUUCAUUGAAGUUUUCUGCGAAUUUUCUUCAGGUUCUAAUAUUCAGACGAAGGAAGAAGUCGAAAUUAAGCUUGUGAGUGGCAUUUUCCCAAUUGAAUUGGCCCCUUUUCUUUUUCCGAUUUUCUGUGCUUUUUUUUUUUUUUGUAUUUUCAUAACCAUUGCAUCGGUAUCUUGUUGAUUUAGAGUUUGAUGCUUUACUUUGGCGUCCUUUUAACUCUUGGGUUGUUUGAAUGACGUAGAUAUGGGUUCACAUGCUUAUAGUAAGUCGGUCGUGCUAACUUUUAGGACGACUAUAAUUGAUGCUGAAUUAAUGCCAUCGGCCCAUGUGACACGAAUCGUCUGAGGACUUAAAAGACAAAAGUACAACAAUGAAUUGAUGGCACAUGGAAUGCUUUUUCGUCCUGUUUGCAAAUGAGCUUUGAAUAUAAUAUAAAUACUAAAAGACAAAAUUAUUUGAAAAAAUAUAAAUUGUGUUUGAUUAAAAAUUAUUUAUAAAUAAACUUUAAAUUAAAUAUGUAUUUAGCACAAAAAAUUUCAUAAUAAAUUUUAAUUUACAUUUUUUAAAAAAUCACCCAAACUCUUCGCCGCCUUGGGCGACUUCAAUCGAAAGUUUUUGGGACGUUGAAUUAAACGCACCCAUGCAACAAUUCGCCUUGAGAAAUUCAUCUUCUGACGGUACAUGGGGAGUGACAGGACAUGAAGCGAAAGGACGAUGCUGAAUCAUUGCUCUUAUACCGUGUGAAACGAAUCUUUUGGUGGGACAUAAAGCGAACAUGUGAUGCUGAAUUAUUGCUACCAGCCCAUCUACCAUUACCUAUAUAUGCCAUCGCCCAUAUAGAGUUCGCUGUGGAGAGAGACGAUGAUAAUAAUAAUGAUGAGGAAUGAAGAUGAUGACCUCGUCGACCCAAUCUCAGUAUUAUUAUUGAGCGAUAAUCGUUCUGAGUUGUUGUUUUCGGCCAGGUCAUAAGAUUGGAAGCGAAUUGUUCGGAUACAUCUAUUUCGGGGGAUUGCUUGCUAAUUCAUACUCAAUUUUUGUUUUAUCCGUUCUGCUUUUAGUUUGACUUUGAUCAAUAUUUCUCCUGAAUUUUUUUUCAGGUACUAACAUUCAGAUGAAUGAGGAAGUGAGUCGCCAACUAACACUUGAAUUUUCCUUUAUAUGCUCUACUUUUCCUUAUUUUCGGACAUUUUACUUAUUUUAGUAUUGUUGUAGUCAUUGCAACGUAUUUUGUUUAUUUAAAAUUUUGAUGUUUUAUUUUUACAUUUUUUAAGACGAAAUGAAUUGUGCUUUCUUGCAUUUUUUUCUUGGAUGGUUUGAACAACGUAGAUAUUGGUUCACAUGCUUCCGGAAAGUCGGCGGUGCUAACUUCUAUACUUUAAAACGAUUAUUAUUAACAAAUGGAAGCUUUCCUCAGUUUGUGACUUACCACAUGCAUGUAUACCAUAACUUCUAUACUUUAAAACGAUUAUUAUUGGUACAUAGUAUGUGUAUUGUUUGUUUAGAGUUGUGAUUGAGAUUCCGGUAUAGUACCAUUGUAAGCCCAAGCAAUUCAUUUUUGGUGUUCUUUUACUAUUCAUGUCUCAAUAUUUUCGUCAAGCCCGUGCUCCUUAAGUCCGUGCUCCUUGUACCUUGUUGAGUAUUGGCUUUUUCCGUUACUUAGAAGAUAGAGAAAAAAAAAUGGAUUUUCGCUAUGUUUUGACUGAGUGCUCCUUGUACCUCUUAUCAAUUCUUUUAGGAUUUUACAAGAAUAGAUGAUACAAAUUACACAUCAUCCAUUAGUACAAAGGGGUACAUAGCAUGUUGCAAUCACAUGUUAUAGUAUUCAAAAUUGUUUUUAUUUUUUUAUUUUAUAAAGCUAUGAUUAUAUAUGUGUGGUCUUCCUCUAUGUAACUUAUUACUUUCAAAUUUUUAUAUUAUAAAUUUUAAAAUGACACUAUAGAAACUGCACUUAUAAUUUUGCAUCGAAACAUCUUACUGUCAACUAACUGCAAAGUGCUAAAUGAUUUAAGCACUUUGCUAAAUCUUCAAGUAACGAGGUUUUCCUUUUUCUUAAAAUUUUCAUUAUUUUUCGUUAUGAGAGAAGUGAAUACAUAGAGUUUUCAAAUUAUACAAUCAUCACAACUUACCCUUAAUUUUGAGGAGUUGAUUUAAUUAACAUUACAAGUCUCACCGGUUUGUGGGUGCGUCCAUGGGAUGGUACGGACCGGAUAACACAUCUGUGAUGGUUUGUUUUCCCACCACAAGAAACAAAAAAGUCUAUUAGCAUAAGUCCAUGUCUCACCCAAAAAAAAGAAAAAGAACCAUAAGUCCAUGUCAAACCCAUCUUUUGAGGGCACACUGAACGGUUCCUUUUGACAGCACAUUAAACGAAAAUUUGAUUCCUUUUGAUGGCACAUAAAACGAAAAAUAUGAUGGUGAACUACCGCGAUUAGCCCAUGGGAAACUAAUCUGGAAGCUGAACUCUUGCUAUCAGCCCAUGUGAAACCCAUCUUCUGAGGGCACGCCGAACGAAAAUAUGGUUCCUUUUGACUGCACAUUAAAUGAAAAAUUGACUCAUUUUGACUUCACACAAAACGAAAAAUAUGGUGAGUGAAUUACCGCGGUUUAGCCCAUGGGAAACCAAUCCAGAAAAUACAUAUUAUAUAUGAUGCUGAACUCUUGCCAUCAGCCCAUGCGAAACCGUGUGAAAUCAAUUUUAAAAAAAUUAUCAUGCUGAACUCUUGCUAUGAGUCCAUGUGAAACCGUGUGAAAUCAAUUUUAAAAAAAAUUAUCAUGCUGAACUCUUGCUAUCAGUCCAUGUGAAACCGUGUGAAAUCAAUUUUAAAAAAAAUGAUCAUGCUGAACUCUUGCCAUCAGCCCAUGUGAAACCGCGUGAAAUCAAUUUUAAAAAAAUUAUCAUGCUGAACUAUUGCUAUCAGCCUAUGUGAAGCCAAAAAAGUUUUCGUUCCCGAUGUCACAGGGCGGAUGAAAUAGCAGCUUCUUUUUGAACGGCCUAUUUUAUCUCUAACCCAAGACCGACGGCAGCUAGCAAUUGAGCACCCGCAGAAUCUCUGCCAUAAGCUCCACUGAUCAUCACCGAGUAGUGAAUACAAUGGCCGAGUCUGUUGUUUCGUUCGCGGUGGAGACAAUAGGAAACCUGCUCAUCGACGAGGCCAAAUUCUUGAGGGGAGUGAAGGGCAAGGUCGAGGACCUGCAAAGGGAGUUGAAGCUGAUCCAGUGCUUGCUGAGGGAUGCGGAUGCGAGACGAGAGCACAACGAAGCUGUUGGAGAAUGUGUCGCACAACUCCGAGACUUUGCCUAUGAUGCCGAGGACGUCAUCGAGAGGUACAUCCUCAAAGCCGCACUGAAGGAGGGACAAAACAUCAUCAAAGCGUAUGCUUGCUUCAUGGCGAAGUGCUCGUGCGUGCAGGUUCAUGGGGUGGGGACAGAGAUUACGGACUUAAAAUCCAGAAUUUCCGAUAUUAGAAGGAGGAUGCAGAAUUGUGGCAUACGAUCUGUGAGGGAAGGCGAACGCGAACGAGCGAGAGCUUUGAUGCCGAAACGGACUUAUGACCAUGUCAAGGAGGAUUUUGUUGGGAGGGAAGAUAGUAUUGAGGAAUUGGUGAAAGAGCUGUCGAAUGAUGGAAAAAAGCAGAGAGUUAUUUUUAUAUGGGGAAUGGGUGGUCUGGGAAAGACCUCACUCGCCAAGAAAGUCAUCGAUCAUGACAAAGUGAAGAACACUUUCGAUGGUAUCGCUUGGGCUUGUGUAUCUCAAGAAUAUCAUCCAAAGGAUAUCUUGGUGGGAAUUCUCAUUAAAUUGAUCCCUGAUCAAAGAGAGAGGGUUAUGAAGAUGAUGGAUGAUGAAUUGUUCAAAACUCUAUACGAGAUCCAACAAGAGAAGAGAUGUAUGGUUGUUCUUGAUGAUAUUUGGACCAAAGAGGCAUGGGACAGUAUUCGAGAUGCAUUCCCGGUCAAGGACGCGAGAAGCAAGCUAUUGAUAACAACCCGCAAUAAAGAAGUGGCAAAGUAUAUCAAUCCUCAAGGUUUAUUCCAUGAACUUCAAUGCUUAUCGGACCAAGAGAGCUGGGAUUUGCUAAUGAAAAGGGUGUUCCCCGAAACAAAAGGUAAGACUUCUCUAAGGUUAUUAUCCUAACAUAUAGUAGCUUCAAGAGAUUAUAUUGCCUGCUUGAUUCUGAUUUAUGGCGCAUCGAUUAUCAUUGUAGGAUUAGCUGAUGAAAUUUCUUCUGAUGGACUUGGAGUUGGUCAAGGUAUUGUUUCAGGCCAAGCUGUAGAAGGUAUUGCAAGACAGUCAGAGAUGGAGGGACAAAUACCACCAGGUAUUUCAUUGCUCAGUUUUGCCUUUUGAAAGCUUUAGCAAUUUAUGAAUCGAUAGUUAUAGUGGAAUUCAAAUGGUCGAAAUAUCAAGUAUUAGGCACCAUAAUUUCAAUAUUUGGGGAAUCAUAUGCCCCUUUUUGUUUCCUACUAGCUUAACCAGUAUACCAUUAAACCAACAUCCAAAACUUUGCUCCUCCUUUCUAAUGAGGUUUAAUAUCAAAGAGGCUUUCAUAAGGACAAAUAAUAAGCGAGUUUGAUAGGAUUGAUGAAAUAAUGUGAAGCCUAGCUAUGUUACUUAUUCCGUAAGCUUCAUCUCAAGUCCACCUUUUUUGCAAUUGUGAAUAGUUGGCUUAAAAAUAAGAGUAGAGAUUGAUAAGGAAAAUCAUGAAUCGUUAUGUGGCAACAUGGAGAUUUCACUUGAAUUUGUAUAGGAGAUUAGUAGCACAUUCAAGUGACAAGAGAUCACACUCGAGUCAUCCUUGCGCUACUUUCAUAUUUCGUCAUCAAGUAUUUUUAUUGUUGUUUUGCAUUUGCUUGAGUCACUUAAUUCAAGCCACAGUUUAGACUUCUUGAUUUUUCCAAGGCGUAGAUGGAGGCAUAUACAAGAGCUUUGUUGUGGUCCCUAUUUUCCCCUUACAAAAGCAUAAAUGAACCACAAAUUAUAAAGAACUAUAGCAUCUUAUACUUCUAAAAGCACAUGUUCGUCCUUGAAGUAAUCUUCUUAUUACGAUUGCAUCUUCCGAUGAUUGUUGAAUUGCAAUUUGUUGCUUGAUAUUGUGUAGUAAUCACUGAAGAGAUGAAGAAGUUAGCACAUGAACUCCUUGAGAAGUGUGCAGGAUUGCCCUUAGCUAUCAUUGUGCUUGGUGGACUAUUGGCUGUCAACGAUUGGAAGAUGAUUCAUGAAAAGAUCAAUUUGCAUUUUAGUGAUAAGAGUGAUGUAUCAAAAGUGUUAGCCUUGAGCUAUGAAGAUUUACCAGGGCAUCUAAAGCUAUGCUUCCUCUUUUUGGGUAACUUUCCAGAGGAUGUAGAAAUCCCAAUGAUGGAAGUUCUUUACAUGUGGAUUGCUGAAGGCUUUGUGUCACUGAAUGAAUAUGAUAAAAAGAGAGAAAUUUCAGUGGAAGAUAUAGCAGAGCAAUAUUUAACGGAGUUGGUUAAUAGGGGAAUGGUUCAAGUGCAAUUCAAAUUAAGUGGAAAGAUCAAAAGCUGCCACCUCCACGACUUGAUGCGAGAGUUAAGUGUCUCCAAGGCUCUGCAAGAGAGUUUUCUAAGCAUUCUUAACAUUCAACAAGACGAUAAGACGGAGAAUUGUUCUGCUUCAAUGGCAAUAAAUGCCGGGUCAAGUUGCAAAAUACGAAGGCUUUCUCUUAAUAGAAAUGUGAUUCCAAGCUUAAAAGCAAGAGAAAGGACUCUGGUCCACCUUCGAACUCUCAUGUCCUUCGGAGGUCUCGCAUGGGAGUCGAAGCAAUUGCAGCCUAUUUUCAACCAUUGUAAGUUUCUUAGAGUUCUAAAAUUAGAGAACCUUAAUGUGGAGAGAAGCUUACCUAAAUCAAUGGGAGACCUAGUCCAUUUACGAUUCUUAAGUUUAGCAAGAAGUAGGUUUAACGGUUUGCCGCA